rnacentral:lncRNA from 1 species
ACCAAACAAAUUAAUCCAAGUUCAUCUUCCUUAUUCAAAUAUUAGCAGUAAUCUUUGAAUCAUCCUUGAAGUGUAGUGUGUGAGAUAGCCAUGCUUAUGCAAUUUCAAGUUUUUAUUUUUAAAAUCAUCAUAUGCAAACUAGCGACCUUCUCACUGGAUAUGCACUCAAUCACACAUGUGUUUAGUUUUAAUGUGUUUUGCUCAAAGAAUCAAAUGUGAAAUUUCUACCAUAAGCUUGCAUAAAGAUCACUUCUCCACAGUCAUAAUUGCAAAACUUAAAUCAAGAGGACUUUUAUUGGAUGUAAUGAGGCUUAGGGAUAGGGUUAUUGAAAUGAAAGAAUAGGAAAACACAAGUUCCAAGCUACAUUGCAAGCAAUUCUUUUGUCUAGAUUUAUAAGAACUCAAGCUCUCCAACGAUUCUUCUGAAACCUCCAAUCACACCCUUAAACUGAAACUUUAAAAACAUUUUUUUUUCUUUUCUUCGUAUACAAUCUUUCUUUUUCUUUUUCUUUUUCUUUUCUCUUUUUUUUUUUUUUUUUUAAUACAAACAUGAAAUACCCCCACACUUAUUCUUUUGCCCAACACCCUCAAAGUACUUCACAAACAUUUCUCAUAAGACAAUCUCACAUUGCUCACUAGCUUGCUUGGAAAGGGUAAGGAAAAAUGUUUCAGGUAUAAGGGUAGACAUAUCUGGUGAUAAGAAAUAAAAGGCUCAACAUACACGGCUCAAAUUGGCAAUCUAAUGAUAUCAUUUUUUUCUUUGGGAUACAUGGUUAUUUGGGCCAUGGUGGUAAACCUAAUGCCUCUAUCAUUUCCAAGUUCAUGCAAUCAAUGACAACAUUUCUAAAGAUCGUUACGCAAGUUCUAGAGAUGUAUCUCACAUAAGUUCCUCACACAUGAAAGAAUAGGAGUGUAUGAAAAAUGCACACACUUUCAAUCGGCUCAAAAACUCACAUAGGAUGUAUAUGGUCACUAAAUUCACAUAUGAAGCUUUAAGUCAUACUUUAGUUUCACAUUAACAAGGCUAUGUGCAUUUGGUUUUUCAAAGAUGGUCAAAUAUGUACAAAACUAACAAGAGAAUUAGGAAUUUCACAAAACACAUGUUAACUAAGUUCUUGAUAAUCAUGGUUCAAAUUUGAUUCAAUUAUAUCAUUGGGUCGGGAAACUAACAAAAAUCUAAUUCAAAACAAUAAGGAAAAUAAGACAAUAUUUUUUUUUUAUUUUUAAAUUUUCCGAUUUUUUUUUUAAAGAAAACAAAAAAACAACAACACAAAAACAAAUGAAAUUCUAGAGAUUUCUACCCCCACACUUAAACUUGACAUUGUCCCCAAUGUCAGAAAACACUAUAACACAAAUAAAAAUAAAACAAAAUAAAUAAAUAAUAAGAAACAAAAUAAAGCAAUUGGACUGAAAACUUCCCUAAUUUGCAGUAAAAUCAAGCGAUGACCCCGAAGCUAAAAUUCUGCAAUCAACUUCAAGGGUGGAAAUAACCAAAAGUUCCUGCAAAGAAAAGAAAUAAUUCAGUUAAGUAACGCAAGAAAAUAAAAUAAUAAUAAAAAAUAAAUAAAAAAAAAAUUGCAAACGAAAAAUUGAAAAUCACGAUAAAAGACAAUGAAAAGAACUAAUAAGUAAUCAUUGGUCGUGUUUGUUGACUUUCCACAGCUUUCCUCUUGAACAGGGUGACACUUAGCUUUUUACUUGCAAGUGAUGAUUUGAUGAUAUUGUACGGCGAAGCUUUGCUCUUUGGUGAUGUUGCAGUUCCUUAUUUGUUCUCCAAGCAGAUGUGGCAGCUUCUCUAGUUCCUCAGCUCGGACUCCUUCCGCUGGGAUGAUUGUGCACGCUGCAUUCUUCUCUGCUUGUUUCUUCUGUACGUUGUCUCCACAUGCUGUUGGUAUCAUUUUCGCUUGCCUUAUCUGUUCUUCAGGUAGAUGUGGCAGCUUCUUUGGAAGUACAUCAGCAGUGGAAGACGAGUACUCGAGAGCAAUUUCUCCAUGUCCUGCAGGUUAGAACAAAGACAAGGAAAAGGACAUGGAGAAUGCAUGAUAUGAGAUACUCUUGCUUUCAACCAUUAUGAUAUGAAAUACUUUUGCUCUGGAUGGGUUGUUUGCAGGGGUAUCCCAGGGAAUGAGGAACACGGAGUAACUUAGGAGGAUUCUUUGAGAAUGCAUUUUCGGAGAUGAAGAAGUGUUAAGAGGGUGUGUCUUUGCUGUGAAAGGCGAAGGUAGAUACUUAUAGGACUUGUCUUCACAACCGGAACUAUUCUCUCACGUAUUGUCGGCAACCGGUGGAUGAAUGAAUAGUACAAAUUACGCGCUUUCUGACAAAGCUGCCCGUAAUUUUCGCAAAGCAGAUUCCUCAUUGAUAUCUGGAAUCGGCGCUUCGAGCUCUGAGCAUCGUCGAUUGUAGAGGUAGCAUGUGACACGUGCGGAUAAAUCUGGAAAAGAAGAUUUGCCCGUGGGUUGAAGCCCAGCUUUUGAGAAAGCUAGCGUGUCUUUGACUGUUGAAUUUCCCUCUUCGAUUUCUGAAUUGGUGCUUCGACAAACUGCCCGAGAAUUUCGCAAAGCAAUUUGCGUGUGACAAGUGACGACACGUCAGGACAAAUUGAUCUUUUGAAAUCCGGGGUUCGGCUCGUGGUUUCUGAGCAAGCCCAGCCUUUAAGAAAUGAAACGCCUCUUUUGAGAAAAGAAUCCGGCUUUUGAGAAAGGAGCCCCGACUCUUCGAUUUGCGAGAGGACGCCUCUUUGUUUGAUUUCUGAGGAGCGCUUCUUUGAUUUCUGAGGAGCGCUUCUUUUUAUAGAGGCGUAUUUUGUUCCACAACACACUUGAGCUCCCUCCUGUAAACACUCCCUCCUGUAAACUUCCAAAAUCUUAAUCAGUCCGACUCUCUUCUUUCUUCACCACCUUCAGAAAAUGUCUGGCCCUUCCGAUCGUCGUUUUGACUUGAACAUUGGUGAAGAGGCAGCUCCGCCUUCACCAGACAACAUAUGGCGCCCAUCAUUCAUAUCCCCUACCGGUCCCCUUACCGUGGGGGAUUCGGUGAUGAAAAAUGACAUGACCGCUGCGGUGGUGGCCCGAAACCUUGUCACCCCCAGAGAUAACAGACUGCUCGCUAGACGAUCUGAUGAAUUGGCGGUUAAGGAGUCUCUGGCUCUUAGCGUGCAGUGUGCCGGUUCCGUGUCCAACAUGGCCCAACGCCUAUUUGCCCGAACCCGUCAUGUUGAAUCGUUGGUGGCUGAAAUACAGAGUCUCAAAUAGGAGAUUAAAGGACUCAAGCAUGAAAAUAAACAAUUGCACAAGCUCGCACACAGCUAUGCCACCAGCAUGAAGAGGAAGAUUGACCAGAUGCAGGACACCGAUGGUCAAAUUUUACUUGAUCAUCGGAGGUUUGUGGGUUUGUUCCAACAACAUCUGCCUUCGUCUUCUGGAGCGGCACCGCGUAGUGAAACUCCAACUGAUCAACCUCUGCCGCCUCCUCCUUCUGUGGCCCCGCCGACUGCUGAAGCCCCGCCUACUACUGAAGCACCACCCGACCAAUGAAUACUAUUAGUUUACAUCAUUGUAAAAUAUUUGUACUUUUUUUUUUUUUCAUUAAUUUUAAAUUUUAUCUUUUUUUAUUUUUAUUUUAUUUUUAUUUUUAUUUUUGUAAAUUAAUGUAAAGAGACUUUGGUUAACCUUCCCCCACACUUAAACUAAAUAACACAAACUCACAGAAAUCAACCAAAUAACACAACUAACUAAACAAAACAAACGAUACCCUACUUACAACUAUACUACAACUGUCAAAAAGAGGGUUUAAUUUGUGUGUCAAGUAAUUCUCGCAUCAAAUUUUGGCGCCAUUGCCGGGGAUUAGGAGGGAUUGCUAAUCUAUUCUAAAUUAAUUUAAAAAUAUUAAAUAAGACUCAAGGACACAAAACUAGGCGAAAAACUCUAAUAACUCGAAACACACUUAAAAUGACUCAAAAUAAUGAAAACAAUUAAAUUAAACACUAGGAACUGAAAUGGACGGAAAUUAAAUUAAAAGACUAACAAUAAAGAAAACUAACUAAAUAAUAUAAUUUAAUAAUGGAUGGGUGUUUGGUUUUGAUGAAAAGUAAAUUAAACUUAAUUAAAUUACAGAAUUGACAAAAACAUAAAAUUAAGGUAAAAUGAUAAAUGACGGACUAGCUAGAGGGUUCUUCUCCACACAUGUUAUACUUGCAUACAAAAUGAUUUCCAGUUGCUUUUCAAUAAGCUAUGAAUACUCAACGCCCCAAAUUAACCGUGAAUUGCACUAAUUAACCCUCAGUUUUUCCACAAGUUAUUGGGUUGGAUGAUUGCAUACGACAACCCAAAACAUUCCCUACAAGUUCCCUACAUGAGUUGCAUAAUAGAGAUACAAGCAAGAAUCAUUAAGUUUUAUGAAAAACAUAAGCAUUGACGGGACACUCGUUACUAUGAUUUGCAUGAAACUUAUGCCAAGAAUUUACUUAACGUGAUUGUGACUAGCAACCUUUACUACUUGUGAAUAUAAGUUCAUAACGAUUAGGUGAAAUUCACUUAUAUUCUAGCAUCAAAUUCAUGCAUGUAAAUUAAGCGUGCACUCUCAACCAACAUACACAAAUCAGUUUUUAUACGAACGGAUAAGUAAAUUGAAUUCACAACUUAUGAAAUCACAACCGAAGGUAAUCAAUUCAUAUUACAAAUAUAUUCAUGGCUUUGAAUUAACCUCUAGCCAAAAUAGAUUUAUUUACACAUUAUUAAAACAGAAAUAAAACAUAAGUUGGAAGGAUUUAACCGAGAGAGGAGAGGCUUUCAGUUUUCUGUUCUGUCCACGUGCUGCCAAGUGGCAGAUUUGUUUCUUCACGUUUUUGCACCGCAGGAUUCCUUCUCCACUUGCUUUCUGUCCGAGGCUUCUAGCUGCCAAGAGGCAGCGUCUUUUUCUCUGCACUCUGGUUUUUCCCUGCCGCAAGGCAGCUUGAUGCCGCUUCCUCUUUCAAACUGCCAAAGCAGCUCCUCCUUUCUGCUGACGCCUUUGUUCUUUUUUCAAGCUGCCAAAGCAGCGUUUGUCUCACCCCCCCGAACCCCCCUGUUUCUCUCCUCCAGCUUAUCUUUUAUCAAGCUGCAAAGUGGAGCUCUUUUCUUCUUUUCCACCUACCACGAUUCAAGUGGUUCUAUUCUUUUUGUUUCUUAUUUGUUUCACCAACCCACCAAAGCAGCCUUCCACUAGCUGCAAAUGCAGCUGUUAUUCCCACUUUUCUUGGUUUUUCUUGGCCACGUUCCCACCAGCUGCUCCUCUUAAUUUAUUCUCCACCUACCACAACAAAAUAUAUAACAAAAUACAAAAUAUAUGUCAGAAAAUAUCGGUCCAUGAUUUUUUUUGUUUAUUAUUUAAAACUCAUUUGUGCUAUUUUUAUUUUCUUUGCAUAACAAAUCCUAUAAACACAAAAAUAACGUAAAUAACUCAAAAAUAUGAGGAACUAACUAAGAAAAGACGAGUGAAUUUGAAGUAAAAAUAUAUAUAAAUAUGAUCCGAUCAGUGCGGCACGGAGAAGACGAAGAAAUCAACGAAAUAUGGUCCUUUGCAUGGGCAAUAUGUAGAAGAUUGCUAGAGGAGGGGGAACAAAUAUCCUCUAAGCUCUCGCUCUCUUGUAGGGUAGAAUAAAUCGUUCUCCAAAGUUGAUUUAAUAACCCACUUAAGGUGGACUUAAAUAGGCUUUGAGAGAAAUUUAUUUCCCUUUCCUAAAAGGAUCUAAUUUCAUAUUAAAGAGGGAAUCUACAUCAAAAUAUGAAGCAGUUCUAAAGCAAGAAGAUCUCUACACCUGUUGCCCUUUCUUACGAGUAGCCCAGCAAGUGUGGGGGCAUUUGUGGAGCAAAAAAUAAUCACAAAGCGACACGUGGAUUUUUGGGUGAAGAUGACAAAUUUACCCUUGAGGCAUACCGGGUCUCCUACACGCGAGCAGUGGAGAAUCAUCCAUCAACCAAAUCAGGAGUACCCAAAAUAGGUAACAAGUUCAAAUUUGUCUCAUCAAUCCUCAUUCCAUAACCUCCAAAAACCUCCCAAAACAUUUCUUUUAUUAUGAUAAUUAACCAAUUAAUAUAUUUAUACAUAAUUAAUAUAUUAAUUGCUAAUUGAAUCACUAAAUAACUCCUAAAUUCAACCUAAAUCAGGAACCCUAUCCCUAUAAAUAGGCUCCCAUUCUCACCAAAAACCUAAGUCCUCACUCUUGCUAAAAUUCUCCAAAGCUCUCAAAUACUUUUCUCUCAAAAUUCUAAUUUUGGCAUUGGAGGUUCUUCGGUCAAAGCUCCCUCAUUCAUCGUGGGCGCGUGAGGCUCUUGGCCUUGACCUAAGGUGUUAUUUAUUUUAUAGGUGCAAUUUUGUCCAAGAUCAAGGAGGAAGAAAUUUGCAUCCACAUAGCAUUUUUACUAUACCAAGGUCAUUUUCGGUGUGAGCAUUUGAUUACACUAUUAAUGUAGUAUAUUACAAUUGAACCUUAUUGCAUUACAAUUUAGACAACCCCUUUUGAUAAAAUUAAAAUAUAUAUUUAGAUUUUAAUAAUAUAAUAAUACAAGCCUAAAACGUUUGAAUGAAAUGAACAGAAAUGCUCGUACAAGUUUAGAAACACCUCUAAAAAUGAAAAGGGAGUUUAGAAACACCUUAUUGCCUAAAUCGUUGGUGGCAGUUUUUUAAUGAAAGAUUUUAUGUAAUCCGUCUCUCAUUCGUCUGUAACAUAAAAAGGAUAGCGUACUGUAUCUAUCUUUUCUUUUGCUUGAAAUUGCCUGAGGGAGGGACAACAACAUCAACAUCUCUCCACACUCCAAGGAACAGCCUAACAAAGUAACUCGAGUUAUAUAAUAUUAAUUACUUGCAAGUGGCUCUUUACUACAAUGGUAAAAAUAUGUUGAGUUCUUACAUGACGGCGUUAAUUUGAAUCCCAUUGGUGACUUAUCUAACAUAUAAUCUAACAAAAUCUAUCGUAAAAAUGUGAAGGUUCAAAAGUAGAAGUUUUUUUUUGGUAGGAAACUCCAGCUGAAUCAUCACUCUACUGCAUGCAUGGUUAAGCUACACGAGGGUUUGAAUCCAAAACAUUGUGAAUUCAAGAAGACUUUUUCAACAGGGAUAAUCCACUAAUUAAAAAUUAAGAGUGAACUACUUAAAAUGACAGAUUUGAUAGACAUCUAUGUAACAUGGCGCACUGGUGUGGAAGUCAAACUUGUGGUCAAGUGGAGGCUAAAAUGUCUCUAUGAGUCUUCCCAGCACCCGGAAAUGGUGGAUAAUCGUGACUUGCCACCAGUUGUUCCCUUUUUUUAUGAAAAAAAAAAAAUGUAACAUGGGUCAUAUCUUUGCGAGAGAAUAUAUAAGUAACAUCUCUAACAUAAAAAAAAAAAAAAUUAAUAAAUAUGAAAAGUAAAAUAGUGUUGAAUAACUAUUUCGAAGUGGUUAGAGUGUGUUCUUAUUUAUUUACACUAAACAUUUAUUGCAUUAUUUGUACACAUAAAACAUACAUGCCCGAAGUUCUUAACAAGUUCGGUCUAGAGCUUCCUGGAAUAAUGCGAGAUCAUCCUAGCAAAUUACUAGGAAUUGAUGUGAUUGAGAAGCCAAUUACGGGAUUGAUCACCCUUAUGUGAGGAUCUGAAAUGUUGUUCAACAUCGGAAAGUUGAGAAUAUUGCAUGCGAUUAUAAGAAGUUGCCAAUUAGUUAGUUCUUGAGCGAAAACUCAACUUCCUUCGUCUAAAGCUUCGAUUACUUGGAAGUUGAAGGAUGUCAGUCACCGAUCACUGGCCAAUCCAAAAAGGGAAAAUGAAUAGAAAGAGAGAGAGUUGUGAAACAGCAGUUUACAGCUACGGUGCUGGAGUGGAGCCCGAAAGAAUGAACAUGCAUCUUGUUAUUUUGGGAACAUUCCACAAUCUUAUCCCCUCACAAGGCCGUUCUCUCUCCAACAUCAAACACCUGUGCGUGCAGCCAUCACUAACCUCUCACUAGUCGACAGUCUGUGCUUUCUGAUGGUCAUUUGAUUGGACGCAGGUUAAUUGGUAGACCAAAGUGGUUUUGGCGUUUUGACUUUAAAAUCAUGUGUUUUGUUCUUUCUUGUCUUCUACCAUAAAAGUUGUCUAAAUAAUGCACAACAGACAGCUAAAUAUGUGCAUGCAGAGAUGUGGAAACUUUCUUUUCAGUUAGCAAAAUAUAAGGGAACUGCUGCGGCUGCUGCUGCUGCUGCAGAUAUCCCAAUCAAGGAAGAAGAAAGAAACCAUUUAGGUGAAGGCAUCGUUCCCAUGAUUUAGAAUGAUAUUUCAUGUCAUUUGACCACUGAAUACAUUCAAGAGAGUGAUAAUCUUGUGUUUUAUGUUGACCAAUGACCAAAUAAUUACAAGGAGUCCUAAUUGAAGAUGGAUUCCUAGACAAAUGAAGUUUCCUACUCAAGCAAGGUUUCCUAUGUGAAGAAGAAGAGUAAAGUCAAAGAAUCAGCUCAAGAGAAGGAUCUUAUCCAAAACCUCAUCCAUAACCUUAUCUUAGCUUAUCUUAUCCAAACAAACCUUAUCCUAUCUUAUCUUAUCCUAAUCCUAAACUAUCCACAUUCCAGCCACUUAGGAGGGUUUCUAACUAGAUUAGGAUGCUUAAAAUGGGAUUUCUAGAAGACCUAAUCUGAUCCUACAAAGGUGGCGCCUAGGAACCUUUCUAGAAGCCUAAAAAUCUGCCUUGUAUUUCUUUCUAGAACCCUAGCUUUGUGCCGCACCCUAUACCUAUUUCCUUUGGGAUUUUGGUUUCUAGAAGCCUUAUCUUUUCACACUCUUUGUGCCGCACAUUAUCUCCCAUUCCUUUUGGGUUUUUGACUUGUUUUCCUUAUAGGAUUGUAUGUUAUUAUCCUAUGCAGAUUAGGCCUUUAAAACCUUGUCCUUGGCUAUCUAGGAGUGGGAUUUUCAGCCUAUAAAUACCACAUAAUGCCGCACCCUUUCACUCACCAUCCUCUACCAUAUUUUCACUACAUCAUUCACCCAAACAUCCCUCAUUGUGCCGUGAGUUUGCAAGGAAGAGAAGGAAGAACUCUUGGAGCCGUGCAUGCCAUUCAAGGAGCUUGGAUUGUGGAGCGAUUCUAGGUGUUUUCUAUCUUUGUUUUAAUGUUUAAAUUUAUUUAUCUUUGUUUAUUUGCGAACAUGAGGAACUAAUUUCUUUAUAGUUAGAGGGGAAUUCAAAGCCAUGAUCAUAUGUUUUACAUGACUUGAUUUCUUCCAAUUAUGAUUUCAUGAAUCGUGAAUGUGGUUUACUUAUCUAUUUGAUUGAUAACAUGUUUAUGUAUGUUGAUUGAGGGUCGACACUUAGUUUGCAUGCAUGAAUUUGAUGCUAGAGUAUAAGGGAAUUUCACCUAAUCGUCAUUAACUUAUAUUCAUAAGUAGUAAAAGUCGCUAGUCACGAUUGUGUUAAGUAAAUCCUAGGCAAGAGUAACAUGCGUAUCCCAUAGUUAUGAAUGCCUCGUCAAUGCUUAUGAUUUCCAUUGAACUUAAUGAUCUUUGAUAUGUGUCUCUAUCAUGUGUAUUCCAUAGUUAGGGUCCUUGAUAAGAAUAAUUUGGUUGUAAUACGUAUCCCAUUCAAUUCAAUGAAUCUAGGGAAAUCUGAGAAUUAAUUGGUGCAAUCUAGUUAAUUUGGGGCAUUGUCAUUCAUGGUUUGUUGAAAGAGUAAUUGGAAAUCGAGUCGUAUGCAUAUGUUUCAUGUGUGGAGAAGGAACCUUUUAACUAGCCUUUCACCAUCUUAAUUUACCUAAAAUCGUUUUUGUCAAGUUAGUUUACAAAGUUUUGUUUUGUUUUAAAAUUCGUCCAAAAUCAAUCCCCCUUUACUUGGUUGAGUCAUAGUAGUUAGAAAUCACUUUAGUUUGUGUUUUUAAGUGUCUUAGGUCAAGUGAAAACCAAUUUUCGUCCAAGUUUGUGUCUAGUGUUCAAAACUGCCCAGAUUGUGGUUUUAAGGCAAUUUUGAGUGUUUCUGGGCUGUUUUGAGUCUUUUGGUUUGUUUUGGUGUUUUAAAGUUUAGUUUUGCAUUCUUUGAGUCUAGUUUAGUGUUUUAAACUUGUUUUUACGUAUUUGAGUCAGUUUUCAAGUGAUUUUGCAAUCCCUCCUAAUCCCCAGUUUAGAACGAUCCAUACUUACAUACUUUGCUACAAUUGAUAAAAAGAGGGUUAAUUUGUGUGUCAACAUAAUUUUCACAUCAAUUAAGAUCCCUCUGAGUAAAAAGAUACUGAAGACUCUUAUGAUCUGUGAAGAUCUUACAUUUCUCACCAUAAAGAUAAUGUCUCCAAAUCUUCAAAGCAAAGAUGAUAGCUACUAACUCCAGAUCAUGAGUAGGGUAAUUCAUCUCGUGAGGCUUCAAUUGUUGUGAAGCAUAAGCAAUCACCCUACCAUGUUGCAUCAACACACAACCUAGGCCAUUUAAGGAAGCAUCACUGCAGACCUCAAAAUUACCUCUAUCAUCUGGGAGUGCCAAAACAGGUGCAUGAGUGAGAUAAUACUUCAACUGCUGAAAACUUUGCUCAUAAUUAUCAUCCCACUCAAACUUAACUUCUUUUCUAGUCAACCUUGUUAAUGGCAAAGCAAUGACUGAAAAAUCCUUAACAAACCGUCUAUAAUAGCCUGCUAGGCCAAGAAAACUCCGUACCUCAGUAGCAGUUCGAGGUUGCUCCCAAUUCUCCAUAGCUGCCAAAGUAAGAUGUCGAACAUGCUCUGCUUUAGACUUAGAGUAACCAAAAUGUCAUCAAUAAAGACAAUGACAAACCUGUCUAUAUAUGGCUGGAAUACUCGAUUCAUCAAAUCCAUGAAAGUUGAUGGUGAAUUCGUUAAUCCGAAUGGCAUCACAAGAAACUCAUAAUGACCAUAACGAGUUCUGAAAGCAGUCUUAGGGACAUCCUCACUGCUGAUCUUCAAUUGGUAAUAACCAGACCUCAAAUCAAUCUUAGAAAACAAACAGGCACCUCGAAGUUGAUCAAACAAAUCAUCUAUAUGCGGCAAUGGAUAACGAUUUUUAAUUGUUACCCGCUUCAAUUGCCUAUAAUCAAUACAUAGCCUCAAAGUCCCGUCUUUCUUCCUUACAAACAAAACUGGAGCUCCCUAGGGUGAAGUAUUAGGCUGAAUAAACCUUUAUCGAUUAAUUCCUGUAACUAGACUUUCAAUUCCCUCAAUUCAGCAGGAGCCAUUCUAUAUAGAGUCAAAGAUAUAGGAUCCGUACUUGGAAGCAAAUCAAUAGUGAACUCCACAUCUUGGUUUGGCGGCAAUCCAGGUAAAUCAUCGGGGAAUGCAUCAGGAAAAUGUCUGACUACUCGAACAUCAUCCACACUACUAAAAGCAACAUCAUUCAACACUACAUGAGCUAAAUAUCCCUGGCAACCUUUCGAUAACAACCUUUUCGCCCUUACAGCAUAAAUAAUGCCACGCCUCACCCCACUACGUUCACCCACAAAACUAACUUCAGGUAAUCCUGGACAAUGAAAAGUAACUGUCUUCCCAAAGUAAUCUAUAUUGGCACGAUUAUAAUGCAACCAAUUUGUGCCUAAAAUCCCAUCAAAAUAAACAAUAUCUAACGAGAUAAGAUUAGCUAGCAUAACCACAUCUUCUACCAUCACUGGACAUCCUGGAUAUACUCGAUCAACAUAACAUCUCUUCCCUCUAGGCAUAGCAAACUCUAAGUCAUACCCUAGAGGUGUAGGAUGAGGUUGCGUCACUUGAGCAAAUGCAUGAGAAAUAACAAAAUGCGUAGCACCACAAUCAAUUAAAACUCUAGCAAAGUGACCAAGAAUGUUUAACGUACCCAUAAUCAAGUAUGGAUGAUUCAAUCAGUUGUUUUGACACACCCCGACCUAAAUCAGGAUAUGAUGGCCGUCACGUGAGGGUGACGUAGCCAUGUGCACAGUGCGGAAGCAAUAGAGAUAUAAGGAAUUACGAAUAAACAAAAACCAAAUCAAUUAGAGUAUUAGAUAAGAUAAGGUGCCAGUACAAGAUUAAGUAUGAAGUACACAACCAGAGCAUACAUAGCCUAAGUGCAAUCAAGCAGGACAAGUACUAAUUAUACAACAUCCAAGGGUGAUCCUACAUUUAAGUAUGAACCCCCGUCGAAAUCCUUGUGAUCCACCAAAGCAAUUCUACCUAAAACCUGGAUAGGUGCAAAACAGAGAGUGUGAAUGGGCAAAAACAAAGCUUUUCAAAAUCAUUUCAUUUCUCAAAAGUUCUAACCCCUCGCAGUAAAACCUAUAUAAUUUCCCAGAAAAUAAUAAUAAUAAUAAGCCACAUCAAAAAUCAUACUCAAGAUGAAAAUCCAUAGAAGUAUACCAUGCCAAAGUAUCUCAAUGCAAUGCUAUAAGUAAUCCAAGCAAAAUAUAUUAAUGUCAAAUAUCGCAUCAGCCAAACUCCUUUAACUCAAUCUGCACGGCUCAGUAUAUAGCUCAUAACCAAUCUCAAUCAUAUCAAAUCAAAUCCUGCACACGAGUCAGAACCACCUAAAGUGGUAUGUAAGACAAGACUAGGUCUAAAAUAAAUAUGCUCUAGUGCUAUGAUCACGUGAAGGUUGUGCGAAUAAUUACGGGUCACCUACGAGUCGGAACCACCUAAAAUGGUCAGUACGAUAAGCCUGUGCACCUAACUUGGAUCCAAGGUGAGCAUAUGGUGCGGGAGGUCAACAUCACGUGAAGGACUGUGCCCUAACUCUGGGCGGGAGAACUAACACUGUGAAGGAUGAUUUUGUGAAAACAUGUUCAUUUGAAUAACAUCUAUAGCAUGCAUUUAACAAUUAAAAGGCGGAAUCAUGCUUGCAUGCAUUCAAAAACAAAACAUUACCCAUGAAAUUCAAAGCCUAGUAGAUUGGUGAACCAAGACUCAACUCAAAUCAAAGUGAGUUGAGAAAUGUAUACCUUUGUAGAUUCCUCUUUGCAUAAGCAAAGGCUAAUCACCCAAGGAGAGGGCCUUCAUUCCUUGCUUCUUAGAUCCAUGGAUUUGGAUGGAAGAAUAUGGUUCUCCAAGUUCCCAAAAUUGAGAACCUCUAAGUGUCCACACCAAGGUAAGAUUGAUGAAGAAAUGAGUGACCUUGGAGUAGUGGGAUUGCUAGAUACACCCUCCAAGGGGGCCGGCCUCCUAGAGAGAAAAGGAGAGACAUGUUCUUUCCAAUUUUCUCCAAAAGAACCCUUAAUGAAUUUUAGGCUAUAAAGUUCUUUAUAUAGUCACUUCUUUAAAUGACGUAAGAACCAAAAACCCUAAUUCAACACACAUGGCCGGCCACAUAAGGGAUUUGGGCUUUUGGGCCUUUGUGAAUCUUUAUUCAUUAAAUUGUCAUACAACUUAAGUCAAUGGGCUUGACGUUCGAAGCCCAUUGGGCCUUAAGGUCCAAAACUAUCCCGAGGUCUUUAACGAACUUAUUCGUUUGAUUAAUUAACAUAUUAAUUAAUCCUUGCCAUAAAUAAUUAAACCAUUUAAUUAUUCUUACUCAUCUCCAUUGUUUCUUCAAUCUCCACCUUACACGGUGUACGAUCCAUUAGGUUCCUUUUAGCGAGGUAGUGGGCGAUUAAAACUCUUUCAAAUCGAUUGUGAAUUGAAACUUACUUUCAAUUCUCUCUUUAGUGUUUAUACACGUUUAGGGCUUCCACAAACCAAGAGUGACACCUAGCAACAUAUCAUGGUUACCCAAGCUAAUCAGAAGAGGUAGAGAACCUAUUCAGUUUAGGAUUACAAAUGCAAUACGGUCUUUCUCUAAUACAAUACUCUUGACCACAUUGUUUGGUUUGAUAGUUUUUUCAUGUCUACUAUCCAAUGUGAUUCGUGUGCUUAUGAUUACCUUGAAUGUGAUUUGGAACGACUUCCUAAAUCUCAUUCAUACUUUGGCCAGAGAUUCUUAAUCAUAUCAUAGAGUAUUCUCCCUCAAACAGUUUGAAGGUUAGAGAUCCCUUGUUGCGCAUUCACUUGCCUCCAUGGCUAAGUGGCUUAAUCCUAACUAUGCCGUGGACACCCGCGGAUGGGGUGACUUUGACAUAAUCAAAGAUCAAGGACUUAACCACAAGACAAACGUGAUGCCUCAGGUCAAAGGACUACUUUGCAUUAUCCCAACCAUGAGUUCUCAUGUGACAUGAAUAUGAGAACUUUUUGUUGAUCGUGUUCAGUGAACUCAUUCUCUAUUGAGCACCUACGUACUUGUCUUGAUGUCACACACACCAAUGACUCGAGACUAGUCACUCUCCCUGAGAGAAGACACAUCACGUACUGAUCUUAACAGACUGUCAAUGCCCAAUUGGCAAUCCUAUGAUCAGGAACGUUUAGGAUGUGUCUACAAAAGAAUGGUCUCAUGAAUCUAACUUCUUUAGAUCACAUUCUCCUAAUCACAUAUUCCUUGGACUUAUCGUUUAAGCAUAUAACAUUUAUAUGAGACGGCUCAAACAAUAAUCUUUGCCCUUGAUAUUAAACUAGAUUAGUUUAACAUGUGAAAUGUCCGUAAAGUAUCAUCAUAUGAUUGGUUUUAGGGCACAUUUCCAACAAUCUCCCACUUGCACUAGAGCCAAUCAGCUUAGUCAUCAGUGAUGAUACCUCUUCUGUAGUCAUUUCAUAAAUGGCUGAAUAGUAGGCCUAGACAAUGGAUAUCUAUAUGUUAUCCAUAGAAGCAACCUUGAGAAUAACGACGUCACCAUUAUACAUGAUUCUCAAUCAUGUGGUUCAGUCUCUCAUUUGAGUUCGGACCUUGAUGAGACCUUGAUUCCCUGGCUUGAGCUAUCGCCCCAUUAGUGUCAUAGUGUCAGUACACUAGAUACACUUUCUGGUUGGAACCGAAUAGAGAGUUCAUAAAUGAACUUUCCCAUCCAAACAACAUUGUUGUAAGCUUCUAUAUGGCAAUAUAUUUUGCAUUCAUAAUGGAACACACUAAAGUCAUUACUUUAAUGUUUCCAUCCAAAUAUCUCUUUAGUCAUAAUAAAGAGAUAUCCGUUUAUCUCUUCAUUCAUAAUGAAGAAACAUCCAAUGAUGGAUUAGAUUCAUAAUCUAAUACAUUUACGCUUCCAUUACGUUACUCUAAUUCUUCCUCAAUCUUUGACGAAUUUAUCCUUUAGUAUUUCUCAAAUACUUAAGGACUUACUUGACAGUUGCCAUGGUUCUGAUCCUGGGCUUGCACUGAUAUCGUCUUGUACCGUUCUAGGUACAACUCAUAUCAAUGUUUUUCAUACAAUAUGAAAUACAUAAAUCCCCUUUAUGCAUACGCAUAAAGGAUUCUAUUUACGCAUUAUUUCUUUCGGAGUCAAAGAGUACGUUCUCUUUGAGAAGAGCAACUUCUUAGUCUCACUAGAGUUAUCCUUCUAAUUGAAGUUUAUCAUCAUAUGAGAAAUUUUCUAGCAUCUAUUGUCUAUUAUUAGGGAUUGAUAUAAUCCAAUUAUAUCAUGAAAUAUAUCAUUAUAGAUUUCCAUCCCAUGUAUAUAGACUAUAUCUCCCAUAUACAUUCUAUCUUCAUAUAAUGUUUUAAAGUCAUAACUUUAACGAAGAAGAAUUCUUUUCAUUUCCAAAAUUAAUAUAUCAUAUAUAUUAAAUUUUAGGAACAUGAUUAACUCCCAUAUACAUUCUAUCGUUAUAGAAUGUUUAAAGUCAUAACUUUAACGAAGAAGAAUUCUUUUCAUUUCCAAAAUUAAUAUAUCAUAUAUAUUUAAAUUUUAGGAACAUGAUUAACUCCCACUAAUCUUUUGUAAACCUAGUAAACAAAAAAAAUUCAUUUACAUCUUUAUGAGAAAUCAAACGAUUUGAUCAUUUUCUCAUAAGAUGCUCAUAGCUCCCACUAGCUUGCUUAGAUUCAUCAUGGACGGAUCUCUACCACUUACAUGUCUUGUGAUUCAUAGUUUUAGACAUAUAUUAUCAAGACUAUCUUAAUAAUGGUUUCGGAAACCCAUAUUAUGUCCAAACAUUGAAUCACCAUUUAGUUGUAGCUAGCUAUCUUCGAAUUAAUUGAAACCAAGACUACGUCAAAAAUGGUUUCUUCAAAGUCAACCAUCCUUUUUGAUUGUAGUUACCUUAAGCUACCAAUUAGCUUAUGAAGGUUUCAUUAUUUCGGGUCAAAUGGUACUUUACCAUUUCCUUGAGUAUAUAUCGUAUAUACACUCAAUGUAGUCAUAAGGAUUUUCAUUCUUAUUUCUUUCGAAUUAAGAGGUGCAACUCUAUGACAUAGUCAUAAAGUUCAAACCAUUCAACUGAGACGGUUUAUAAAUCCUUCUCGACUACCUUGGAGCUUUUGGUAUAGGAACUAGGUUGUUUAUAUUUGUUGAUUACUUUCUUGUCUCUCAAAGAACCCAUUCUUUGAGUUCUAUCUCUCGUUCAUUUGCUCUUAGGCAAAUCACAUUGUAGGAUUACAAUGAACUACCCAACAAAACAACAUUUGUUAGUUGGUUUAUAGAAGCGAUAUCCAAAAGUUAAUUUAAGGAUAUCCCACAAGAUUGUUAUCAAACAAAUAUUGCUUAUUAGCACACAACCCCAAAUCUUAACAUGCUUGAGAUUUGUCUUUCUUUCCAACUACAUCUUAUGGAGUCAUGAAAAAUUUGGAAGAUCUUCUAAUUGACAAUCAUAUUGUUUUUAGAAGUAUAUAUCCUAUAUAUGGGUAAUAGAUAACAUCCAACGAACUAAAUCUUAUUUAAGUUCGUUCUUCUCCUUAAUGGAGAAAUUUAUUAUCUUAUGAUGCUUCUUUCCUUGAUAUCUUUCAAGGAGACUCAUCUAAAGUGUUUCUUUUCCUUGGAUCAAAUCUAAGUAGGUAAAUACUUUAGAUGUCUUACUCAUCAACUUACAUUACUUGAAUUCUUUGAAACAUUUUGCAAAGUAUUCGGAUUUGUGUUUAUUCAAAAUAAACUAUAGUCCAACCGAGAGUGAUCUUCGGUGAAUGUCAUAUAACAUAAGUAGUAUUAUGUUGUGGACAAGUGCCAUUAACAUCUAAGUGAAUUAACCUCAACAACUUUGUGAUUCUUUCUUCUUUCCAAAAGAAUAAAGAUUCGAACAUUUCACCUCUAUACAAUUUUAACAAGAAGGUAUUGGAUCCGGAUCUAACGAUCCAAAGCAUCCAUCUAUGACCAACUCGUAAUUUAUGAUUUAGAGGUAUCACAAUUUAGUUGAGAUUAGUCACUACCAUGCAACCUUUUGGGUUUUAAGCAUCAUUGUAUUCUAAACAGUUAACACUACCAUAUCAUCUCUACUAUACAGACAAUCCAUUAGAUUACUAUAAUCCAAUCAUUGAUUAAUAAAGAACAAUGUUUUGUCAAACAAAACAUUCAUCCAUCUCUACUAUAGUGACGGAAUUAAAUUCCUUAAAAUUGGAAUGUAAAGACAAUCUUUGGUUUUUCCAAUUUCUUUGGUAGUUCAUAUGAGGAAGUAAGUACUAUCUGCUUUCGCAGAGAUUUAUAUUUUAUUCACGUUCCGAAUGUGAAGCACCUUUUUUCUUCUCUCAUAUAUCUUCUACUUCUUAUUAGUCACACUUUUACAACGAUUGUAAAACAUAGUUGCUAAUACGGAAUCAAGCAUUCAAGUAGAAGAACCAACUGUUUUGAACUAUUCAAGAACAAUUUACAACACCUUCGAAAGCUGUGUUCUUGAUACUUGCAAGACAUUUCUUGCAUAUACCCCUUCCAAUGUCCAUCCUUUCAUAAAGAAAGUUUGUUCCCUUGGAGUUAAUUUUAUCUUCUUCAUUUGACUUCUCCUUUGACUACAAUAGUCAUGGUCCCUAAACUCCCACUAUCUCUCUUGAAACUUAUUUCAAUUGUGUUAUACACAUCAAACAUUUUGGAGAGCAUGUGGUUAUUGUUCACUACAUAGUUUACAAUAAACUUAGUGAACCAUUAGGAUAGGGACACAUAGGUGAAGUCCUUGCCUAGUUUCCGUCUCGUUAAGUGGUUUAUCACUUCAACACUCAAUGAUUCAAAAUCAUCAUAAGUCCAUGUUAAUGGACUAUUUUUGUCAACCAACCAUUAUGUUCUAAACAUAAUUACAAACUUUCAAGAGUUGUACAAGGCAACUCUUAUUUCUUCAUACAACAAAUUGUAAGUGAAGAAUCAUGGCACAUUAAGUGUCCAUGCCUUUGUGCUUUCUUCUCAAGUUCCUUGUUCAUGUAACAAAGAAACAAGCACUAAGUGUUUGCAUUGACUAAGAGUUGUUCAAAGCAACUCCUAUUUCUUCAUACAACAAAUUGUAAUUGAAGAAUUAUGACAUUAAAAGUGUUAUCCUCUUUAUGAUAGACCUUUUCUAACAUAUUCUUCUAAUGAUACAUUAUCAAUAGGAAGAUUGUGAGGAUGAGACUACUUAGGUACAUUUACAAGCCAUUAAAGACAAUCUAUGGUUUUGUAGUACCAAGUACGGAAACUAAAGCUUUUGGCUUUUAUUUGUUAAGUGUUGGAUAGCGUUUGCAAAUAUAUUGGUAAACAAAUACAUAACGAAUAUAAAUUGAUUGAUUUUAAGCCAUUUGAUUCGGGUCUUUAAAUCAAAUAGCACCACCCACUAUUUUUGGCAAAUUCCAUAUCCCUCAUUGGAAUUCGAGAGUUUUGGAUGAAACUCUUAGUAGGGUAUGGGAGACUCACUACUACCAAGCCCACCUCACAAUGAUAUGAUGUUGGCUAGCAUUAAUAAUAAUGAGAGAGUACGCUUACUCAUUUGCAUCUCUUGCAAGUACCCAUCUUAUUUGGCCUCUAGAGAAUGUCACCUCACAAUGAUAUGAUGUUGGCUCCAUUGCACUUAGUUAAGUCAUUCCCACCAUGCUUAGUUUGUGAAGGGGUUCAAGAAUAGCCUCACAAUGAUAUGAUGUUGGCCAUCCUCGUUGCCUACACUCACCUCAUCAAGUAUGUAUAUAGACUCCUCCUGAGUAUAAGCAUGCACUUUGCACUCCCCCAUGAUAGGGUGAAGGCGGUGUACAAGUCAUAAACGAUUGGAGCCUACCACGGUGGAAGGCCACGAAAGAGUGUUCAAAGCACUCUCACGCUUGUCAACUUAAUAAUGGUUUGGUUAAGGGUUUUAGGUCUCAUCACAUAUAAACAUUCAUUUUAAUCUAUAUUAAAAUAAUUUUGGUCCUAUUACAACUAUUGGUCCAUUUGAUUGUUUUAGUUGUAUAUAAUACUCCCACUAUGCUUAUAAAACGGUUUUUAAAGCAAGAGUAUAUAGUUGCCUUAGGGCCUUAGGAUGAUUAUGAACCUUUUAAUUAGAUCCAACAUGAGCCUUGUGUUGAAGCUCGGUCUAGGGAUGGUGAUUGAUUUUAGUUACGCGUUUAAUCACAUUAAGGCGUGUUGUCUUAGGGGCGUUGGACCCAACUACUUCAUUUUCAUGCAUAUCAAAUAAAGCAAGAAAGAAGUACUUCAAAGUAAAGGUGAGCUUAUGCUCAUUACAACAUUUGCAUAAAUCAAAUUACUUUAAAGUAAAGAAGAGCUUAAGCUCUUUUACAACAUUUGAUCAACUCAAAUUACAACCAAAAUCUAAUCUAUACAUUCCCAUGGUUCAAACAAAUUUGAAACGGCCUAUCACAUAGCUCAAUUAUAUUAGGCUUAGGUUCAUAAUCACCCUUUAAUUAAUUAACACUUUAACUAAUUAAAUUGAAUGCAACAUUUUCAUUUGGUUUUUGUAUCCAUAAAAUUGAUUUAAAUGGAGCUAAAUGAAAUGAAAAUCCAAUUCUCAUUUAAAGAGACAAAACAAUUUUGUUCUCUACCUAAUUUGGACCAAUAUGCAAUUACCACAACCUUUGGGCUAUAUUGCAAAAACACAAACUUUUGGGGUCACUUUGUAAAAACACAAAAGUCCACAACUUCAUGUAAUUACAAGUAGAACCCAAAAUUUAAACAAUGCAAAAACUUCAUUAAAGGAACAAAACAAUUUGUCCUUUAGCGUUUUUGGACCUAAACGUAAAAACAUAAACUUUUGGGCCAAAGUGCAAAUACACAAAAGUAUCAAAACUUUAUGUAAUUGCAUAAAAGCCCUAAAAGUACCCUACAUGUAGGGUGGCCGGUUUUGGAGAGGGAAAGGAGUGAUGUGUGUGUUGAUUUGUGAGUUUUGACAUAAAGCAAGCAAGUGGUGCAAGUGGUGUGUGUGAAAAGGAAUUAAUCAUUUCACACCCACCAUUAUUUCUACCACCAUUUAAACAAAUAUCUAACACAUAAAUCAUUUGAAAAAACAUAAAACAUAAACUUUAUGAAAUAAAUCAAAACUUUGAAUCAAAACACAAAACUUUUUGUUCUUGGCAAAAAUGUCAAGAACAAUGAAGAACAUUCAUGAAAAACCCAAAAAAUUUCCAUGAACAUUUUUACUCCAAAAACAUCCCAAAACCAUUCAAACUUUAGGGAAAUAACAUAUAACCAAACUAGGGUACAUAGGGGUUCCAAAAGUCACUUGAAAACACUUUUAACAAGUCAAACAAGAACCCAAAAAUCCACCCUUUGGAUUUGGCCGAAUUUUCCCAAAAACAUGGCACCAAAUUUUAGCUCCAAUAUUCAUGCUCAUAUGAACUACAUCUUCAACAUUUGAGAUGGCAAAUUUUCUAACAAAAUUUACAUUCAAAGAAACAAGAAUAAAUCUUGUAACAUAUUACAACUUUUAAAUCACAAACUAUGAACCACAAAACCCAAAAGGAUUCACCAACUACUAGACCUAGGCUCUGAUACCACUUGAAGGAUGAUUUUGUGAAAACAUGUUCAUUUGAAUAACAUCUAUAGCAUGCAUUUAACAAUUAAAAGGCGGAAUCAUGCUUGCAUGCAUUCAAAAACAAACAUUACCCAUGAAAUUCAAAGCCUAGUAGAUUGGUGAACCAAGACUCAACUCAAAUCAAAGUGAGUUGAGAAAUGUAUACCUUUGUAGAUUCCUCUUUGCAUAAGCAAAGGCUAAUCACCCAAGGAGAGGGCCUUCAUUCCUUGCUUCUUAGAUCCAUGGAUUUGGAUGGAAGAAUAUGGUUCUCCAAGUUCCCAAAAUUGAGAACCUCUAAGUGUCCACACCAAGGUAAGAUUGAUGAAGAAAUGAGUGACCUUGGAGUAGUGGAGUGGGAUUGCUAGAUACACCCUCCAAGGGGGCCGGCCUCCUAGAGAGAAAAGGGAGAGACAUGUUCUCUCCAAUUUUCUCCAAAAGAACCCUUAAUGAAUUUUAGGCUAUAAAGUUCUUUAUAUAGUCACUUCUUUAAAUGACUUAAGAACCAAAAACCCUAAUUCAACACACAUGGCCGGCAACAUAAGGGAUUUGGGCUUUUGGGCCUUUGUGAAUCUUUAUUCAUUAAAUUGUCAUACAACUUAAGUCAAUGGGCUUGACGUUCGAAGCCCAUUGGGCCUUAAGGUCCAAAACUAUCCCGAGGUCUUUAACGAACUUAUUCGUUUGAUUAAUUAACAUAUUAAUUAAUCCUUGCCAUAAAUAAUUAAACCAUUUAAUUAUUUUACUAUUCUUACAUCAUCCAUUGUUUCUUCAAUCUCCACCUUACACGGUGUACGAUCCAUUAGGUUCCUUUUAGCGAGGUAGUGGGCGAUUAAAACUCUUUCAAUUCGAUUGUGAAUUGAAACUUACUUUCAAUUCUCCCUUUAGUGUUUAUACACGUUUAGGGCUUCCACAAACCAAGAGUGACACCUAGCAACAUAUCAUGGUUACCCAAGCUAAUCAGAAGAGGUAGAGAACCUAUUCAGUUUAGGAUUACAAAUGCAAUACGGUCUUUCUCUAAUACAAUACUCUUGACCACAUGGUUUGGUUUGAUAGUUUUUUCAUAUCUACUAUCCAAUGUGAUUCAUGUGCUUAUAUGAUUACCUUCACUGUGAUUUGGAACGACUUCCUAAAUCUCAUUAAUACUCUGGCCAGAGAUUCUUAAUCAUAUCAUAGAGUAUUCUCCCUCAAACAGUUUGAAGGUUAGAGAUCCCUUGUUGCGCAUUCACUUGCCUCCAUGGCUAAGUGGCUUAACCCUAACUAUGCCGUGGACACCCGCGGAUGGGGUGACUUUGACAUAAUCAAAGAUUAAGGACUUAACCACAAGACAAACGUGAUGCCUCAGGUCAAAGGACUACUUUGCAUUAUCCCAACCAUGAGUUCUCAUGUGACAUGAAUAUGAGAACUUUUCGUUGAUCGUGUUCAGUGAACUCAUUCUCUAUUGAGCACCUACGUACUUGUCUUGAUGUCACACACACCAAUAACUCGAGACUAGUCACUCUCCCUGAGAGAUGACACAGCACGUACUGAUCUUAACGGACUGUUAAUGCCCAAUUGGCAAUCCUAUGAUCAGGAACGUUUAGGAUGUGUCUACGAAAGAAUGGUCUCAUGAAUCUAACUUAUUUAGAUUGCAUUCUCCCAAUCACAUAUUCCUUGGACUUAUCGUUUAAGCAUAUAACAUUUAUAUGAGACGGCUCAAACAAUAAUCUUUGCCCUUGAUAUUAAACUAGAUUAGUUUAACAUGUGAAAUGUCCGUAAAGUAUCAUCAUAUGAUUGGUUUUAGGGCACAUUUCCAACACACUGGGGUGUAGGUUUAUGAGCUCUCAAAACAUCACAUCAUAUCUCACAUAACUGAAGUAACCUCAAAUCUUUAAUUUAUGAUUUUACCUGGCACUUACCUGUGCGUCCGCAACACCAAUCAUAAUUAUAUGCAACUACUAAUGCAUAAAUAAAAAAGGCAGAUGCUUUGCAUGGCAUUUCAAAACGUAUAAUCAUUCAAAUUCAUUUUCUGGGAAAAAUCUCAAGUAUAUAGGUAUAUACAGAAAACCAAAAGCCCACUCAUUGAUAUGUUGAAGGGUCGUAGCCCCCGAGCCUUAAUUGAUGGCCUUCGUCCUCAUAAUAGGUCUCACCUAUAUGCGAAAUAACUGAAUAAACAUUAUUUAAGGCACAUAUACAAAACGAGGAAAUAACUUCUCAUACAUUGCUCAAAUGGGGUAUUUGAAUAUACCAGCAUGAUCUACUCAACCUCAGGAACAUCCCUAAAUUUUUAGAAAAAAUUUUCAUGACCCCAUGCACCGGCCAAGGCACGGCCAGUUGCGCGGCUCACGUGCAGGCACGUGCCUGGCACACCAAACGGAUUCCCUAACGGCGUUAGGGAAUAUUCCGUCAAAAAUCAGAAUAUGCCGUUAUGUUUACCUAACGGCGUCAGAAUAUUCCGUCAACUCUGAUGGAAUAUUCUUCUCCUUCUUCCUUGGUUUGCUGGAGUCCGGCACCGGUCACCACUGCACUCGCCGGUUUUUGAAAAAAUUUAAAAUCUUCAUAUCUCCUUCAAUUCUCAACCAAAACUCACGAAAUUUGUUUCAAAAUGAAGCUUAGAGGGAUUAGAACACAACCUUACCAAAUUCACGCCUUGAAAUCCAUGAGAUUUUGCCAGAGAAACCUCGAUAUUACGGCCAAACUUGAAACUUGUCAAACUCAACUUCCCGACGUCCAAAACAAUUCGUUUUUCUUCUUCGAGCUUCACGAAGACGUCCUAAAGCUUCCUAGCAGCUUAAAAUCUCCUAAAAACUUCACAAUCACGAGUGCAUGAAUAGUAACCCAAAACUGGGUUCUCGAAUUCUCGGGAAAAUGAGGUCUUCACGUUCUAAAAGCGAUAUAGAUGUGUUCCUGAGCUCACAAGGAACACGAAUGUGACUUUAAAAACCUCGAUUCGUGAAGAAAUUGCUUGGUUUGAGGUUUUUCCAUACGUGUUGUACGGAAAAUGGACAAAAACCGAGAGGGAAGAGAGAGAGAGGGUCAACGGGAUUGGGUGUGUGUGUGAAUGUGUGGUCCAGCUUGUCACCAACCAAAACUAGGAAAAAUUUUAGUUCUAGUUGGGUCCAAAAACUUAGGAAAGAAAAUAAUUGGUCCACAACACAACUUAAAACCACACAACACCACAAAUGAUUAAGGGUAAAUUAGACAUUUCACACCAUCAGAGAAAAUAUUUCAGGACGAGCUAUGACAUGUUUAUUAAAUAUUAUUUUCUUUAUUUUAAACACAUUCAAAACAUCUUAAGAGGCGUGUGAUGCCGAGUAUAAAAAAGUCUUUCGCAUGCAGAUAAUAAUGUGAUUAAAUUAGUUGUCAAAUGAUUUUUUUUAACAAAGAUAUUAUCUACACUAAGGGUGAAUAUUGAUUUUGGUGUCACCAAACCUCAACAAAAAUAUUUGGACAAAAAUACCCCCACGACAAAAAACUUCAAAUGCAUCCCAAAAUAAUACAUCAAAUAAAGCAGGGGCAUUUUCAUCAUUUUGAUAGUAUGUUUUUAAUAAUUAAUUUUUUUUUUGUUUUUUUUUAAUUAGUACCUCACAAUAGGCUAGAAAUAAUGUGAUUCAAUUUCUCUAUUUUUAAACACGUUCAAAACAUCUUAAGAGGUGCAUAAUGCCAGUUAUAAAAAAGGUCAUUUGCAUGCGGAUAAUAAUGUGAUUAAAUUAGUGUCAAAUGAUUUUUUUAACAAACGAUAUUAUCUACACUAAGGGGGAGGGGGUGAGUUUAGCCUCACAACGAGCUAGUAAUAAUGUGAUUCAAUCAGUAGUUUGUUAAAUAUUAUUUUCUCUAUUUUAAACACGUUCAAAACAUCUUAAGAGACGCGUAAUGCCGGUUAUAAAAAUAGUCUUUUGCACACAGAUAAUAAUGUGAUUAAAUUAGUUGUCAAAUGAUUGUUUUUUUUAACAAACGAUAUUAUCUAUACUAAGGAGGUGGUGUGACAGCCCAUCCCGAAAUAUUUAUUUUUGACGGCGUGAAAUUACUUAUAUACCCUUGGACGUUUUGUGUGGGGGUGUGGGACCAAUUACUGCUAAGUCCUAUUAUUUUGGAACCAAUUAGGACUUAGAUGAUAUUUUCUUUGGUUUUGGUUAGUGACCCACGUGGACCACACACACACACACACACACACACACACACACACUCUCUCUCUCUCUCUCUUAUGUUGACUCUCUCUCUUCCCUCUCGGAUUUCUUUUAUCUUCCACACAAGUUGUACGAACAACCUUGAAGUUUCACUUCCCAUCAUGAAUCGAGCUCAUUGUUACCAUCAUCAUCCUCAUCUCAUCGUAACAAGCUCAACCAUACCCUUUCUGAUCGUGAAACCUUCGAAACUCGAGAGCCCAAGAUACUCAUUUUUGGUGCAUUGUUCAUGCACACAUAAAUGUGAAGGUUUCAGUGGUUUUUGAGCUUCUAGGAAGCUUUAGGACUUCUCCACGAAGCUCAGAGAAGAAAAACAAGGUGAAUUGGACGUCGGGAAGUCGAGAUCAACGAGUUCAAAGUUUGGCCGGAUUAUCGAAGGAUCUCCGGCGAAUUCUCGAGGAUUUCAGGUCCCAAAAUUGGUAAGCUUUUGUUCCUUACAUUGUAAGCUUCAUUUUGGUGAAGAUUUCGUGGAAUUUGGUGCAAAAAUGAGAGAGAUAUGAGGUUUUACAUAUUUUUCCAGUUUCCAGCAGACGGCGACAGCAACGGUGACCAGCUAAGCUGAUCGGAGAAGAAGAUAGAAUAUUUCCGUCAAAUUUUACGAAAUAUUCUGAUGCCAUCAGGUAGAUUUAACGGUUUCUAUUGCCUUUUAACGGAAUAUUCCUAACGGCAUUUAGGAUUCCGUCAAGGUUACCAGCGCGUGGGGGCACGUCUGGCCGUGCCUUUGCCGAUGCGUGGGGCGUCGAAAAAUAUUUCUAAAAAUAUAGGGAUGUUCGUGAGGUUGUGUAGAUCACGUUGGUAUAUUCAAACAUCCCAUUUGAGCAAUGUAUGAGAAGUUAUUAACUAGUUUUGUCUAUGUGCUUUAAAUAAUGUUUAUUCAGUUAUUUCACAUAUAGGUGAGGCCUAUCCAGAGGAUGAGCGCAGUCAAGGGCAACUCGGGGGCUACGACCCUUCGACAUACCAGUAAGUAGGCUUUUGGUUUUCAAUAUAUAUUUAUAUACUUGAUAUUUUCCCAAAAAAUGCGUUUAAAUGAAAGUAUGCUUUGAAAUGCCAUGCAUAUAAAUUUAUAUUCAUCAUAUGAAUUAGUAUAUGAUGCAUAAUAUGAAUUGGUGUUGUGGACACUCAGGUAAGUACCAUGUGAGUUAUGUUUUGUUAUAUGAGAUAUUGAUAAUGGGAGACGUGAUUGAUAGCUCAUAAACCUGCUUCCCGGGUGAUUGUGAUUUAGCCAGAGAUAUGAUACAGGCUUGUUUAUGAUGUCAACUAGGGGUGGGUUCAAAAAAUCGAAAACCGAAAAAAAUCAAAAACCGAACCGGACCGAGGCCGAAAAAAUCGAACCGAAACUGUCAAAUCGAACCGAAUCGAAUCUGGCCAGUUCGAUUUCAGCUUUUUGAGGUUUGGAAACCAAACCGAAUCGAUAUAUAUUUAAUUAUUUUUUCAAUAUUAUAAAUAGUUUAGUCAUACAAUCAUAACAAAACAUAACAUGUUGCCAAGUUGGUUUCAGUGAAGCUUCUCAAGUUGCAGCGCAUGGGUUCGAAUCCUCAUGCCUCUAAGAUUUGGAGAAUUGUUUUAAUUUUUUUGAGAAAUCAACAAAACCCUUUAACCCUAGCCACUAGUAGUAGCAGCCACACCUUUUAUUUUUUUUCAUUCCCCUCUUCUCUCUCUCGUUCCUUGCCUUCAUUGUAACCCUAUCCUAGUAACCCUCUCGCACAGCCUGAGCCUCCUCUCUCUCUCGCUCGGUUCGGUCUUUUCCUUGAAGGAACUGCACGCAGCAACAAACAAUUUUAAUUAUGACAACAAACUUGGAGAGGGAGGAUUUGGAAGUGUUUACUAGGGUCAGCUCUGGGAUGGAUCACAAGUAAUCACUAACUUUUUCAAUUUAUGUUUAUAUUUGUUAUCUCUGUUGGUUACUAAGUUAACAUCAACAUUACAUAAUUAUCGAUCUUGUUAAUUUUCUCGUUUUGUGAAAGAACAAAGAUUAGGCAUUGUUCUUGAUUUUAUUAAAACGUGCAAAAUGGAAAAGGAUACUGUUUGUUGAUUUUUUGUUAGAUGUAUGAUGUCUCAUUGAUUAUAUUUACUGUUUAAUCCAUUAAGUUUAUAGAUUUUGGAAAUGUAAGUUAAUUUCACCAGAAGUUCUGUCGAAGACUUCUGGUGAAGUAGAAAGCACAUGAAUCUUACUGUUCAAAACUCCGCCUAUGUCUUACAUGGCCGGUCCCAAGCCCGGAUAAAGGAGGAGGGGGAGGGCGUCAGGUAGUCGACAGCCGGCACUCCAUGAUCACGUCGAAUCCUUAUGAAAAUGAAUCCAGAACAAAAUCGCGCUAAAGCUAGGGCGUCACCCGUAAGUGGCGCGCUGUGUGGCCUGAGCACAGUGAUAAGUGAGCAAGGGUCGCUGCAUCUCCAUCGGCACCCGGAUGCAGUGUUAAAUGAGCAAGGGGGCCAUAGAAACUUCUUUUCGAACGACUCCACUCAAAGUUGUUUGGGAGCAUAUGCUCCUAUCAAUUUUACCCGGGACACACAAAAGAAGUACUUUGAUCCUAUUAGACGGGGGAGGGGUGAAGAAGCUAGGACAGAAGGGUAGAGUUCAAGAGAGCAAAAUGCGUUUAGGAACGUGGAAUAUAGGAACCUUAACGGGAAAAUCUAUGGAAAUAGUGGAAGUUAUGGUGAGGAGAAGGAUAAAUAUUAUGUGCCUACAAGAAACUAAGUGGGUUGGUAGUAAGGCAAAGGAUCUAGAAAACUCAGGGUUUAAACUUUGGUAUUCGGGCACAAAUAGAACGAGAAACGGUGUUGGCAUCAUCGUGGACAAGACCUUGGUACAAGAUGUUGUAGAUGUCAAGAGGGUAGGAGAUAGAAUCAUGGCAAUCAAGAUUGUAAUAGGACAAGAACUUAUCAAUGUGAUUAGUGCGUACGCACCUCAAGUAGGGUUGGAUACGAGUUCGAAGGAGAAAUUUUGGGAAGAUCUUGGAGACUUGGUGCAAGGAAUUGCUCAGACGGAGAAGUUAUUUAUAGGAGGAGAUUUAAAUGGACACGUGGGCAGGGAGACAGGCAACUAUGGAGGUUUUCAUGGUGGCCAUGGUUUUGGGGAGAGAAACGAGGAUGGGGAAGCUAUCUUGGAUUUUGCAAUGGCAUAUGAUCUCUUCUUAGCCAACACCUUCUUUAAGAAGAGAGAAGAACAUGUGAUCACCUACAAGAGUGGGUCGUCAAAAACACAAAUAGAUUUUCUUCUAAUGAGGAAAGGGGAUCGUAUAACUUGUAAGGAUUGCAAAGUUAUACCAGGAGAGAGCGUGGCUAAUCAACAUCGCUUGUUGGUGAUGGAUGUACAUAUCAAAAGAGUAAGACAAAAGAACAAGACUUGGAAGUGCCCAAGGACUAGAUGGUGGAAUCUAAAAGAAGAAAAAACAAGUCAUUUUCAAAGAGAAGGUAAUCACCCAAUGUGUGUGGGAUAGAGAGGGGGAAGCUAGCCAAAUGUGGGAUUCCAUGGCUAGUUGUAUCCGAAAAGUAGCAAAAGAGGUAUUAGGAGAGUCCAAGGGCUUUGCCCCACACCAAAAGGAAUCUUGGUGGUGGAAUGAGGAGGUACAAACAAAGGUGAAGGCUAAGAAGGAAUGUUGUAAAGCCUUAUACAAGGAGAGGACCGAUGAAAAUGGUGAAAAGUAUAGAAAAGCGAAGCAAGAGGCGAAAAAAGCUGUCAGAGAAGCUAAGUUAGCGGCCUACGACGAUAUGUAUAAACGACUAGAUACCAAAGAAGGAGAGUUGGAUAUCUAUAAACUAUCUAGAGCAAGGGAAAAGAAGACAAGGGAUCUAAACCAAGUGAGGUGCAUCAAGGAUGAGGAUGGAAAGGUUCUUGCUACAGAGAACGCGGUUAAAGACAGAUGGAGAGGUUAUUUUCAUAAUCUUUUCAAUGAAGGACAUGAAAUGAGCGAUUCUUUAGGGGAGUUGAGUAACUCAGAAGAGUGUAGAAACUACUCUCUUUUUAUCGUCGAAUCCGGAAGGAAGAAGUGGUUGUAGCUUUGAAGAAGAUGAAGCAUAAAAAAGCAAUAGGCCCAGACAAUAUACCAAUCGAAGUGUGGAAACUUUUGGGAGAGACAGGUAUAACAUGGCUCACUGACCUUUUCAAUAGGAUUUUGAAAACGAAGAAGAUGCCAAAUGAGUGGCGAACGAGCACUUUGGUGCCUAUCUACAAGAACAAGGGCGACGUACAAAAUUGCAUGAACUAUAGGGGUAUUAAGCUAAUGAGUCAUACAAUGAAGCUCUGGGAGAGAGUCAUUGAGCAUAGAUUGAGGCAAGAGACACGGGUUUCGGACAACCAAUUCGGGUUCAUGCCAGGGCGCUCAACCAUGGAGGCAAUCUAUCUCUUACGAAGAUUGAUGGAAAGAUAUAGAGAUGGGAAAAAGGAUUUACACAUGGUCUUUAUAGAUUUGGAAAAAGCGUAUGAUAGGGUCCCAAGAGACAUUCUUUGGAGGAUUUUAGAGAAGAAAGGAGUACGAGUAGCAUAUAUCCAAGCUAUAAAGGAUAUGUAUGAAGGAGCAAAGACUGCCGUAAGAACUCAUGAAGGACAAACCGAAAGCUUCCCCAUAACUGUAGGAUUACAUCAAGGCUCAUCCUUAAGUCCUUACCUUUUUGCGUUGGUAAUGGAUGAGUUAACAGGACAUAUUCAAGAUGAUAUUCCUUGGUGUAUGCUUUUUCGCAGACGAUAUAGUGUUGAUAGAUGAAACUCAGGAAGGGGUAAAUGCAAAGCUUAACCUUUGGAGAGAAGUGUUGGAAUCUAAAGGUCUUCGCCUAAGCCGAUCAAAGACAGAAUAUAUGGAGUGCAAGUUCAGUGCAAAUGGAGGCCAAAACGAGUUAGGGGUGAGGAUCGGAGAUCAAGAAAUACCAAAAAGCGACCGUUUUCGUUACCUAGGAUCUAUCUUGCAAAAGAACGGAGAAUUAGAUGGAGAUCUCAACCAUAGAAUACAAGCUGGAUGGAUGAAGUGGAAGAGUGCAUCCGGUGUGUUGUGUGACCGCCGUAUGCCAUUGAAGCUCAAGGGAAAAUUUUAUAGGACGGCAAUAAGGCCGGCGAUGCUGUAUGGCACAGAAUGUUGGGCGGUGAAACAUCAACAGGUACACAAAAUGGGUGUAGCGGAGAUGAGGAUGCUUCGUUGGAUGUGUGGGCACACAAGAAAGGAUAAGAUUAGGAAUGAGGAUAUCCGGGGUAAAGUAGGAGUAGCCGAAAUUGAAGGAAAGAUGAGAGAAAAUCGGUUACGGUGGUUUGGACAUGUGCAAAGAAGGCCUACUGACGCUCCGAUUAGAAGAUGCGACUAUGGGACAGAGGUUCAGGGCCGAAGGGGUAGAGGAAGACCUAGGAAAACUUUGGAAGAGACUCUAAGAAAAGACUUAGAGUACUUGGAUCUAACGGAGGACAUGACACAGGAUCGAGCACAAUGGCGUUCUAAGAUUCAUAUAGCCGAUCCCACUCAGUGACUUGGAUUUUCCAAGUCUCCAAUCGAGAAGUUUUCCUCACUCGGGAAAUUAAGGGAACACUACCCCAACCUACAUGCUCCACUCAGAAAGCUUCAACAUACAAGCUUCAACAAAAGAAAAUUCAAAGAACUUAGCGAAGAAGGCUUUGGUGUAUUUAACACAAUACGUUGAAAUGAAGGAAAGCUUAUUUAUUGAUAUCCCCGAUCAGCUACAAAUAUGUACAUAUACAUGAGUCAAAAUAAACACACAAGACGGAGCCUUCACAAAGGUUGCUUAGGAGAAGUCUCAGCAGUCGGUAGAGCCCCAGAAAGAGAAGGCACCGGAGGGGGAUCAUUUGGAGCCUCAGUACUGGACAGAACCCUAGAAGGAGGAGGCAUCAGAGGUUGAUCAUUCGGAGCUUCAUUACGCGGUACAGCCCCAGAAGACGAAGGCAAUAAAUGCCUUUGGAACAAACCCACAAAUCUCUGAUGAUCAAGUAAAACCUGACCAUCAGUUUCCUUCAUCUGGUCAAGCUUCCUCUUCAUGUUUGUAGCAUAGUCAUGUGCGAGCCGGUGCAACUGUUUAUUCUCAUGCUUGAGCCCUCUAAUCUCCUGUUUGAGACUCAUCACUUCAGCCGCCAAGGAUUCAACUUGGCGGGUUCGAGCAAAUAGGCGUUGGGCCAUAUUAGACACAGAACCUGCACACUGAACACUGAGAGCCAACGAAUCCUUAACAGCUAACUCAUCAGACCGUUUGGAAAGUAGUCUGUUAUCUUUGGGAGUGAGAAGGUUCCUGGCCACCACCGCAGCGGUCAUAUCAUUCUUCAUCACGGAAUCCCCAACGGUAAGAGGACCAGUAGGGGAGACGAAGGAUGGGCGCCAUAUGUUGUCUGGAGAAGGCGGGGCUGCCUCUUCAACAAGGUUCAAGUCAAAACGACGGUCGGAGGGGCCAGACAUUUUCAAAGGUGUUGAAGAGAGAAGAGGUCGGACAAAUCAAGAUCUUAGAAGUGCAAGAAUGAAGCUUCUACUGGUGGAGAUUCAAGUGUGCUUUGGAACUUAAUGUCAGCCUCUAUAAAAAUCUGCACUCGACGGAGCUUCGGAAAUCGAAGAGGCGCCUGCUCAGAAAUCGAAGAGGCGUUUGCUUUCUCAAAAGCUGGGCUGCUUAGAGAUCACGAGGGUUGAUCUCAGAAAUCGAAGAGGCGUUUGCUUUCUCAAAAGUUGGGCUUCUCAAAGACCACGAAGGCCGAUCUCAGAAAUCGAAGAGGCGCUCGCUUUCUCAAAAGCUGGGCUCCCCAGAGACCACGAGGGCCGAUCUCAGAAAUCGAAGAGGCACCUACUUUUCCAGCCUUGUCAGCACCCGUCACACGCACACUCAGCUUUGCAGAAAUUAUGGGCAUUCUGUCGAAGACUUCUGGGGAAGUAGAAAACACAUGAAUCUUACUGUUCAAUCACCCACUUCCCACACGCAACAAUAGCUCAUGGGUACCACAGAUAACUUUGCCAAAGUUCUCUGCCAAAGUUGAGCACGUGAAGCUUGCAGCUCCCACUACAUCGCUCUGACCAAGAAGGGUAAAAGAAUAGCAAAGAAACAGCACUAACAAAGUUUAGACCCAUAAAUUUUGAAGGUCUAGCUACCAUAUUAUUACCCACAAGGGUAAAGGAACAGUACUAUUGCUGGAUAAUUGGAAAGUCCCUGUGUGUCAACCUCUGUGCUUCGUGGCAAGGUAGACUAGCAAACAUGCCCAACCUUUACUCACAUUCGAGAAAACACUCCCAAUAAGAUUGCUUGCUCCAAAAUCGAAGAGGCACCGUCCUCCGAAUCUCGAGAGCCAGACUCCCAACAUGACUACUUUCUUAAAAAUCGAAGAGAGGGUAAAGGAACAGUACCAUUGCUGGAUAAUUGGAAAGUCCCUGUGUGUCAACCUCUGUGCUUCGUGGCAAGGUAGACUAGCAAACAUGCCCAACCUUUACUCACAUUCGAGAAAACACUUCCAACAAGAUUGCUUGCUCCAAAAUCGAAGAGGCACCGCCCUCCGAAUCUCGAGAGCCAGACUCCCAACGUGAUUACUUUCUCAAAAAUCGAAGAGACACUGCUCCCCGAAUCCUCGAGAGCCAGACCCCUAGCAUGAUUGCUUUCUCAAAAAUCGAUGAGGCAUCGUUCUCCGAAUCAAUCGAAGAGGCGCUCGCUUUCUCAAAAGCUGGGCUGCUCAAAGACCACGAGGGCCGAUCUCAGAAAUCGAAGAGGCACCUACUUUUCUAGCCUUGUCAGCACCUGUCACACGCACACUCAGCUUUGCAGAAAUUAUGGGCAUUCUGUCGAAGACUUCUGGUGAAGUAGAAAGCACAUGAAUCUUACUGUUCAAUCACCCACUUCCCACACGCAACAAUAGCUCAUGGGUACCACAGAUAACUUUGCCAAAGUUCUCUGCCAAAGUUGAGCACGUGAAGCUUGCAGCUCCCACUACAUCGCUCUGACCAAGAAAGGUAAAAGAAUAGCAAAGAAACAGCACUAACAAAGUUUAGACACAUAAAUUUUGAAGGUCUAGCUACCAUAUUAUUACCCACAAGGGUAAAGGAACAGUACCACUGCUGGAUAAUUGGAAAGUCCCUGUGUGUCAACCUCUGUGCUUCGUGGCAAGGUAGACUAGCAAACAUGCCCAACCUUUACUCACUUUCGAGAGAAAACACUCCCAACAAGAUUGCUUGCUCCAAAAUCGAAGAGGCACCGUCCUCCGAAUCUCGAGAGCCAGACUCCCAACAUGACUACUUUCUCAAAAGCGAAGAGAGGGUAAAGGAACAGUACCAUUGCUGGAUAAUUGGAAAGUCUCUGUGUGUCAACCUUUGUGCUUCGUGGCAAGGUAGACUAGCAAACAUGCCCAACCUUUACUCACAUUCGAGACAACACUCCCAACAGGAUUGCUUGCUCCAAAAUCGAAGAGGCACCGCCCUCCGAAUCUCGAGAGCCAGACUCCCAACAUGAUUACUUCCUCAAAAAUCGAAGAGACACUGCUCUACGAAUCUCGAGAGCCAGACCCCCAGCAUGAUUGCUUUCUCAAAAAUCGAAAAGGCAUCGUUCUCCGAAUCUCGAGAGCCAGAUACCACAGACCACUUUUUCAAAGUGCUCUGACAGAGUUAAAACAUGUGAAACUGGCAGCUCCCACUACCGUGCUAUGACCAAGCAGGGUAAAGGAAUAGCAUUACUACUUGUUGUUAGGGAGACUCCUAUAUAUGUCGACCUCCAUCCCCAACGGACAGGCAGACCUGCAAAAAUGCUCAACCUUUCAUCAUAUCUGAGAGGGCACUCCCAACGAAGCCUUUCGAAAUAUUCAGCUUUCUUUCCCCCCGAUAAUACCUCUGCAAACAAGCUAUACUAGAGCAAGAAUAUCUCAUAUCAUCAGGGUUAAAAGCAAGAGUAUCCCAUAUCAUGCUUUUUCCCUGUCUUUUCCUUUGGCCUUGUUUUUACCUGCAAGACAAGGAGAAAGAGAGCAAUCAGUCAGCACUUGGAUCAAGCUUCCAGCCAGGAACUGACUGCCUGGAACCCCUUACCUGAUUACUUACCUGGCAUUGCUCUCGAGUACUCAUCUUCAACAUCUUAUGUUUCCAGGGAAGAUUCCGCAUCUGCUUGAGGAACAGAUAGGGCAAGUGCGAAGGAUACAAGGAAGCAUGUGGAGACAAGCGUAACAGCACACGUGCCGAUACACCCAUUACUCUGUCAAAAGCAAAAGUAUCCCAUAUCAGCAGGGUGGAACGUACUCUAGAUUUGAUGGACUUGUUUUGACCCUCAAAUUCUUCAGUCGGCCUUAUACUCUGGAGGAAACCAGAAAACCCUCCAGCUCAGUUCAAGAAUAAGCCUGUGGAAAGUUACUUCUUCAAAAGCAAAAGUAUCUCAUAUCAUCUCUUCUCAUUUUUUCUUCUCUUUAUCCUUCAUGCUGCUGCAAGAUGGGGAGAAGGUGAACAAUCAGUCGGAGCUCUGAUUGCUUACCUUGUCUGUCACCUCUUUCAGCAGACCCCCUAGCUCGGCGACUUGGGGGACUCCUACUACAUGGUUUGUAUCGCGCUUGACCAAGCCUGAGACUACAAGUAAGCUUCAAGUGAAAUUGAUACAUUACCUUGUGCAUCUCCACCAGUUAAAGAUACCACCCCUGGAUGGAGGAAGAGUACUUCCAGAGAAGAUGCCACAUCUACCUAUGAGACAGAUAAGGCAAGUCAAGACGACACCACACUCCGAUACUUAGAAGUUUCGUGAUUACGAGAUCAUUCUCCCACAAUAUUUCCUAAUGUCAUUUGUACUAAAUCAUUCACUUGUACUCACUAAAGGAGAGCUUGAACCUAUGUACUUGUGUAAACCCUUCACAAUUAAUGAGAACUCUUCUAUUCCGUGGACGUAGCCAAUCUGGGUGAACCACGUACAUCUUGUGUUUGCUUUCCUAUCUCUAUCCAUUUAUAUACUUAUCCACACUAAUGACCGGAGCAAUCUAGCGAAGAUCACAAAAAGCGACCGUUUUCGCUACCUAGGAUCUAUCUUGCAAGAGAACGGAGAAUUAGAUGGAGAUCUCAACCAUAGAAUACGAGCUGGAUGGAUGAAGUGUAAGAGUGCAUCCGGCGUGUUGUGUGACCGUCGUAGGCCACUGAAGCUCAAGGGAAAAUUUUAUAGGACGGCAAUAAGGCCAGCGAUGUUGUAUGGCAUAGAAUGUUGGGCGGUGAAGCAUCAACACGUACACAAAAUGGGUGUAGCGGAGAUGAGGAUGCUUCGUGGGAUGUGUGGGCACACGAGAAAUGAUAAGAUUGGGAAUGAGGAUAUCCGAGGUAAAGUAGGAGUAGCCGAAAUUGUAGGAAAGAUGAGAGAAAAUCGGCUCCGAUGAUUUGGACAUGUGCAAAGAAGGCCGACUGACGCUCCGGUUCGAAGAUGUGACUACGGGACAGAGGUUCAGGGCCAAAGGGGUAGAGGAAGACCUAGGAAAACUUUGGAAGAGACUCUAAGAAAAGACUUAGAGUACUUGGAUCUAACGGAGGACAUGACACAAAACCGAGCGCAAUGGCGUUCUAGGAUUCAUAUAGCCGACCCCACUUAGUGGGAAAAGGCUUUGUUGUUGUUGUUGUUGUUGUUGGCAUUCUUGAGUAAUUCAAUUUCUGAAUUGGUAUAUUAUGAAUUUAGAAGGAUUACAUAAAGCUGGCUUUUGUGGUUAAAUAUGAUUCCUUGAUGUUUCAGUGCUAGGUUUAGAUCAAAUGUUUGGAUUAGGCCUAACGAAAAACUAUGGAUGCGACCAAUUUUUCUCUGUAGGAGGAUGACAUAGGUGUAGGCAUGUCAAGAUUUGGAAUCUUGCCAUGACUUUGUUGAAGUUUGGGACUCACAUCUUUAACCUUGCUGUAAUGUUAUGACCUUUGCAGAGACGUGGACUGAAAUUUUGAUGGUCGUUUCAUGUUGGAGAAGUAGUCUUCAACAGUAUUAUUCAUAUUAUUUUGGGUGCUUAUGUUUCUUAGGACUUUCUUUUGCAAUUGGAAAAAACAAAAAAAAACAGAAUUGGGCCGAAACCGAACCGAACACAAACCGAUUAAAAAUUGAACUGAACCGACCCAAACAGUAAUUUCAGUUCAGUUUUCGGUUUUGGCAAAAAAUCAAACCGAACGGAACCGAACCCACCCCUAAUGUCAACUAUCGCACCAUAUGCUCGCAUUGUAUCCAAUUUAGGUGCACAGUCUUGUCGUACAGACCAUUAUAGGUGGUUUCGACUCAUAGGUGACUAGCGAUUUAUCGCAUAGCUAUCAUGAGAGCGUAGCAUUGAGCAUAGCUAUAUUACACCCAGUCUUGUCGUACAAACCUUUACAGUGGUUCCGACUCGUGUGCAGUGUAAUGCCGAAUAGGUCACUUACGGUGACUCCAGCUAGAUUGAGCUAUGAAUUCAGCCGUACAGACCUCUGCAUGGGUUCCGACUAAUAUGUUAUUUUCCAUGAAAUUAUUUUUACCUGAGUUACUUAUUCUGUUUUAUAUUUUUGGCAUGGCAUACUUAUGAAUAUGGAUAUGUGAAGCAUGAUUUGAAUAUAUAUAUUCUAUUUCUGGGAAAAUUAUACAUGUUUUACGACGAGGGGUUAAAGCAUUUGAUAAAUGAAAUGGUUUUGAAAAGCUUUGUUUUUGCCCACUUACACUUUCUGUUUUGCGCCCCUCCAGGUUUUAGAUAAGCUUGUCCGUUGGUGGCUCACGAAGAUUGAUUGGAGGUUCUGACAGACUAUCACAAAUGUAAGGCAUCUUUGGGCGUCAUUUAAUUAGUACUUGUUUUCUGGACUGAAUUUAGGCUACUUACACUUUGAUUGUGUAUUUACACAUAUUCUAGCACUUUUCUUAACUAGUACUCUUAUGAGUUGGUUUUCAUUUAUUCGUAUUCUCUAUUAUCAUUAUUGCUUCUGCACUAUGCACAUGGCUACGUCACCCUCACGUGACGACCAACAUGCCCUGAUUCGGGUUGUGGUGUGUUAGUUUGGUGUGUCAGAACUAUGCUGCUUCGUAGAGAGCCACGUCACUCAGCUGAGCCUAGUUUCUCUGAUAUUACUCAGUUAGGGAAAGCUAUAGCUAAUGUUAUUCAGUCUUCACUUUGUCCUCCUUAAAGGACAUCUCUUGAGACUGUGUAUAAUCUGAAGCUGAAUCAUUUCAUGGGUAAUGAAGGACAUGAGGGGGCGGAGAAGUGGCUUAAUCAUGUCAAGAAGACUUUCCUUGUGAUGCAGAGUCAAGGGAGCCUUCCUCCUGAUAGAUGGGUUGAGACGACUACCUGGUUUUUAGGAAAGCAACCUACAUCCUAGUGGAGACAGGAGUCUUAUCAGAUGCCACCAGAGGUAGCAGCUAUUUGGGAAGUGUUUAAGCAGUUGUUUCAGAAAAGAUUCGUUCCUCCAGAGUAUAUAGAUCGCAAGAAACAAGAAUUUACGCAUAUGAAACAAGGAAAGAUGACGGCGAAUGAGUAUUACAGGAGGUUCACUGAUUUAUCUCGUUAUGAUCCAAAGGUUUCUGUUAAUCCAGUUGAGAUGCUUCGUCGUUUCAGGUUAGGUACUAAAAAGAAAUGGCGUUCUAUAACGAUAUCGACUCCCUAUGCCACUUACCAGGAGUUUUAUGAGGUUUUACUGUAGAUUGAGGAUUCAGAAAAUAUGCCCAAUGAGAGUGAGGAGGAAGAAGAAAAAAAUGGAAAUCAAAGAAAUGAUGAUAAAGGUAAAGGUCAAUCAUCUCAGGGACCUCACAAGACUCAGAGUUUUAAGAGAAGCGGUGUCAGUUCCAGCUCUUCUAGUGGAGGUUUGAGCUCUAAUGUUCAAAUGAGAGGUGGUAGAUUUUCUAGAGGCCCUAAAUUUCAGAGGCAGAGGAAUUUUGGUCGUUCAGGUACUCCUUUAUGCCGCAGAUGUAAUAAUAGGCAUUUUGGGAAGUGUAGGAGAGGCAGCAGUGGAUGCUAUACUUGUGGACAGAUGGGGCAUAAGGCUACACAUUGCUCUCAGAAUCAGCAGAGGCCCCAAACACCUUCCUUACCACCACUUACGCCGACCCAGCAAGUUUCAUGACCUAGUGGUUAUGCCCAAACUGGUCAUGGAGGUACUUAUCAUUAUCAAGGUGACGCCGCUCCUUAUACUACAGGGCAGUAUCAGUAUUCGCAAGACCCUUAUUAUCAGGGUGGUUACCCUCAGUAGCCAGGAGGUUCUAUGCCAUAUCAGCCACAUUCAGCAAGUGGAUCCCAGUGGUACCAGGAAGGACAACCCCAGCAAGUAAAGAUUGCUACUAGCUGUGCAGGAUCUUCGAGGCAAUCAGGUCAGCCAAGACAAGGACGAGGUAUUCAUGCUAACAGUGGUCGUGGUGAACGACAGCAGAAUCAGGGACGUAUCCAUAACAUGACACUGCAGUAUGCUCAAAACAAUCCUGAUUUAAUCAUAGGCACGUUAAAUAUUCUUGGUCAUUUUGCUAGAGUAUUGAUUGAUUGUGGUGUUACGCAUUCUAUUGUUUCUCAUACAUUUGUUCAAGUAACGCAACCUCAUCCUACACCCCUAGGAUAUGAUUUACAAUUUUCUAUGGCUAUAGGGGAGAUAUGUUAUGUUAAUCUAGUAUAUCCAGGAUGUCCAAUGAUGGUGGAGGAUGUUGUUAUGCCAGCUAACCUUAUUCCGUUAGACAUUGUUGAUUUUGAUGUGAUGUUGGGCACAAAUUGGUUACACUACAAUCGUGCUAAUAUAGACUGCUAUGGGAAAGUAGUUACUUUUCAUCGUCCUGGAUUACCUGAGGUUACGUUUGUAGGAUAGCCUAGCGUGGUGAGGCAUGGUGUUAUUUCUGCCAUGAAAGCCAAAAGAUUGUUGUCAAAGGGUUGUCAAGGAUAUUUGGCUUAUGUGGUGUUGAAUGAUAAUGCUCCUAGUAGUGUGGAUGAUGUACGUGUGGUCAAGCAUUUUCCGGAUGUGUUCCCUAAUGAUUUGCCUGGAUUGCCGCCAGAAACAGAUGUAAAGUUCGCUAUUGAUUUGCUUCCAGGUACGGAUCUUAUAUCUUUGACUCUUUAUCGAAUGGCUCAUGCUGAGUUGAGGGAAUUAAAGAUUCAGUUGCAGGAAUUGGUUGAUAAGGGAUUUAUUCAGCCUAGUACUUCACCCUAGGGAGCUCCAGUUUUAUUCGUGAGGAAGAAAGACGGAACUUUGAGGCUAUGCAUUGAUUACAAGCAAUUGAAUCGAGUAACAAUUAAGAACUGUUAUCCGUUGCAACAUAUAGAUGAUUUGUUUGAUCAACUCCGAGGUGCAUGUGUGUUCUCUAAGAUUAACUUGAGGUCUGGUUACUACCAGUUGAAGAUUAAAAGUGAAAAUGUCCCUAAAAUAGCUUUCAGGACUCGAUAUGGUCAUUAUGAGUUUCUUAUGAUGCCAUUCGGGUUAACUAAUGCACCAUUAACUUUCAUGGAUUUAAUGAAUCAAGUAUUCCAGCCAUAUUUGGACAGGUUUGUCAUUGUCUUCAUUGAUGAUAUUCUGGUAUACUCUAAGUCUAGAGCAGAGCAUGCUAGACAUCUUAAAUUGGUGUUGAAAAGUUUGAGGGAACACCAAUUAUAUGUUAAGUUUAGCAAAUGCCAAUUCUGGUUAGAUCAAAUGGCAUUUUUAGGACAUGUUAUAUCAGCUCAAGGUAUUCGAAUGGGUCCUUAAAAGACAGUAGCUGUGGAGAAUUGGGAACAACCACAAACUGUCACUGAGAUACGGAGUUUUCUUGGCUUAGCAGGCUAUUACAGACGGUUCGUUAAAGAUUUCUCAAUUAUUGCAUUACCUUUAACGAGGUUAACCACGAAGGAUGUUAAGUUUGAGUGGGAUGAUAAUUGUGAAUAAAGUUUUCAGUAGUUAAAGUAUUGUCUCACUCGUGCACCUGUUUUGACGCUUCUUGACGAUAGUGGUGAUUUUGAAGUCUACAGUGAUGCUUCCUUAAAUGGGUUGGGAUGUGUGUUGAUGCAGCAUGGUAGGGUGAUUGCUUAUGUGUCACGCCAAUUGAAGCCUCAUGAAAUGAAUUAUCCUACUCAUGAUCUUGAAUUAACGGCCAUCAUCUUUGCUCUGAAGAUUUGGAGACAUUAUCUUUAUGGUGAGAAAUGUAAGAUCUUCACAGAUCAUAAGAGUCUUCAGUGUCUUUUUACUCAGAGGGAUCUUAAUCUUCAUCGGCGAAUAUGGAUAGAAUUACUAAGUGAUUAUGAUUGCACGAUUGAGUAUCACCCUGGUCAUGUGAAUAUGGUAGCAGAUGCACUUAGUAGGAAGACUCCAGUUAGCCUUAAUGCCAUUAUGCUUGUCAUGUUCCUCUUCUUGCAGAUUUGAGGUCUACUGGAGUGAAGUUAGGAUUGGAAGAUAAAGAGGAAGCUUUAUUAGCUAAUUUCCAGGUCAGACCAAUAUUAAUUAAUCGAGUACUUGAGGCUCAGAUGAAUGAUGAAGAGACCCAAGAAAUAAUUCAGGCAAGAAGUCGAGGUAGGAAGAAAGAUUUCCGAAUUCGAGAAACUGAUGGCAAGCUUAUGCAAGAAAACAGAAUGUAUGUGCCGAAUAAUGCAAAGUUAAAGAAAGAAAUCCUUGGUGAAGCGCAUAUUUCGGCAUAUGCAAUGCAUUCAGGAGGUACCAAGAUGUAUCAUACCAUUCGACCAUUUUAUUAUUGGCGGGGUAUGAAAAGAGAAAUUGCUGAGUAUAUGAGUAGGUGUGCCAUUUGUUAGCAGGUUAAAGCUAAAAAGAAGAAACCGUUUGGGUUGAUGCAGCCACUUCCCAUUCCAUAGUGAAAAUGGGAAAAUAUUACCAUGGAUUUUGGGUAUAAACUUCCUCGUACACAAAAUGGAUAUGAUGAAAUUUGGGUGAUAGUUGAUCGGCUUACUAAGUCAAUACAUUUUAUUCCAGUGAGGGAGAAAUUCUCAUUAAUCCGAUUAGCUAAGUUAUUCAUAUCGAAGAUUAUGAAGUACCAUGGUGUUCCAGUUGAUAUUAUCUCGGAUCGGGAUCCUAGAUUCACUUCUAAGUUCUGGGAAGCAUUCUAGGAAUCUCUUGGUAUGAGAUUACUUUAUAGUACGACAUAUCAUCCUCAGAUAGAUGGGCAAUCUGAGAAGACUAUUCAGACAUUAGAGGAUAUGCUGAGAUCUUCAGUGCUGCAGUUUGGCAAUGGUUGGCUUGAUUGUUUGGAUUUGAUGGAAUUCGCCUAUAACAAUAGUUACCAUUCGAGUAUUGGUAUGGCACCUUUUGAGGCACUCUAUGGCAAGUCUUGUCGAAUGCCAUUAUGCUGGUCAGAAGUUUGUGAAAGAGUUUUGGUGGGCCCGGAGAUUGUGGAUGAAACUACUCAGAAUAUUUAGGUAAUUAAGUCUAACCUGAAAGUGGCCUAGGAUCGUUAGAAAAGUCUAGCAAGUAAGCAUGCUACUGAUAGAGUGUAUAAAGUUAACGAUUGGGUAUUUUUGAAGUUGUCACCGUAGAGAGGUGUGGUACGGUUUGGGAAAAAGGGUAAGCUAAGCCCUAGGAACAUCGAACCGUAUCGAAUCACCGAGCGAGUCGGUGAAGUUACUUACAGGCUUGAGUUGCCUUCAGAGUUGUCCAAAGUGCAUGAUGUGUUUCAUGUUUCUAUGCUUCGACAUUAUGUCUUAGAUCCUUCACAUGUGAUACCUCCUCAAUCAUUGGAAAUUAAUUCAGAUUUGACUUACGACGAGGAGCCAGUGACUAUUUUGGAUAGGAAAGAUAAGGUUCUGAGAAAUAAAAUCGUGCCCCUGGUGAAAGUUUUGUGGAGAAAUCACUCAGUGCAAAAGGCUACUUGGGAGACAGAGGAUCGAAUAAGAUAGAUGUAUCCACGCUUGUUUUAUGACUAUUAGUGGAUGUAUUUGUUGUGUAUAAAUUUCGAGGAUGAAAUUUUCUUAAAGGAGGUAGAUUGUCACAGCCCGUCCCGAAAUAUUUAUUUUCGACGGCGUGAAAUUACUUAUAUACCCUUGGAUGUUUUGUGUGGGGUGUGGUAGGUUAGAUUUUGGACUAAUUAGUGCUAAGUCCUAUUAUUUUGGAACCAAUUAGGACUUAGAUGGUAUUUUCUUUGGUUUUGGUUGGGGACCCACGUGGACCACACACACACACACUCUCUCUCUCUCCCAUUGACUUUCUCUCUUCCUUCUCGGAUUUCUUCUAUCUUCCGUACAAGUCUUACGGACAACCUUGAAGCUUCACUUCCCGUCACGGAUCGAGCUUGUAGUUACCAUUAUCAUCUUCAUCUCAUUGUAACAAGCUCAACCAUACCCUUUUCUGGUCGUGAAACCUUCGAAACCCGAGAACCCGAUAUACUCAGUUUUGGUGCACUGUUCAUGCACACAUAAAUGUGAAGGUUUCAAAGGUUUUUGAGCUUCUAGGAAGCUUUAGGACUUCUCUAUGAAGCUCAGAGAAGAAAAACGAGGUGAAUUGGACGUCGGGAAGUCGAGAUCGACGAGUUCAAAGUUUGGCCGGAUUAUCGAAAGAUCUCCGACGAAUUCUCGAGGAUUUCAGGUCCCAAAAUUGGUAAGCUUUUGUUCCUUAUGUUCUAAGCUUCAUUUUGGUGAAGAUUUCAUAGAAUUUGGUGCAAAAAUGAAAGAGAUAUAAGGUUUUACAUAUUUUUCCAGUUUCCGACGGACUGCGACGGCAAUGGCAAUCGGCUAAGCUAAUCGGAGAAGAAGAUAGAAUAUUCUGUCAAAGUCGACAGAAUAUUCUGACAUCAUCAGGUAGAUUUAAUGGUUUCUGUUGCUUUUUAACGGAAUAUUCCGAACGACAGUUAGGAUUCUGUUAGGGUUACCCGCGCCUAGGGGCGCAUCUGGCCAUGCCCUUGCCGGCGCGUGGGGCGUCGGAAAUUUUUUCUAAAAAUAUAGGGAUAUUCGUGAGAUUGUGUAGAUCACGUUGGUAUAUUCAAACAUUCCAUUUGAGCAAUGUAUGAGAAGUUAUUAACUAGUUUUCUUUAUGUGCUUUAAAUAACGUUUAUUCAGUUAUUUCGCAUAUAGGUGAGACCUAUCCAGAGGACGAGCGCAGUCAAGGGUGACUUGGGGGCUACGACCCUUCGACAUACCAGUGAAUGGGCUUUUGGUUUUCAGUAUAUAUUUAUAUACUUGAUAUUUUCCCAGAAAAUGUGUUUAAAUGAAAGUAUGCUUUGAAAUGCCAUGCAUAUAAAUUUAUAUUCAUCAUAUGAAUUAGUAUAUGAUGCAUAAUAUGACUUGGUGAUGUGGACGCUCAGGUAAGUACCAUGUGAGUUAUGUUUUGUUAUAUUAGAUAUUGAUAAUGGGAGAGGUGAUUGGGAGCUCAUAAACCUACACCCCGGGUGAUUGUGAUUUAGCCAGAGAUAUGGUACAGGCUUGUUUAUGAUGUCACCUCUCACACCAUAUGCUCACAUUGGAUCCAAUUUAGGUGCACAGUCUUGUCGUACAGACCAUUAUAGGUGGUUCCAACUCGUAGGUGGCUAGCGAUUUAUCGCACAGCUAUCAUGAGAACGUAACAUUGAGCAUAACUAUAUUACACCCAGUCUUGUCGUACAGACCAUUACAGUGGUUCUGACUCGUGUGCAAUGUAGUGCCGAAUAGGUCACUUGCAGUGACUUCGGCUAGAUUGACUAAUGAGUUAUGAAUUCAGCCGUACAGACCUCUGCAGGGGUUCUGGCAAAUAUGUUAUUUUCCAUGAAAUUAUUUUUACCUGAGUUACUUAUUCUGUUUUAUAUUUUUGGCAUGGCAUACUUAUGAAUAUGGAUAUGUGAAGCAUGAUUUGAAUAUAUAUAUUCUAUUUCUGGGAAAAUUAUACAUGUUUUACGGCGAGGGGUUAGAGCAUUUGAUAAAUGAAAUGGUUUCGAAAAGCUUUGUUUUUGCCCACUCACACUUUCUAUUUUGUGCCCCUCCAGGUUUUAGAUAAGCUUGUAUGUUGGUGGCUCACGAGGAUUGAUUGGAGGUUCACUAUCACAAAUGUAGGGCAUCUUUGGGUGUCGUUUAAUUAGUACUUGUUUUCUGGACUGAACUUAGGCUACUUAUGCUCUGAUUGUGUAUUCACACAUAUUCUAGCACUUGUCUUAACUAGUACUCUUAUGAGUUGGUUUUCAUUUAUUCGUAUGAUUUAUUAUCAUUAUUGCUUCUGCACUGUGCAUAUGGCUACGUCACCCUCACGUGAUGGCCAGCAUGCCCUGAUUCAGGUCGGGGUUGAAGGAUUAUUUUAUGAAAACAUGUUCAUUUGAAUAACAUCUAUAGCAUGCAUUUAACAAUUAAAAGGCGUAAUCAUGCUUGCAUGCAUUCAAAACAAAACAUUACCCAUGAAAUUCAAAGCCUAGUAGAUUGGUGAACCAAGACUCAACUCAAAUCAAAGUGAGUUGAGAAAUUUAUACCUUUGUAGAUUCCUCUUUGCAUAAGCAAAGGCUAAUCACCCAAGGAGAGGGCCUUCAUUCCUUGCUUCUUAGAUCCAUAGAUUUGGAUGGAAGAUAUGGUUCUCCAAGUUCCCAAAAUUGAGAACCUCUAAGUGUCUACACCAAGGUUAGAUUGGAGAAGAAAUGAGUGACCUUGGAGGAGUGGGAUUGCUAGCUAAUCCCUCCAAGGGGGCCGACCUCCUAGAGAGAAAAGGAAGAGACAUGUUCUCUCCAAUUUUCUCCAAAAGAACCCUUUCUGAAUUUUAGGCUAUAAAGUUCUUUAUAUAGUCACUUCUUUAAAUGACCUAAAGAACCAAAAACCCUAAUUCAACACACAUGCCCGGCCACAUAAGGGAUUUGGGCCUUUGUGAAUCUUUAUUCAUUAAAUUGUCAUACAACUUAAGUCAAUGGGCUUGACGUUCGAAGCCCAUUGGGCCUUAAGGUCCAAAACUAUCCCGAGGUCUUUAACGAACUUAUUCAUUUGAUUAAUUAACAUAUUAAUUAAUCCUUGCCAUAAAUAAUUAAACCAUUUAAUUAUUCUUACUCAUUUCCAUUGUUUCUUCAAUCUCCACCUUACACGGUGUACGAUCCAUUAGGUUCCUUUUAGCGAGGCAGUGGGCGAUUAAAACUCUUUCAAAUCGAUUGUGAAUUGAAACUUACUUUCAAUUCUCCCUUUAGUGUUUAUACAUGUUUAGGGCUUCCACAAACCAAGAGUGACACCUAGCAGCAUAUCAUGGUUACCCAAGCUAAUCAGAAGAGGUAGAGAACCAAUUCAGUUUAGGAUUACAAAUGCAAUACGGUCUUUCUCUAAUACAAUACUCUUGACCACAUUGUUUGGUUUGAUAGUUUAUUCAUGUCUACUAUCCAAUGUGAUUCGUGUGCUUAUAUGAUUACCUUGAAUGUGAUUUGGAACGACUUUCCUAAAUCUCAUUCAUACUCUGGCCAGAGAUUCUAAAUCAUAUCAUAGAGUAUUCUCCCUCAAACAGUUUGAAGGUUAGAGAUCCCUUGUUGCGCAUUCACUUGCCUCCAUGGCUAAGUGGCUUAACCCCAACUAUGUCGUGGACACCCUCCUUUUGGAGUGACUUUUGACAUAAUCAAAGAUCAAGGACUUAACCACAAGACAACUAUGAUGCCUCAGGUCAAAUGAGUACUUUGCAUUAUCCCAACCAUGAGUUCUCAUGUGACAUGAAUAUGAGAACUCUUCGUUGAUCGUGUUCAGUGAACUCAUUCUCUAUUGAGCACCUACGUACUUGUCUUGAUGUCACACACACCAAUGACUCGAGACUAGUCACUCUCCUUGAGAGAAGAUACAGCACGUACUGAUUGUGGAUGCAAAUUUUCUCCUCCUCGAUCUCGGACGAUUUUGCACCUACAAAACAACUAACACCUUAGGUUAAGGCCAAAAGCCUCACGCACCCACGAUGAAUGGGGGGGCUUUGGCCGAAGAACCUCCGAUGCCAAAGUUAGAAUUUUAGAGAGAAAUAGUGUUUAGAAUAUUUGGGAUUUUUUGCAAGAGGUUUGGAAUGAAUUUUUGGUGAGAAUAGGUGCCUAUUUAUAGGGGUAGGCCUUGCCCCAUUUUGAAUAAUGGGAACCGGCCAUAAGGUUUUUGUGGGGGUCAAAUUCAUGUUUAAUUAGCCAAUUUAUUCUAAUUAAAUAUGAAAAGAAUAAAUGGAUGGUUAUAAAAAUGAAUGACUAUUUUAAUAAGGAAAAUGGGAAAGAUGAGGAUGUGAAAAGUGGGGGGCCGGUUUUGGCUAUUAAUUGGGUGAUUUAAUUGACUAUUAAGGAUGAUUUUAGGAGAUAUGGUAGACAUAUAUUAUUUAGCUAAUUGAUUAGCUAAAUAAUGAAAUAGAAAAUACUAGGUCUUGGGAAAUACCUUAUAGAAAGGAUUUUGAUGAAAGAGGUUUUUAAUUGUUACCUUUUUUGGGUACUUUUGACUUGAUUGAAAGAUGAUUGCCCACUGCUCGCGCGUAGGAAUCCUGGUAUGCCUCGAGGGUAUUUUUGUCCUCUUUUGUCCAAAAGUCCACGUGUCGCGUAGUGAAUAUAUUUGGCUCCACAAAUGCCCCCACACCUGUUGGGUUGCUUGCAGAAAAGGGCAACAGGUGUAGAGAUUUUCUUGCUUUAGGAAACUUAAGACUGCUUCCUAUUUUGAUGUUGAUUCUCUCUUUAAAUGGAAAUUAGAUCCUUCUAGGAAAAGGAAAUAAAUUUCUCUCAAAGCCUAUUUAAGUCCACCUUAAGUGGGUUAUUAAAUCAACUUUGGAGAGCGAUUUAUUCUACCCUACAAGAGAGAGAUAGCUUAGAGGAUAUUUGUUCCCCCUCCUCUAGCAAUCUUCUACAUCUUACCCAUGCAAAAGACCGUCUUUCGUUGCUUUCUUCGUCUUCUUCGUGCCGCACCGAUGUAAGAAAACUUUAAUUUUUCUUGCCUUAUUCUUGGAUAGUGCUAUUGCGGGGUAGUCGUCAGGGUGGUGCGGCACAUCGGCUGGCAGGGGCCAGGAUGUGGCUCGGCAUGGGCUGAGGAGAUGUCGUGGCAGGGACCACUGCUUGGGUAGCUUGGCUUGGCUUGAGCCAAGGGCAGCUUAUGCAGCUGGGGUCGAGGAUUGUGGCGCUGGGGCGCAGUGCUAGGCGAGUCGCAUGGCUCAUGUCCUUUGGGCUCUUGGACCUGACUCAGGCCAGGCUGGCGAUUGAGAAAAAUAAGGAGAUUGCGGGUCUCAUGGGCUGCUGGAAUGUUGGGCAUGCAGGCCUCCUGCCUGCUGGAAUGCUGGGUUAAGCUCCUCUGCUGAGUACCAUGAAUGUCGUUGGCUGCUUAGUCCUCUUUGCUGAAAGAAAUGUGGGCUGCUCCGGAAAGAGGAGGUAAAGAGGAUCAAGGCAGAUGCAUUGGCUCGUCUGAUCGCUGUCGUGGAGCUUACUAUGAAUGAAGAUGGAAAGAAGAGAUCUUCCCCGCCUGCUCAUGAGAUGCCAGUUAAGAAAAAACUGAAGACUUCUUCUGCUGCUCAUGAGGGUCCGCUUGCUACCGAGAGGUAUAUUAUUGACAUGACUUCUUCUAAUGGGAAGAAAAAUAAGGCUGCUAGAUCUGAGCAUGUGGCGUCUUCCAUGUUGAGAAUGGCUAGUACAAUUGUGGAUAAGAUUGCUCAACGUAAAGGUUUUAUCAUGCCCCUAGUGCCGAAGUCUGUACCAGAACGUUCUUUGGGAGCCAAGUCCGGUUCACUUUUGUAGAGACUUGCUAUUAUGAAGAGUGGUAAGGUGGAUUCUGUUGCUAAAGUGGCACCAAAGCCUGCUCCCUUUGCUGCUGAGAUUGAUUCGCCUCAGAUUCAAGAUCUUAAGCUUGCAAUUUCUGAGCUUCGUUUUGCUGCUUAUGCUAAGAAGGGAGUGGAUAAGCUGCAGCACGUCCGUGUUAGUCUGCUUAAGAAGAAUGCGCAGCUGAAGGGUGAGAAGGAUGGGCUUGAGGUUUUAAGACCUUCUCUAUUUCUCCAGAAGACUUGCUUGCUUUUACUUUUAAGGCUUUCAUUGGUGAAGUAGUUGGAGAAGUUAGUGCCCAGACUGGGGCAGCCGGGGGUGAAGCGCCGGAUGAUGCCGCUGCUAAGAGCGUUACGGCUGUUGAAGGUGUGGCAACCCAGUAGUCGUAGGAUGUCCAAGCUACUGUAGUGUAGUAUUUUAGGUAGCCUUUAGGAUUUUCUUUGUUUUUCCUUGUAGCUCUUGUUUUGCUUGAACUCCUUCGGCCUUUGCUAGUUGUUUAUAAACAUGUUUUCCUUCGUUUUUCUUCAUCUUCACUUUUUUUGUUCAUGCCCUAACCUUUAGACUUGAUAGACCAGUGGCAGGCAUGCUACUUUUUUAUAAGCAGACAAGCUCGCGUAGCCUAUGCAGUCGUAGGUGUUGGUGUAGAACUUUGCAAAGUUGUUAGCCAUAGGGUUGGCAGCCGGAUGCCUUACUUACAGAAGCAGACAAGACCGCGUAACCACUAGGCUGUUAACCUUGACUUUCUUCAAUUUCGUAGGUUGCGUAGCAAGUAUCACAACACUUUAGGACUUGGUGUAGGUUGUUCCGCGCUUGGCAGAGGUGAAGCUUAUCGACUACGUAGCAUGUCGGCAGUGGAUAAAACUUCGUAUAUGCGCGCUAGCUUGUUUAACCUUUCACAAGAAUGUGCGGUUGUAUAAGUGUAGUGCGGCUUUACUGCUCGAAGGGCAAGCCGUAGGCAGUUUUCCAGAAUCCGUAGGCUACCUUAGUGCACUCGGUAGCAGCUUUAGGAUUCCAAGGCAGCCGUCCAUCGGAUGUACUGCGUAAUGUGCCCUCUCCGUCUCUAGGGCCCGGUUCCCCACGGAUUAGGCCAAGAGACCCAAAAUACUUCAGUUAGCUAAGCCUUGAAAAAGACCAUUGCGGCUACUUCUAGGAAUCCCGGCGCAAGCCAUCGUGCAUCUAGUUAUACUAGGGCAGCCAGGCUCAUCCACUUCUGGAUAUUCGGAGUGUAAAGUUUAUCCUCCCGUCUUGGAGAGCUGACCCAUAUGGGUGUCGGAGAAUUGAUUUACCCUCUCGCACUGGAGAGCAUGGUUGGUCCCUCGGGGGGCACAAUUCCUGCAAUGAGUCCCUAAGAAGGCCGCAGUCUUCUUUUGAAGUGCAGGAGUGAUUAGUUGUUGUAAGCAUGCAGCCAAGCCAAGUUGUGAUUACUUCUAAAUUCCUCAUUGAAAAAACGAGUGAAACGAACAAGAACUUUAGCUGUAAGGUAGGAACUGCAUAACAACUGGAUAGUCCUCAGCUUGUGAGGUGAUGCCCGUCGAGCUUAUUGAGUCUUCGGGUUUUGAUGUAGUGGGAGGUCACACAUGGUACUUCUUCAGAUUGUAGGCCAUCCAUUGCUUUUCAAUCUUUUUGUCGCUUCAUGGUGGCGAGGGUGUAAUUACUCUUGCCCCCUACUCUGCUGAUCUUGUACGGACCUUCCCAGAUGGGAUCCAUCUUUUUGGAGCCUUCUCUGCCAGCAGUGAUGAAGGCUUUUAUGCACCGUCGAUAUGCAAAUGUCAGAAGUCUCCAUCGAGUGGAGUAGGCGCAGCUAGAAUGUGCUCGGCUACUUCUGAGGCAUCGUUAGGCUGCUCUGUUGCGUCACCUAGGCUCGGUGUGAAGGCGCAGUAGGGAGCUGUGGAGAUGGGGCCAUGUCAUACGCAGCAGGAGAUGCUCAACUACCGGUAUUGGGCCACUCUAGAGUUGAAUCAUUAAGCAAGGGUCGGCUAGGGCCUUGUGAUGCGCAGCAAGAAAUGGUACUCAAUUGCCAGUACAUGUUGCUCCUAUGUAGAAUCUUUUAGGGUGACGAGGACAAAACUUGCUUUCGAGUGUGUCCUUCCAGUGUUGCGUUCGUAAAAAAACUUUACAUCCGCCAGGGUCUACGCCUUUAUCGUCGCGCGUCUAGUUUGGGCAGAAUAGUACGUCAUGAGGAUGAUUGCAUGCGUUUGAAAGUAAAACUUGUGCUUCUGGGUAGCAACAACUAUCACCAAAGUUAGCUUUUGAAUUUUUAAUAACAUCGAGGAGAGCUUUUGAACUGUAGAAUACAGGUAGUCGGGCCCCCAUCUCUUCUCGCAUGAUGGUAGAGCUUAUUGCUACUUUAGAUACCGUCAAACAUGUGAAUAAGUCAUCCGCUACUUCUAGAGAGGUGAUGUCGGGUACUUCUUCAAGUCCUUGAAUGUGCACUGGCGAGCCUCAUCCCAAAGUGCAUACUUCUCUGCCAAAGAAAAAGAGUCUGCCAGAGUUAGAUCUUCUUUCAUGAUCAAUUUUUCGAAUAGCGGGUGGUCUGCUGGAAGUCCUUUUUGGAAGGCUGCUCUAGCUAUCGAGUCGUUGCAUCCGACUAUUUUUGCCUUCUCUACUUUGAACCUCCUCACAUAGUCGCGAAGCGACUCCUUUGGGUUCUUCUUGACGUUGAACAAAUUAUCAGACUUCUUUUUGAUCGAGCGAUAGGAUGAAUAUUCUUUGGUGAAAACCAAAGAAAGUUUGUAAAAAUUUCUGAUGGAUUGUGGCGGCAGGGUGUAGAACCAAUCUUGCGCCUCGCCUUGUAGAGUGGUGGCGAAUAUCUUGCACAUGAGAUCAUCGUUGUUUCGAUAAAGGAUCAUUGCGCUUUGGUAACGUUUUAAGUGUCUUUCCGGGUCUUCAUCCCCUUUGAAAGAUGUGAAAUGUGGCAUGCUGAACUCUCGUGGAGGCUCUGCCUGCUCGAUCUCGUCCGUGAAGGGUGACCUGCUUAUGUUGGUCAUGUUCCGUCGUAGUGCCUCGUCGGUGACCUCGUUGCGUUGGAAAUCAUGCAAUCGCUUGGUCAAGAGUCUUUCUACUUCUUCCUGAAUUUGCCUUUGUUGGGGUGGCGGAGCUCUCGGCUGCCCCCAGCCAUGACUUGCUGGUCUAGGCUGCUCUUCCAUGUGUUUAGCUCAUCUAUGUUGCAGAUGCAGUGCAUGUGGUGCGUUCCUAGCAGGCGAGUGAGUUCUUCGCAGGUUGCUGGUUGAACUUGAGCUGGAUUGAGUGAUUGCUUCUCUCCGUCCGUCGUGCUGCCUACUCUGAUGUGAGGUGGAUGAUGCUCCUUGUGGGCUUAGCCGCGAAUGAACACUUUGUCCGGAAGGUUGCUCAUGUUGACUAUCAGAGUGUGACCCCAACCGUGAAUGUAUGCUCAUCCGUGGGCCUAGUCGAGAGUACACGCUCCUCCGCGCGCUAAGACGGGAGUAUACGCUAUCUCGGGGGCCCAAUCGGGAAUGUACACUGCCUGAACGUUCGGCUCGUGGCUGGUCGAAUGGCUGCUUGCCGGGACGCUGCUGGAAAGGUUCGUCUGCCCUUGUCCUACUUCGGGAUACCUCGUCUGGGGCACGUUGGAUCCCGAUGCGUUGCAAAAGUUGAUUCACCAAAGUUGUCUGUUGUGCAAGGGCGCUCGUUAACUCUAUGACUUGUCGAGACAAGUGUUGUUCGCCAUUUGGAUUGGAAAAGCUUGGAAUGAAUACGCCUCGUUGGGCAGUGGAAGGGUGGUAGACUCCGGGCGUGAGAUUUGAGUUGGGAAAUGUCAAAUCCGCGAAAAAAUGUGGUGAGAAUCCCCCCGGCUCGAUGGUAGGUCCGGAUGGUUGAGAUAGUCUUGGGUCGACUUGGGUUGCGUGGAAAGCCAAUGGAGCAGAAUGGGCCGUGAGAGUGGGCUGCUCGUCGGGAGCAGGCUGGGUCACGAGAGCAGGCUGCUCGGCAGGAGCAGGUUGGGCCGCGGGAGCGAGCUGCUCGACGGAAGCAGGCUGGACCACGGGAGUGGGCUGCUCGUCGGGAGCAGGUUGGGUCACGAGAGCAGGAUGCUUGGCAGGAGCAAGCUGGGCUACGGGAGUGGGCUGCUCGACGAAAGCAGGCUGGACCACGGGAGUGGGCUGCUCGACGAAAGCAGGCUGGACCACGGGAGUGGGCUGCUCGUCGGGAGCAGGCUGCUUGGCAGGAGCAGGCUGGGCCACGGGAGUGGGCUGCUCGACGGAAGCAGGUUGCUCAAAGCGCGGUGCAUGUGAAUGCGAGGCUUGGGCUUGGGUCCACGUAAACUUGGAUGGCACGGCUUGGGUCGUGGUCUUGGUACCGUGAGCCUUGGAUGGCACGGCUCGAGCCGUGGUGAAAGCUCCAUGGACCUCGCCACAAAUGGCUACCGAAGUAGCCACCGCGGUGGUUUCCAUGGUGGCCGUGAUGAAGGCACCAUGGACCUCGCCGUGGGUGGCUACCGAGGUAGCCACCACGAUGGUUCCCAUGGUGGAAACUCGUGGUGGUGAUGCCGCUCCCCUUAUUGUCGCAUUUUGCCUCACGGAUCUCCGCACUCCCAUUUCUUGAACACUAGAAUUUUCACUUAUGGAAUUUUCUAAAUUUCUAGCCAUUAUAUUUUGCUUAUACGUUUUAUCAAAGAACCUUUGCAAGUAAAAAAUUCUAAUAAUAAGAACAUAUGAAAAAUAUUCAAAUGGACUAGAAAAUAAAGAAAAAACCUUUUUUGUGCGAGAGUCUUCUACGAGUAUGGAUUUCAACUCUCAAUGAAAGCACCAAUUUGUGGAUGCAAAUUUUCUCCUCCUCGAUCUCGGACGAUUUUGCACCUACAAAACAACUAACACCUUAGGUUAAGGCCAAAAGCCUCACGCGCCCCCGAUGAAUGGGGGGGGGGCUUUGGCCGAAGAACCUCCGAUGCCAAAGUUAGAAUUUUAGAGAGAAAUAGUGUUUAGAAUAUUUGGGAUUUUUUGCAAGAGGUUUGGAAUGAAUUUUUGGUGAGAAUAGGUGCCUAUUUAUAGGGGUAGGCCUUGCCCCAUUUUGAAUAAUGGGAACCGGCCAUAAGGUUUUUGUGGGGGUCAAAUUCAUGUUUAAUUAGCCAAUUUAUUCUAAUUAAAUAUGAAAAGAAUAAAUGGAUGGUUAUAAAAAUGAAUGACUAUUUUAANNNNNNNNNNNNNNNNNNNNNNNNNNNNNNNNNNNNNNNNNNNNNNNNNNNNNNNNNNNNNNNNNNNNNNNNNNNNNNNNNNNNNNNNNNNNNNNNNNNNNNNNNNNNNNNNNNNNNNNNNNNNNNNNNNNNNNNNNNNNNNNNNNNNNNNNNNNNNNNNNNNNNNNNNNNNNNNNNNNNNNNNNNNNNNNNNNNNNNNNNNNNNNNNNNNNNNNNNNNNNNNNNNNNNNNNNNNNNNNNNNNNNNNNNNNNNNNNNNNNNNNNNNNNNNNNNNNNNNNNNNNNNNNNNNNNNNNNNNNNNNNNNNNNNNNNNNNNNNNNNNNNNNNNNNNNNNNNNNNNNNNNNNNNNNNNNNNNNNNNNNNNNNNNNNNNNNNNNNNNNNNNNNNNNNNNNNNNNNNNNNNNNNNNNNNNNNNNNNNNNNNNNNNNNNNNNNNNNNNNNNNNNNNNNNNNNNNNNNNNNNNNNNNNNNNNNNNNNNNNNNNNNNNNNNNNNNNNNNNNNNNNNNNNNNNNNNNNNNNNNNNNNNNNNNNNNNNNNNNNNNNNNNNNNNNNNNNNNNNNNNNNNNNNNNNNNNNNNNNNNNNNNNNNNNNNNNNNNNNNNNNNNNNNNNNNNNNNNNNNNNNNNNNNNNNNNNNNNNNNNNNNNNNNNNNNNNNNNNNNNNNNNNNNNNNNNNNNNNNNNNNNNNNNNNNNNNNNNNNNNNNNNNNNNNNNNNNNNNNNNNNNNNNNNNNNNNNNNNNNNNNNNNNNNNNNNNNNNNNNNNNNNNNNNNNNNNNNNNNNNNNNNNNNNNNNNNNNNNNNNNNNNNNNNNNNNNNNNNNNNNNNNNNNNNNNNNNNNNNNNNNNNNNNNNNNNNNNNNNNNNNNNNNNNNNNNNNNNNNNNNNNNNNNNNNNNNNNNNNNNNNNNNNNNNNNNNNNNNNNNNNNNNNNNNNNNNNNNNNNNNNNNNNNNNNNNNNNNNNNNNNNNNNNNNNNNNNNNNNNNNNNNNNNNNNNNNNNNNNNNNNNNNNNNNNNNNNNNNNNNNNNNNNNNNNNNNNNNNNNNNNNNNNNNNNNNNNNNNNNNNNNNNNNNNNNNNNNNNNNNNNNNNNNNNNNNNNNNNNNNNNNNNNNNNNNNNNNNNNNNNNNNNNNNNNNNNNNNNNNNNNNNNNNNNNNNNNNNNNNNNNNNNNNNNNNNNNNNNNNNNNNNNNNNNNNNNNNNNNNNNNNNNNNNNNNNNNNNNNNNNNNNNNNNNNNNNNNNNNNNNNNNNNNNNNNNNNNNNNNNNNNNNNNNNNNNNNNNNNNNNNNNNNNNNNNNNNNNNNNNNNNNNNNNNNNNNNNNNNNNNNNNNNNNNNNNNNNNNNNNNNNNNNNNNNNNNNNNNNNNNNNNNNNNNNNNNNNNNNNNNNNNNNNNNNNNNNNNNNNNNNNNNNNNNNNNNNNNNNNNNNNNNNNNNNNNNNNNNNNNNNNNNNNNNNNNNNNNNNNNNNNNNNNNNNNNNNNNNNNNNNNNNNNNNNNNNNNNNNNNNNNNNNNNNNNNNNNNNNNNNNNNNNNNNNNNNNNNNNNNNNNNNNNNNNNNNNNNNNNNNNNNNNNNNNNNNNNNNNNNNNNNNNNNNNNNNNNNNNNNNNNNNNNNNNNNNNNNNNNNNNNNNNNNNNNNNNNNNNNNNNNNNNNNNNNNNNNNNNNNNNNNNNNNNNNNNNNNNNNNNNNNNNNNNNNNNNNNNNNNNNNNNNNNNNNNNNNNNNNNNNNNNNNNNNNNNNNNNNNNNNNNNNNNNNNNNNNNNNNNNNNNNNNNNNNNNNNNNNNNNNNNNNNNNNNNNNNNNNNNNNNNNNNNNNNNNNNNNNNNNNNNNNNNNNNNNNNNNNNNNNNNNNNNNNNNNNNNNNNNNNNNNNNNNNNNNNNNNNNNNNNNNNNNNNNNNNNNNNNNNNNNNNNNNNNNNNNNNNNNNNNNNNNNNNNNNNNNNNNNNNNNNNNNNNNNNNNNNNNNNNNNNNNNNNNNNNNNNNNNNNNNNNNNNNNNNNNNNNNNNNNNNNNNNNNNNNNNNNNNNNNNNNNNNNNNNNNNNNNNNNNNNNNNNNNNNNNNNNNNNNNNNNNNNNNNNNNNNNNNNNNNNNNNNNNNNNNNNNNNNNNNNNNNNNNNNNNNNNNNNNNNNNNNNNNNNNNNNNNNNNNNNNNNNNNNNNNNNNNNNNNNNNNNNNNNNNNNNNNNNNNNNNNNNNNNNNNNNNNNNNNNNNNNNNNNNNNNNNNNNNNNNNNNNNNNNNNNNNNNNNNNNNNNNNNNNNNNNNNNNNNNNNNNNNNNNNNNNNNNNNNNNNNNNNNNNNNNNNNNNNNNNNNNNNNNNNNNNNNNNNNNNNNNNNNNNNNNNNNNNNNNNNNNNNNNNNNNNNNNNNNNNNNNNNNNNNNNNNNNNNNNNNNNNNNNNNNNNNNNNNNNNNNNNNNNNNNNNNNNNNNNNNNNNNNNNNNNNNNNNNNNNNNNNNNNNNNNNNNNNNNNNNNNNNNNNNNNNNNNNNNNNNNNNNNNNNNNNNNNNNNNNNNNNNNNNNNNNNNNNNNNNNNNNNNNNNNNNNNNNNNNNNNNNNNNNNNNNNNNNNNNNNNNNNNNNNNNNNNNNNNNNNNNNNNNNNNNNNNNNNNNNNNNNNNNNNNNNNNNNNNNNNNNNNNNNNNNNNNNNNNNNNNNNNNNNNNNNNNNNNNNNNNNNNNNNNNNNNNNNNNNNNNNNNNNNNNNNNNNNNNNNNNNNNNNNNNNNNNNNNNNNNNNNNNNNNNNNNNNNNNNNNNNNNNNNNNNNNNNNNNNNNNNNNNNNNNNNNNNNNNNNNNNNNNNNNNNNNNNNNNNNNNNNNNNNNNNNNNNNNNNNNNNNNNNNNNNNNNNNNNNNNNNNNNNNNNNNNNNNNNNNNNNNNNNNNNNNNNNNNNNNNNNNNNNNNNNNNNNNNNNNNNNNNNNNNNNNNNNNNNNNNNNNNNNNNNNNNNNNNNNNNNNNNNNNNNNNNNNNNNNNNNNNNNNNNNNNNNNNNNNNNNNNNNNNNNNNNNNNNNNNNNNNNNNNNNNNNNNNNNNNNNNNNNNNNNNNNNNNNNNNNNNNNNNNNNNNNNNNNNNNNNNNNNNNNNNNNNNNNNNNNNNNNNNNNNNNNNNNNNNNNNNNNNNNNNNNNNNNNNNNNNNNNNNNNNNNNNNNNNNNNNNNNNNNNNNNNNNNNNNNNNNNNNNNNNNNNNNNNNNNNNNNNNNNNNNNNNNNNNNNNNNNNNNNNNNNNNNNNNNNNNNNNNNNNNNNNNNNNNNNNNNNNNNNNNNNNNNNNNNNNNNNNNNNNNNNNNNNNNNNNNNNNNNNNNNNNNNNNNNNNNNNNNNNNNNNNNNNNNNNNNNNNNNNNNNNNNNNNNNNNNNNNNNNNNNNNNNNNNNNNNNNNNNNNNNNNNNNNNNNNNNNNNNNNNNNNNNNNNNNNNNNNNNNNNNNNNNNNNNNNNNNNNNNNNNNNNNNNNNNNNNNNNNNNNNNNNNNNNNNNNNNNNNNNNNNNNNNNNNNNNNNNNNNNNNNNNNNNNNNNNNNNNNNNNNNNNNNNNNNNNNNNNNNNNNNNNNNNNNNNNNNNNNNNNNNNNNNNNNNNNNNNNNNNNNNNNNNNNNNNNNNNNNNNNNNNNNNNNNNNNNNNNNNNNNNNNNNNNNNNNNNNNNNNNNNNNNNNNNNNNNNNNNNNNNNNNNNNNNNNNNNNNNNNNNNNNNNNNNNNNNNNNNNNNNNNNNNNNNNNNNNNNNNNNNNNNNNNNNNNNNNNNNNNNNNNNNNNNNNNNNNNNNNNNNNNNNNNNNNNNNNNNNNNNNNNNNNNNNNNNNNNNNNNNNNNNNNNNNNNNNNNNNNNNNNNNNNNNNNNNNNNNNNNNNNNNNNNNNNNNNNNNNNNNNNNNNNNNNNNNNNNNNNNNNNNNNNNNNNNNNNNNNNNNNNNNNNNNNNNNNNNNNNNNNNNNNNNNNNNNNNNNNNNNNNNNNNNNNNNNNNNNNNNNNNNNNNNNNNNNNNNNNNNNNNNNNNNNNNNNNNNNNNNNNNNNNNNNNNNNNNNNNNNNNNNNNNNNNNNNNNNNNNNNNNNNNNNNNNNNNNNNNNNNNNNNNNNNNNNNNNNNNNNNNNNNNNNNNNNNNNNNNNNNNNNNNNNNNNNNNNNNNNNNNNNNNNNNNNNNNNNNNNNNNNNNNNNNNNNNNNNNNNNNNNNNNNNNNNNNNNNNNNNNNNNNNNNNNNNNNNNNNNNNNNNNNNNNNNNNNNNNNNNNNNNNNNNNNNNNNNNNNNNNNNNNNNNNNNNNNNNNNNNNNNNNNNNNNNNNNNNNNNNNNNNNNNNNNNNNNNNNNNNNNNNNNNNNNNNNNNNNNNNNNNNNNNNNNNNNNNNNNNNNNNNNNNNNNNNNNNNNNNNNNNNNNNNNNNNNNNNNNNNNNNNNNNNNNNNNNNNNNNNNNNNNNNNNNNNNNNNNNNNNNNNNNNNNNNNNNNNNNNNNNNNNNNNNNNNNNNNNNNNNNNNNNNNNNNNNNNNNNNNNNNNNNNNNNNNNNNNNNNNNNNNNNNNNNNNNNNNNNNNNNNNNNNNNNNNNNNNNNNNNNNNNNNNNNNNNNNNNNNNNNNNNNNNNNNNNNNNNNNNNNNNNNNNNNNNNNNNNNNNNNNNNNNNNNNNNNNNNNNNNNNNNNNNNNNNNNNNNNNNNNNNNNNNNNNNNNNNNNNNNNNNNNNNNNNNNNNNNNNNNNNNNNNNNNNNNNNNNNNNNNNNNNNCUUAAGGUCCAAAACUAUCCCGAGGUCUUUAACGAACUUAUUCGUUUGAUUAAUUAACAUAUUAAUUAAUCCUUGCCAUAAAUAAUUAAACCAUUUAAUUAUUCUUACUCAUCUCCAUUGUUUCUUCAAUCUCCACCUUACACGGUGUACGAUCCAUUAGGUUCCUUUUAGCGAGGCAGUGGGCGAUUAAAACUCUUUCAAAUCGAUUGUGAAUUGAAACUUACUUUCAAUUCUCCCUUUAGUGUUUAUACACGUUUAGGGCUUCCACAAACCAAGAGUGACACCUAGCAGCAUAUCAUGGUUACCCAAGCUAAUCAGAAGAGGUAGAGAACCUAUUCAGUUUAGGAUUACAAAUGCAAUACGGUCUUUCUCUAAUACAAUACUCUUGACCACAUUGUUUGGUUUGAUAGUUUAUUCAUGUCUACUAUCCAAUGUGAUUCGUGUGCUUAUAUGAUUACCUUGAAUGUGAUUUGGAACGACUUUCCUAAAUCUCAUUCAUACUCUGGCCAGAGAUUCUAAAUCAUAUCAUAGAGUAUUCUCCCUCAAACAGUUUGAAGGUUAGAGAUCCCUUGUUGCGCAUUCACUUGCCUCCAUGGCUAAGUGGCUUAACCCCAACUAUGCCGUGGACACCCUCCUUUUAGAGUGACUUUUGACAUAAUCAAAGAUCAAGGACUUAACCACAAGACAACUAUGAUGCCUCAGGUCAAAUGAGUACUUUGCAUUAUCCCAACCAUGAGUUCUCAUGUGAUAUGAAUAUGAGAACUCUUCGUUGAUCGUGUUUAGUGAACUCAUUCUCUAUUGAGCACCUACGUACUUGUCUUGAUGUCACACACACUAAUGACUCGAGACUAGUCACUCUCCCUGAGAGAAGAUACAGCACGUACUGAUCUUAACGGACUGUCAAUGCCCAAUUGGCAAUCCUAUGAUCAGGAACGUUUAGGAUGUGUCUACGAAAGAAUGGUCUCAUGAAUCUAACUUCUUUAGAUUGCAUUCUCCCAAUCACAUAUUCCUUGGACUUAUCGUUUAAGCAUAUAACAUUUAUAUGAGACGGCUCAAACAAUAAUCUUUGCCCUUGAUAUUAAACUAGAUUAGUUUAACAUGUGAAAUGUCCGUAAAGUAUCAUCAUAUGAUUGGUUUUAGGGCACAUUUCCAACAGGGGUGUGUCAGGUGAGGGUGGGCUUAGCCUUAAAAUGGGCAAGCAAUAAUGUGAUUCAAUCAGUUGUUUAUUAAAUAUUAUUUUCUCUAUUUUUAAACACAUUCAAAACAUCUUAAAAGGUUGUAAUGCCGAUUUUAAAAAAGGUCUUUCACACGUAGAUAAUAAUGUGAUUAAAUUAGUUGUCAAAUGAUUGUUUUUUUUUUCAAUUAGUACCUCACAAUAUGCUAGCAAGAAUGUGAUUCAAUUUCUCUAUUUUUAACAUGUUCAAAACAUCUUAAGAGGCAUAUAAUGUCUGUUAUAAAAAAAGAUCAUUUGCACGCGGAUAAUAAUGUAAUUAAAUUAGUUGUCAAAUGAUUGCCUUUUUUUUUAACAAACAAUAUUAUCUACCUAAGGGGGACGGGUGGGAUUAGCCUCACAAUGGGUUGGCAAUAAUGUGAUUCAAUCAGUUGUUUAUUAAAUAUUAUUUUCUCUAUUUUAAGCACGUUCGAAACAUCUUAAGAGACGUGUAAAGUCAGUUAUAAAAACAGUCUUUCGCACGCAGAUAAUAAUGUGGUUAAAUUAGUUGUCAAAUGAUUGUUUUUUUUUUAACAAACGAUAUUAUCUACACUAAAGGGGAAGGGGUUGGCUAAGCCUCACAAUGAGCUAGCAAUAAUGUAAUUCAAUCAGUUGUUUAUUAAAUAUUAUUUUAUCUAUUUUUAAACACCUUCAAAACAUCUUAAAAGGCAUGUAAUGCCGGUUAUAAAAAAAGGUCUUUCGCACGCGGGUAAUAAUGCGAUUAAAUUACAUUAAAUUAGUUGUCAAAUGAUUGUUUUUUUUUUUUAAUUAGUACCUCACAAUAGGCUAGCAAUAAUGUGAUUCAAUUUCUCUAUUUUUAAACACGUUCAAAACAUCUUAAGAGACAUGUAAUGCUAGUUAAAGAAAAGGUCAUUCGCACACGGAUAAUAAUGUGAUUAAAUUAGCUGUCAAAUGAUUGAUUUUUGUUAACAAACGAUAUUAUCUACACUAAGGGGGAGGGGUGGGCUUAGCCUCACAAUGGGCUAGUAAUAAUGUGAUUCAAUCAGUUGUUUAUUAAAUAUUAUUUUCUCAAAUUUAAACACGUUCAAAACAUCUUGAGAGGUCUGUAAUGCCAGUUAUAAAAAAACUAUUUCGCAUGCGGAUAAUAAUGUGAUUAAAUUAGUUGUCAAAUGAUUGUUUUUUUUUUUUAACAAACGAUAUUUUCUACACUAAGGAGGAGGGGUACACUUAGCCUCACAAUGGGCUAACAAUAAUAUGAUUCAAUCAGUUGUUUAUUAGAUAUUAUUUUCUCUAUUUUUUAAACACGUUCAAAACAUCUUAAAAGAAAUGUAAUGUCAGUUAUAAAAAAUGUAUUUCAUGUGCGGAAAAUAAUGUGAUUAAAUUACAUUAAAUUAGUUGCCAAAUGAUUUUAUUUUUUUUUAACAAAUGAUAGUAUCUACACUAAAGGGGAGGAGAUGGGCUUAGCCUCACCAUAGGCUAGUAAUAAUGUUAUUUAAUCAGUUAUUUAUCAAAUAUUAUUUUCUCUAUUUUUAAACACGUUCAAAACAUCUUAAGAGGCAUGUAAUGCCGGUUAUAAAAAAAGGUCUUUCGCACUCAGAUAAUAAUGUGAUUAAAUUAGUUGUCCAAUGAUUAUUAUUUUUUUUAACAAACGAUAUUAUCUACAUUAAGGGGGUAAGGGUGGUGUAAUAUCCCACAUCGCCCAGGGGAGUGGAUCAUGUAAGCCUUAUAUGUAUAUUCUCAUCUCUACCUAGCACGAGGCCUUUUGGGAGCUCACUGGCUUUAGAUUCAGUAAGAACUCCGAAGUUAAGCGAGAAAUGGGUCAGAACAUUCCUAGGAUGGGUGAUCCACUGGAAAGUUCUGCUCGCAUGAGUUCCCAGAAACAAAACCGUGAGGGCAUGGUCUGGGUCCAAAUUCGACAAUAUUGUGCUACGGUGGGGUCGAGCCCAGGAUGGGGGCUCGGGCCGAGAUGUGACAGUUUGGUAUCAAAGCCAAUCCCUGGCCAAAAGUGUGUUGACGAGGACGUCGGGCCCCUAAGGAUGGUGGAUUGUAACAUCCCACAUUGCCCAGGGGAGUGGAUCUUGUAAGGUUUAUAUGUAUAUUCUCAUCUCUACCUAGCACGAGGCCUUUUGGAACUCACUGGUUUCAGGUUUCGUAGGAACUCCGAAGUUAAGCAAGAAAUAGGCCAAAACAUUCCCAGGAUGGGUGACCCACUGGGAAGUUUUGCUUGCAUGAAUUUCCAGAAACAAAACCGUGAGGGCUUGGUCGGGGCCUAAAGCGGACAAUAUCGUGCUACGGCGGAGUUGAUCCUGGGAUGUGGUGGGGGCCCGAGCCGGGAUGUGACAAGUGGGCUUAGCCUCAUAAUGGGCUAGCAAUGAUGUGAUUCAAUCAAUUGUUUAUUAAAUAUUAUUUUCUCUAUUCUUAAUGUAAAUUCUAUAGAGACUGAUUUAUUAUGUGAAUUCAGCUACUUUAAUUGGUUUAUGAGGGGUUUCUUCUAGCAUGAUCUAAGAUUAUUCAUUUACUUCAAAUAUUUGACUUUCCAUUUGUCAAUUUACGCAUAUAAUUACAUUUAAAACAUGUAAGUCACACAUAGCACGCCUUUAUUCAAAAAAGGCCUUUGUCAUUUUAAUUAGUAUUUUUUUUAAUUAACUACUUCACAAUAGGCUAGCAAUAAUGUGAUUCAAUUUCUCUAUUUUAAAACACGUUGAAAACAUCUUAAAAGGUGUGUAAUGCUGGUUAUAAAAAAAUGGUCUUUGGCACGCGGAUAAUAAUGUGAUUAAAUUAGUUGUCAAAUGAUUUUUUUUUUAACAAACGAUAUGAUCUACACUAAGGAGGAGAGGGUGGGCUUAGCCUUACAAUAGGCUAGCAAUAAUGUGAUUCAAUCAGUUGUUUAUUAAAUAUUAAUUUCUCUAUUUUUAAACAUGUUGAAAACAUCUUAUGAGGCGUGUAAUUCCGUUUAUGAAAAAGAUCUUUCGCAAGCAGAUAAUAAUGUGAUUAAAUCAGUUGUCAAAUAAUUAUUAUUUUUAACAAACAAUAUUAUCUACACUAAUGGGGAGGGGCCGGGCUUAGCCUCACAAUGGGCUAGUAAUAUUGUGAUUCAAUCAAUUGUUUGUUAAAUAUUAUUUUCUCUAUUCUUAAUGUAAAUUCUUUAGAGACAGAUUUUGUUAUGUGGAUUCAGCUGUUUUAAUUGAUUUAUGAGGAGUUUCUUCUAGCAUGAUCUAAGAUUAUUCAUUUAUUUCAAAUAUUUGACUUUCCUUUUGUCAAUUUACAUAUAUAAAUACAUUUAAAAUGUGUAAGUCGUGUGUGACGUGCUAUGAUUCAAAAAAUGUCUUCUGCACGUGUGUGAGUGCGUGGAUAAAGGCUAGUAUAUGAGAAAAGAAUAUGAAAAAUGAUGAAUUAAAAAGCGUGAUGAAAGCGGAAAGAAGAAAUAAAGAUGAAUGAAUAAAGAACAAAAUGUUAAAGGGGAAAACAACUUAAAAUCGUUUUCACCAUUUCUUCUACAUUUAUCAGACCAUCUUUUCCCCACUUUUCUUUAUCAUUUUUUCCUCUAUAUUGUACUUUCAUCAUAUUUUAAACACAAAAAAUAAAAACUAUAAAACUUUAAAACUUUAAAACUAAAUGAUUAUCAAACGUGCCUUACCUAUGGAGACAAAAAAAAAUACAUUUCAUAGAAGCUCUUUAGUUUUGAAUUAUUUCAAGGAGAGACAAAAACUCAAACCCUACAAACCUAACCCAAAAACAAGCAAACCAAAAUUUUGAAAUUUUAGCGGUGCUCCCAAUAAACUUGUUACUUAACCAAAACAAAACUACAAGCUAACACCAUCUAAAACCCUUCAAAUUUAUUUUAGAUCCAUAAAAAUUAAUUUCUGCACUUUUGCAAGAUCGACUUCAAAACUCAUGAACUUUUAUAAGAUCAAUUUCAAAAUUUUUCACACAUCCACAAGAUCAUUUUCAAACUUCUAGCACUUUCAUAAGAUCAGUUUCAAAGUUCCAGCAUUUCUGCAAGAUUAAUUUCAAAGAAUUCAGCACUUUUACAAGAUCAGUUUCAAAAUUUCAGCAAUUCUACAAAAUAAGUUUCAAAAUUUAGUAUCUCUGUAAGAUCAGUUUCAAAAUUUUAUGCACUUCUGUAAGAUCAAUUUCAAAAUUUCAGCACUUCCGCAAGAUCCGUUUCAAAAUUCCAGCAUUUCCACAAGAUGAAUUUCAAAAUUUGGCACUUCUUCAAGAUCAGUUUCAAAAUUUCAACACUUUCACAAUAUAAGUUUCAAAAUUUCAACAAAUUUGCAGGAUCAGUUUCAAAUUUUUUGGCACUUCUGCAAGAUCAAUUUCAAAAUUCUAGCACUUCUUGCAAGAUUAGUUUCAAAAUUCCAGCAUUUCUGCAAGAUCAGUUUCAAAAAUUCUCACACUUCUGCAAGAUCUGUUAAAUUUCAGCAUUUCUCCAAGAUUAAUUUCAAAAUUCCAGCAUUUAUAAAAGAUUAGUUUAAAAAAAAUAGCACUUUUGCAAUAUCAGUUUCAAAAUUCCAACAUUUCUAUAAGAUCAAUUUCAAAAUUCCUACAUUUUUGCAAGAUUGGUUUCAAAAUUCAUGCAUUCAAAUCAAUCAAAACCUCAAAAUCAAUAUUGACACACCCCGACCCGGAAUGUCCACUAGGACUCCGAAUCGAGCUGUGAUGGCCGACACCUGGAAGGUGACGAAGCCAUAAAGUAUAAUGAUGUGGAAAAUGUGAAUAAAUUUAAACCUAGAAGUACCUAAAGACGAGAGUGCGCUGUGAGUGGGAAUGAGCCCAUUUCACUUGCGACGUCAGAGCAUAAGUAAAGUAUAGUAGUGUGGUUAAGGAUCAUACCUUUAGAUGUAGCCACCUAUACUUAGAUUCACCACGAAUCCUCGUCGAUACGAACUUUCAGCAACUAAAACCUGAAGGGGCACAAAACAAGGGUAAGUGGGCUUGAAAAUAAAGUUUUUAAUAAAAACAUUUUGAAAACGUUAUAACCCCUCACCGUAAAACCCAUAUAAUUUCCCAGAAAAUAAUAAUAUAUAUAGAAAUCAUGCUCAAGAGUAGUGAAAACCAAGUUUAUGCCAUGUCAAGUAUCUCAACAAUGAAAUAAGUAGGCCAAGUGAAAUAAUCAAUGUAAAAUGAUAUGCCAACCAGAGUCACCUAAUGUGACCUGUACAGCUGAACCUAUAGCUCAUUAACCAAUUCCUGCACACGAGUCGGAACCACCUAUUGUGGUCUGUACGACAAGGUUGGGUGUAAAUAAGUACGCUCAAGUGCUACGAUCAUGUGAAGGUUGUGCGAUAAAUCGUGGGUCACCUACAAGUCGUAACCACCUAUUGUGGUCUGUAUGACAAGGAUGUGCACCAAACUUGGAUCCAAGGUAAGCGUGUGGUGCGGGAGGUGAACAUCACGUGAAGGACUAUGCCCUGGCCAUGGGCAGGAGCACUAACACUGGGGUGCAGGAUAAUGAGCUCUACAUACCUCUAUGUAUAACCAUAACCAAUGCAACCACUAACAUCAUAUAGUACUCACCUGAAACUUACCUGGCCUCCGCAGCAUCAUACAAUAGUAUGUAUAUACAUACCAAUGCAUAUAAUAAAAUGAAAUGCAAGCAUGACAUGGCAUUUAAAAAGAAUACACUUGUUUAAAACGGUUUCUGGGAAAAUGUAAAGCAUAUAUACGUAUAUAUAGAAAAUCAAAAGCCCACUCACUUGGAGUCUGCGCUACAACUCCCUAGCAUAACAUCAAGGCACCUAGAACAAUUAUCAAAUCAUGUCUUAGAAUUCUUAUUAAUAGAAUAUAGAACUUACAUAUCCUAUUUGGGAAGAUCCGUACGUCGGAUUCCCGAUCCGUAAGUUUGCAAUAUCCUCAAAUAUUACGUAUUAUAAUGUAUCAAAAUUUAGUGACGAUCCAACAGUCGGAUCAUUGAUUGCUAUAAUAAUCAAGCGGCAGACCUUAAUGGAACUAGGUUCAAACGACGGAAAUUCAUCAAUCGGACCUCACAAAUGGAAUUAGGGUAUUCAAAUUUAACCUAGGAAGGUCAGGGGAUGUCUCGGCCCACGUGCCACCGCAUGUGGCAGUUGGCCGCCCCGACUCGCUAGAAAAUCUAACUAUUUCUAAAAAUUCUCAAACUUCACAGAAAUGAAGACCUCAAUGAAUAAAGCAACUUUCAUACUUGUGACUAAAGCCAAUUUGGCCGGGAAAAGCCUCAAUUUCAUCCAAACCCGCCAGAAACCCUACAAAGGUGAUUCUUGAUUCGGCCUCCAAACUCACUCCAACGCCUCAACCAACCCCUAGGCUUCAUUCCUGAACUCAAGAAGAGUCUAAUGGUGGUGGUGGUUGACGGAGUUACCUUCAGAUUUAAUGGAUCGCCACCCCGAAGCCAUCGCAUCCACCGGUGUAUUUCUUCCCAAUUCCGAACCCAAUCUCCUGAAAUUUGAUGUGGAAAUGGUAGAGGAAGGGUAAAGAUGAUGGUUAUGAGUGGUAGAUCGGCUCAAUUCAUCAGAAAAACAAUGAAUUUCGUCGGAGAAACUCACGGGUCACCAUCGGGUCACGGGUCAAGGGGAAAUCGAUUUGGUUCCCCUCCUUCUCCUUUUCCCUCCUUUUCCCUCCUUUCCUCUUUUCCCAUUGGUUAUCCUCCUUUUCUCCCUUCUUCAUUGGUCCGGUUCCUCCCUCAUUUCUCUCUUUUAUCCUCCAUCUCCACCGACCAACUUUCUUUCUUUUAAUCUGGGCCACACACAUGGCUCCACCAGAUUUUGCUCCCCAAAAAUCUGGAGCAUUCUAGAAAUAAAUAAAUUUACAAUUUUGCCCUCGACUUCAUUCGUUAAUAUCUCCUUCGUUAUAACUCCAAAUCAUAAUCCGUUUGCAUCCACGCGUUCUUAGCGAUAAGUACUACGAGGAUACGCCAAGAAAAUGAACCUUAUGUGACACGACACAGCAGUUAACAAAAGUCAACACUUUGUCUUGAAGGGCAUUUUUGUAAAUUCACUUUUUAAAAUUAUAAAAAUAAAAAAUCCCAAUAGUUCUUAAAAAAGAAAAAAAAAACACUCGUAAGCUUAGGAAACAAUAUGAAGGAGAAGCAAAUGAGGGAGAGAGAAGUAUGAAAAAGAAAUAAAAGAGAGAAGGAAGAGAGAGAAAAUGACGAAAAAGAAAAAAGAAAAAAGAAAAAGAAACAAUACAAAUAAGGGGAUAGAGAUACACAUUUCAAUUAUAUAGGGUAAAAUUGUAAAUACAAAAGAAAUUUAAAAAACAACCAUGACAUCACAUAUCAUAUGGAUAAGUUCUGUCACUCUAUAAAAAAGGAAAAAAAAGGAAAAAAAUUGGUCUCUCUAAAAUAUAGUCUUAUAAUUUCGAUGUAUAUGUUGUUAUUCAUAUAAUUAAAUGCUAUAGAUUUCCACCUUUUAUGUGCCUUGUGAGAAAAUUUUGUGGUAAAGGAAUUAAAUAUACAAUCCCCUAACUAAUAAGUUUAUGUCACUUAGUAUCACGGUCUAGUGGUAUUUCUCUUCACUUGUAAAUGAAAAGUUUUAUGUUCGAUUCUUGCCAAAGGCGAAUUUGAACUACAUUAUUGCUAGCCCAUAUUAAGGCUAGCUCACCCCACUUCCCUUAGUGUAGAUCAUAUCAUUUGUUCAAAAAAAAAGGAAGAAGUUUUAAGUUCGAAUUUCUACAAAUGCAAUUUUGAACUACAUUGUUGCUAGCUUAUUAUGAGGUUAAGACUCACUUCGUCAUAGAUAAUAUCGUUUGUUAGAUAAAAAAUAAAUAAAAAUAAAAAUAAAAAACUAAUAAGCUUAUUAUAUUACUGGACAGUAAUUUGACAUUUUUAACAAAUGUUAAUGUUUUUAAAUUAUUUGACUUGAUAAGUUUGUGUUCUCUUAAUUAUAUCCCCCUUUAUAGAAAGAUCGAUUGAAAGGCCUAGGGUAUUCCACGCGUGUCCUCGAGAGGGUCACAAGUGGAGUCGAUGAUCAUCCAUGCAUACCUCCUCCAAAUUCCAAAUAAAUAAAUAAAAUAUUAACACUAAUUAAGUUGGUGGAGUCAAGGAUCAUGCGUGAGCACAUAUUCCUCUACAACAUCAUGACGUGUGGAAAAAUGAUUUAACACGUAAGUUAGUGGAAGCGUGAUCCCUCAACUUUUGCAAAUAACAAGCAAUCGCCAAUAAUAACUAUUUCUGGAAGGCACGGAGCAAUAGUACUUUUCUAUAUAAUAUUUUAUUAGUUGAAUAAAACGAAGAACAUUUUCUUAAUUAUAAACGAAAUGUUAUAUUUCUUUCAAGUGCAAAUAUAAAGAUAGUAUAAUAGAACAAGUAAGGAUGUUGAACCACAAGAACUGAUUAGAACUCUACAAAUUACUAGUUUUAUGUGAACUCUAACUAAGCAAUGAAAAUGAAAACUGAAUUUAAAUUUUUGUUUUGAAAUCUAAAGUAACUUAAAAUGCAAGACAAGAUAAAGAUGAAUGAUAGAUUGAUUCAGAAACGAUGGGAACAGAACUAGGGAUACUGAUUUCACCAUUAUAAGUCAAUUCCAUGAAAAUUAAGUCAAAAUGCAUUCAACUCUCAAAUCUGUAACUAGGGUUCGUUUUACUUAUUUAUGAUCAUCCAUUUGAUGUGUGGUUUUGAUCAAGUACUCCUAAUCUGCAACCUAGUUGUGAUGUUCAACUUAGAUUAACAAGUAAGAAUCCAUUAAGAACAAGAAAACUUCAAAGAACCAAAAAAAUCACAUGGCAUGAUGUAUGCAUAGCAGUUUCUUCAUUCAUUCACAUGUCCAUCAAGAUUAAGCAUGAUGUGUACUAUAAUCUUGAUCAAAUAAUUCAUAAGCAGCCCUAAUGGUGAUCAAACAUUAAGAUCAACAAACAAACUAUACUAUAAAAUCAAUGAAUGAAACAAGAACACAUAUUGGUAAUUUGAAUACUUUAACUUAAUAACAUAGAGUAGGUUUUGCAAGGCUACACCGAAUUCCCCAACUAUGAACUUAAUUACACAACAUGAUUACAAAAUAUAUAAAUAUCAAGAACAACAUGAGUGAAAUUAAAGUUCAUAGAAGAAAACCCCUUGAAGCAAUUCUGAUGUUGAACUUCUCCAAGAAUAGCGCGGCUGCGUGGUUUCUUCGGUGGCAGCAGAUGGCGAAGGGAAAUAGGGUUUUGUCUCUGGAAGAAAGGCCAAAAAAAGAGAAGGGAGAGAGCUCUGGGCGACCCCAAGGGGGGCUUGUGUAAAAGUGAUAUGAAACCCUAGUAUUUAUAUGCUAAAUGGGGUUGCAGCUGAUUGCAAGGUGAUCCCAACCAUUAAGCCAAAGUUUUGAACGUUUUUCCUUAUUUGGCUCCUCCAAAUCAGGCUAGAUAUUCCAAUUUCUUUCCCAUUCUGCUCUUAGUCUCUUAACCAGCUAGAUUCGCUUUGGAUUCUUUAUUUGGGCUUCAAAACAAGUAACAACUUUAUUUGGGCUCCAAAACAGACCACUAAACUUCUCUCCACGUUUGAAUAAGGGUCAGCUCCAAAAAUGGCAUGUUUUCACUUCUUUUGCCUUCAAAUUGAUCCUAAAGUACAUGUAACUGCACACUAACACAAAAUAAGGUAAAAUGCAACCAGUUUAAUUCAAAAACAUCACAAAGAGACUAGAAAUGGAUGGUAUAAAUGCAUGAAAUAUAUGAGUUAUCACGCAACUGAGUACCUCUCCCUGUAUAAUCAACCCCUUCUUGAUAAUGGCCUUUGCAAAAGUUUUGGGCUUUAUAUCUUUCUACCGAGCUAUCAAGAUUGUUGCUAGGCUAAAUACCCUAGACCCAGCUGGACAAAGGCCCAAGGUCUUAUUAUCGUAUUUAAACGAGUAGGCCUCAUUAUAUAUAGUAAUAGUUCUUAAAUUAGGGUUUUCACAAAAUAGUCCUUUUAGGCAGUGUAAAGUCAUAAUUUUAGUCUUUUAGGGCAUGUUUGUUUGGCCUUCCUAAGCUUAACUGGACUAGACUGGCUUAGCUAAGAAUAUUAAUCUAUGUUUGGUGUAAGCCGGGACCGAGUUUAAUGGGGGGAGCUCGGAAUUGUUCCGACUAUACUCUUCAUUAGCUGGGCUUAGUGAGGCCGGGCAAAAAGGAUGGGAUUGCUAAGACCAGCGCUUUGCAUCAUCAUCAUGUUGAGGCUUCAAAUUUGUCAUCUUCCACAGAUCCCCAACCUGCCGCCAUUAAGCUUUUCUUCUUUCCUCAGCCUGCAAUCAACCGAUUCAAUAGCUCCACCUCUCGCACAGGCCCUGCCCGCAGCUCCAAAUCUCGCGCCACUGGUCGUCGCAUCCUCCUCUAGGCCACCAAGCACUCCACAAGGAAGAUGCUGUGAACACGGAAAAUUCCUGAAACGAAAGAGACAAGAACGAACGUGCACAAACAAAUAUUAAGUAUUUGAUGAUUUUGGGUUACAAUCUCUCUCUAAUUUGAUCCUCUGAUUCGAUCUCCGUAAGGUGUUGAUUGGUGGGUGUUUCGUUGAUCCAAAGGGCCGUUAGGCUUGAUCUAAGGAUGAACGUUCUUCAAGGGCCGUGGACUUGAUCUUGAAGGUGGAUUUGAGCGGAUCUUCAAAUGGGCUUUUGGGCUUGAUCUUUGAAGAAUAGUGACGAACGGAUCUCCAAGGGCUUUUGGGCUUGAUCUUGAAGAACAGUGAUAAACGGAUCUUCAAGGGUUUUUGGGCUUGAUCUUGAAGAACGGUUGGAUGUGUGGAUUUGUCGACGUUGUUGAUCCAAGGGCCGUUGGGGCUUGAUCUUGGAUGAACGGAUGAUGAACGAUGGUGCUUUCUUCAAGGGCCGUCGGGGCUUGAUCUUGGAAGAACGAUGAACGAAGAACACUUUCUUCAAGGGCCGUCGGGGCUUGAUCUUGAAUUGGUGGAUGAUUGUUGAUCCAAGGGCCGUCGGGGCUUGAUCUUGGAAGAACGAUGAACGAAGAACGAAGAAGGCUUUCUUGAUUCUUCGGGAACUUGGAUGCUUGAGAGCUUCGGAGUUUCAGAGCUUCAGAGCUUCAAGGUGUAAUAUCAAUUGGUCCCCUUCAAUGAAUGAAAUGGGCUUGUAUUUAUAGAAUUUUCCAAGGUCUAAUUUCGAAUAUAAUAUUCCAGAUGAAAUAAGUCGUUUCUGCCAGGUGUUGACACGUGUCCUAUUUGAUGACUUUUCCAACUCAUUUCAAUUUUCGUUGAGUCACACGCUACGUGUAAAAUUUAUGUAAUACAUGAGCGUUGACACUUUGAUUUAUUGGUCAACAUUUAUUUACCGAAAUUUCGAUGUCUACAAAUGCCCCCACUUCAAGGCACGUCGUAUACAUGUGCUUGUCACGUGUAGGAGAUGUGUUUUGAAGUCCCUUACUGUAGAUGUCGAUCCAAGGGCCGUCGAGGCUUGAUCUUGAAUUGGGCUGGAGAUUUCUUCAAGGGCCGUUGAGGCUUGAUCUUGAAUUGGGCUUGAGAUUUCUUCAAGGGCCGUUGAGGCUUGUUCUUGAACUUUUGUUUGAAAUUUCUUCAAGGGCCGUCGAGGCUUGAUCUUGAAGGUUGAAAUUGGGCCACAAGGAGCUUCAUGUGGUAGAUGAUCUUUGGCUUUGGUAAUGGAUGAAUCGGCACGUAUUUUGUUGCGCUUGUUGACUUUCCACAGCUUUGAUCUUGAACUGGGUUGGAAGAUUUUCUGGAUUCCUCCAAUUGUUGAUUUUCCACAGCUUAUUCUUGAACUAGGUUUUGAUUCAAGGGUGGUAGACACUUAAUCUUGAAUCAGACUUGUGAUUUCCUCAAGGGCCGUCGAGGCUUGAUCUUGAAUUUGGUUGGAAACUUCUUCAAGGGCCGUUAGGGCUUGAUCCUUGAAGGUUGACUUAAACACAUGACAAGCAGGCACGAGGUGAAGGUGACGACUUGUUGCUCUGUUCAAUAUUUCUAAUUCACACCUGAGCAGUUUGGUCAACGGUAUGAUCUUCAAGAUUGAUGCGCUUUUCUUCCAGUUGGUGACUUGAUCUUUAAGGAUUUGAUUCAAGGGUGGUGAAUCGGCACGUGCAACCUACAACGCCUAGUAAGCCGACCCAAGAAUUUGAGGGUCAAAACGAAUUCACCGUCAGAGUGAUUGCAACUUUGAUGAUAUGAGAUACUCUUGCUUUUGAAGAAGUAGCGGAUGAAUCAACACGUGCUUGGUUGCAUUUGUCUCCACAUGCUUCAAGGUAUCAUCUUCAUUUCCUUUAUCUGUUCCUCAGGCAGAUGUGGCAGCUUCUUUGAAAGUACAGCAGCAGUCGAAGGCGAGUACUCGAGAGCAGUGCUAGGUAGGCAAUCAGGGAAGGGUUCCAAGCAGUCGGUUCCUUACCCGAGUUUGAGUGGAAGUUCCGGCAUAUUGUUUUCUUUAUCCUUGUCUUUGUAGGUAGGAACAAGGACAAAGGAAAGGACAGAGAGAGUGUAUGAUAUGAGAUACUCUUGCUUUCUACCCUGGUGAUAUGGGAUACUUUUGCUUUGGAGUCAUUGGCUUGCAGAGGUACCCCAAGGAAUAGGGAACAUUGAAUGACUCGAGAGGCUUCGUUGGGAAAGCAUUUUUUGGAGAUGAAGAAAGGCUCUGUAUGUCUGCCUUGCUAUGGAAGGCGAAGGUAGACAAUUAUAGGAAGUUCUUUGAUACUUGUAGAGGUACUAUUCUUUCACUCGUGUCGGCAACCAAUGCGUGAUUGAUCUAUAUGGCUUCACGUGCUUUCUUCUUUAUCAGAAAUCUUCGACAAAUUGUCCGUAAUUUCCGCCAAGCUGAGUGUGCAUGUGACAGGUGUCGACGCGGCUGAAAAAGACUGGCGCCUCUUCGAUAACUGGGAUCGGCGCUUCGACAAAUUACCCGUGAUUUCCGCAAAGCUGAGUUUGCGUGUGAUGGGUGCUGACGUGGCUGAAAAAAGACUGGCGCCUCUUCGAUAUCUGGGAUCGGCGCUUCGACAAAUUUGCCCGUGAUUUCCGCAAAGCUGAGCUUGCUUGUGACGGGUGCUAACGCGUCUGGAAAAGCAAGAUGCUUCUCCGAUUUCUGAGAUUGCCUCUUCGAUUUUUGAAUCGGCAUUUUCGAACUUUGAGCUCACCUCUUCGAUCUCUGAAAUCCCGUCGAGUGCUGAUUUUUUAUAGAGGCACGCAGUUCGUUUCAAAGCACACUUGAAUUUUCGCUUGUAGAAACUCCCUUCUUGCACUUCUAAGAUCUUGAUUUGUCCGACCUCUUCUUUCUUCAACACCUUUGAAAAUGUCUGGACCCUCCGAUCGUCGUUUUGAUUUGAACCUUGAUGAAGAGGUAGUCCCGUCUUCUCCAGAUAACAUAUGGCGCCCAUCCUUCAUAUCCCCCACUGGUCCUCUUACCGUUGGGGAUUCAGUGGUGAAGAAUGAUAUGACCGCUGCGGUGGUGGCCCGGAACCUUGUCACUCCCAGAGAUAACAGACUACUUUCCAAACGGUCUGAUGAGUUGGCUGUUAAGGAUUCUCUGGCUCUCAGUGUGCAGUGUGCAGGUUCUGUGUCCAACAUGGCCCAACGCCUAUUUGCUCGAACCCGUCAAGUUGAAUCGUUGGCGGCUGAAGUGAUGAGUCUCAAACAGGAGAUUAGGGGGCUCAAGCAUGAGAAUAAACAGUUGCACAAGCUCGCACACAACUAUGCCACAAACAUGAAGAGGAAGAUUGACCAGAUGCAGGAAUCUGAUGGUCAGAUUUUACUUGAUCAUCGGAGGUUUGUGGGUUUGUUCCAACAACAUUUGCCUUCGUCUUCUGAGGCUGUACCGACUGCUGAGGCUUCAAACAGCCAUCCUCCGACGCCUUCUCUUCCUGGAGCUCUGCCGAGUUGUGAGGCGCCACCUGAUCGUCCUUGAAUAUCCCCUCUUGUAAAUUUGAUUUGAUUUGAUUUGAUUUUUUUUUUUUUUUUUUUUUUUUAAUUUAUGUAUAAUGCAAAUUUAUGUAAAAUUUCCAGAAAAAUAAAUAAAAUGGACCUUCUAUUUCUCUCGAUGUUUUUUUUUUUUUUUUUUUUUUUUUUUUUUUUUUUUUUGCUAUAUACAUACAUAUCAUGCACAUACAUGUAUAUGUAUAUUUACAUGGUGCAAUCCGCACCAUCCCACCUUCCUACUUGCUUUCCCCUUUUUUUUAUUCUUUAAUUUUUUUAUUUUUUAGGUAUGGUGCCAGAUCAAUCCAGAUUUCCCCUUUUUUUUUUUUUCACAUGGUGCCAACCAUCCCUUCUUUAUUCACGUGGUGCCAGACGCACCACCACCCCUUUCUUUUUUUUUUUUUUUUUUUUUUUUUUUUUUUUUUUUGUAUUUCUUUCUGUAUAAAUUAGGAUGGUGGUUAGAGGAAUUUGCAGGGAGCGGACGAAGACGGACGGAGAGCUGGAGUUUGAGGAAGCGCUUCUCGGCCGGCUAGUCGUUUGACAGCGGUCUUUGAAGUUGUUUGGCAGCUGCGAGGCAAGAGACGGAGGAGGCCUUUGGGUGUGUAUUGACAAACUUUGUUUUUGUCAAUCUCAUUCAAAGGCAGCAGCCAUGGCGGAAGUGCAGAGGAAGAAGCUCCACCACUACCUUUACUGAGCACAGCCACCGAUCGCAACCACCUAGUAUAGAGCCACCGUACACUCGUUGCACUGUCACUGAGCACCACCACUAACCACAACCACUGUACACCUGUUACACCGCUUGCUGCGGAGGGGAGUGUCGCUCGUUGCAUAAAAGCGAGACUGAUGGGCAAAAAAGACAAGCCUGCAGGGAAGAAAAAUGAGGAGGCCAUUGAUGGAGUUAUGGCGAGAUCGAAUUUAGACGGAAAGGGAGACUGAGACGGCGAGAUCGAAGUCCUGCACGAAGUUCUAAACCCUAACCCAUAACAUCCUGCAGUAGAAACCAAUGUCGAGGAAGCUGAAGAACGGCGCCGUUUCUUCGUCACUGAAUGUUGAAGACAGCAUGGAGCGUGGAUUUGGAAUGACGUCAUCGCGAUCUUAGAAAAAGUUUUGGGAUCUCUGAUCUUUCUCUCCGCGUUCUUCUUCUGUGGUGGUCGUGAUGGUACUGCUUGCCGAAGGAUCGAGAGAGGACUGCUUGCCGCACUUGCUGCUGAAGCUGGUGGGCAGAGAGGGCGGAAAAUCCAAGAGAGGUUCUGUUUUGUGUUCCUUUUCUUCUUUGACAGGUCGUUCUCCGAUGGUGAAAUCCGCAUCACCGUUAUAAAGGAUGAUUGUUGUUUCAUGCAGCCUUCCUGGUCAGCUGCUCCUUUGAUGUGCUCUCGAAGAUUUUGUCGGCAUUUCCAACCUCAAAUCUAUCUCGCCUGUGAUGCUCUUUAACCUCGUCAAGGGGCAGAUUGCUGUAUUGAGGCAGAACCAGGCGUUCAGCAAACUCGAUGUAGGAGCAGGGGACUGAUUUAGUUACACCAUCCGCAAUUUGGAAAUGGAUUGAUGGUGCUACUGUUGAAUGGUGGUGUGAUGGAGGCCAACUCGCUCCGGGUGUGCACACCAUGUGCAGCAGGCGGGGACGAACUCGAGAAUCUGGGAUUCAAGGGAGAGGGACUCGGCCUCGGAGAGAAUGGAAUUCGCUGCUUCGCGGUACUGGGGAUUUAAGUGGGCCGUGAUUUUGAUGAGAGCAGCAGCAGCAGCAGAGAUGUGCAGAGAUGGAGACGAAGCUCCCUUUUUUUAUUUUUUGCUUUUCUGAGAAGUGGAAAAUGUGUGGGUUGUGGGAUCUGUGAAGGCAGGUGGACUGGUGGUGGAAACUUGAGAGCAGCGAAUUUGGCGGAGAGGUCGUUGCCGAUGACUGCCUUUAUUUCCUCGUCCACCUGAUCGGAAAUGGUCCGAUUAUAUUUGGAAUUUGGAGGCGGAAGCAUCAGCGGAGAAACACGGCGCUGCCCUACCCCCUUUCGACUCUGCAACUUCUAGCUGCUGAUGGUGAUAGGUUCAUAGCCCAAGACAUUUGGUUCCAAAACUCAGCUGGGCCAGCAAAGCACCAAAGUGUUGCACUCCGGGUUGGGGCAGAUUCGACAGCACUUGGGCUUCAUUUUGAAUGGGCUGCUUUGAGCAAUGCUGCAAGAAAUGGGAGAUGGGCCUUGAUUUGUAACUGAAGUCUGAGCAGGCAUUGGUCUUGACCGCGGAUUGGGUUUGGAGGCUGCCACUUGGGCCUGGAUGGCCUCCUUUUGAGAGGCUUGCUGCUGAUGGAUAUACAUACAUACAUAUAUAUAUAUAUAUAUAUAUAUAUAUAUAUAUAUGUAUGUAUAUGUAUGUAAAAGAACUCCUUUUUUUUUUUCUUUUUUUUUUUUAAAUACAUAAAACAUAUGUAUUCAAUUUUUUUUUUUUUUUUUUUUAAAAAAACUGUAAUUUAAUUUUGUACAAAGAAAAUUGCAAAUUUUCUUAACAAAAUAAAUUUGUAAUGAAAUUAACCUUCUUUAAUAAAACAUUUAUUCUUUUGAUUUUGAUGUGACUGAACUCGAAAUUUUGAAUAUUCAAGCUGCCUACGUACCCUUCCAAAGAAAGAGAUCAAGUCAAAACGUAGUUCAAAUACAUACAUAUAUAUAUUUUUAUUUUUUUUUUGGUAUUUUCUUUUUUUUUGUGCCGUUUGCAGUUUCAGCUCGUGCAGACAAGGAGCUUUGGGUUGUCGCCUUUUAGGCUCGUGCAGACCAGGAGCUUUGGUGUUGCCUUUUAUGCUCGUGCAGACCAGGAGCUUUGGUUCGUGCAGUUUUAGGCUCGUGCGAACAAAGAGCAUUUGGUGCCGUGUUGCAGUUUCAGCUCGUGCAGGCAAGGAGCAUUUGGUGCCGUGUUGUAGUUUCAGCUCGUGCAGACAAGGAGCUUUGGGUUGUCGCCUUUUAGGCUCGUGCAGACCAGGAGCGUUGGUGUUGCCUUUUAUGCUCGUGCAGACCAGGAGCUUUGGUGUUGCCUUUUAUGCUCGUGCAGACCAGGAGCUUUGGUUCGUGCAGUUUUAGGCUCGUGCGAACAAGGAGCAUUUGGUGCCGUGUUGCAGUUUCAGCUCGUGCAGGCAAGGAGCAUUUGGUGCCGUGUUGUAGUUUCAGCUCGUGCAGACAAGGAGCUUUGGGUUGUCGCCUUUUAGGCUCGUGCAGACCAGGAGCGUUGGUGUUGCCUUUUAUGCUCGUGCAGACCAGGAGCUUUGGUGUUGCCUUUUAUGCUCGUGCAGACCAGGAGCUUUGGUUCGUGCAGUUUUAGGCUCGUGCGAACAAGGAGCAUUGGUUGGUUCGUCAAGCGAUCUGAGAAAGUCGUUCCUCGCAAUCUUCAUAGCAAGGAGCUUUGACCGUGUGUUUGAAGAAGUUUUCGGGCAAGAAGUCGCGCAUCGUGAUGGGGAUGGACAGUCUAUGUGUCGAAAUUUCAUCAUCUUCAACACGUUCACGUUGCUUUGAAGGUUGACAAGAGCUGCUUUGCCCCCUUUCCGAUUGGCGGACUUGUGGAGGAGACAUAUGUUUCUUGUGCAAUUUCUUAGGAGUGACUUGAGUCCAUCCUUCUACUUUGCUUGUCUUGGACGAUGCCCCUAGCGGUUGAGGUGAAAACUUUGAGUCGGAAGAGCCAGAAGUGAAGGUGGUAUAGUUUGACUUCACCACAUCGUCAAGAUCUAGCUCGAUGAUUCCUUUCUGAGCCAGCUUCAUGAUGAGAUCUUUCAGCACGAAGCACUUUUCUGUCGGAUGACUGAUAAAGCGGUGGAAUUUACAGUAUCUUGGACUGUCAGUACGAUUCAUCUCUUCCGGCCGUCUGCACUCAGGCAAACUGAUCACCUUCUUGUCCAACAGGUCAUCUAACAUGGCAACCACAUCAGAGUCGGGGAAUGGAUAAAUCUUCUCCUCAAGCUCCUUCAAAGUGCGUCUACGCAUCUCUUGAUCACGAAAAGCUUCGGUUUGAAUCGCCUUGCCUCGUGUGGAGAUUUUGACGGGAGCUGUGUUGACCGUCAUCGCUUCCUUGGUGGGUUUCCAUGCAGCCUUUUCCACCUUUGUCUCAAGAGCUUUGUCGUUUUUGUAGUUGGCGAUCGGUUCCUUCUUCCCAUGAUGGGCGAUGCUCAACUCCAUGUCAUGGGCGCGAGUGGCCAAUUCCUCAAAGGUCCGUGGUUUAAUGCCUUGAAGGAUGUAUUGCAAACCCCAUUGCAUGCCUUGGAUGCACAUCUCGAUUGAAGAGGUUUCCGAGAGCCUGUCUUUACAGUCGAGGCUUAGAGUGCGCCAUCUGUUGAUGUAGUCAAUGACUGGCUCGUCCUUCCACUGCUUUGUGCUUGUUAGCUCUAGCAUGCUCACAGUGCGGCGGGUGCUAUAGAAGCGGUUGAGGAAUUCCCGCUCUAAUUGCUCCCAGCUGUUGAUGGACUCAGGCUCUAGGUCUGUGUACCACUCAAAGGCGUUUCCUUUCAGCGAGCGCACAAACUGCUUUGCGAGGUAAUCCCCUUCUGUUCCUGCGUUGUUGCAAGUUUCAACGAAGUGGGCAACGUGCUGUUUCGGGUUUCCCUUUCCAUCAAAUUGCAUGAACUUUGGUGGUUGAUAACCCCUCGGCAUCCUUAAGGUGUCGAUCUUCUUUGAAUACGGCUUUGAGUACAACCCGGAGGUAUUUGAGCUCCCUUCGUACUGUGCCUUGAUGGUGUUGGUGAUCAUCUCUUGCAGCUGCUGGAUAGAAAGAGAUCCCAUGAGUGCUGCUGCUUGGUCUGGCUCCGGCUUCGCAUCGUUUUUCUCCACCUGAGGCUCAUCUUCUUCGUCAUCUCUUCUCUUUAGUGGAUCAUUCUCUGGGUCGGGUUUAUCGCCGUCCUGCGCCUCCAGUCGGUUGACUAGUGCUGCAAUUUGCAAGUCUUUUUCUUCCACAGUUCGGGUUAGCCUUGCGAUUGCUUCAUUCAUUUGAGCCAGCUGCUCAUCAAUUGAAGUUGCUCCAAUGGUCAUGACUUGCAUGGUUGCACUGCCGCUUGAAUCGGCGUCGGAGAGCAUGAAUUCGGAGUAUUUCCUUGGGCUUCCCCCCCUUGGUGCCCUUAGUGAGGCUAAGGUGAUCACAGGCUCGCGUCUGGGGUACUCUCGUUCCCUUGGCAGAGUUGAUGCAGAGGUGAAAGAGAUGGCGGAAGUAGCUCUUGCCAUGCUUCGAGUCGUGAUGCCCAAAGUGACACCAGUUGCGGCGAGGAUGCUCUUGUUCUUUGCGCCGGUUGCGGGAACAGUUCGAGCCUUCCUUGAUGCCAUUAAUUUUGUAAGUGCGCUUGAAUUUCUUGAACGGAGAAAGAGAUGAGAGGUAGAGGUGUCCCACCGGGCGUGCCAAUUUGUGAACACGGAAAAUUCCUGAAACGAAAGAGACAAGAACGAACGUGCACAAACAAAUAUUAAGUAUUUGAUGAUUUUGGGUUACAAUCUCUCUCUAAUUUGAUCCUCUGAUUCGAUCUCCGUAAGGUGUUGAUUGGUGGGUGUUUCGUUGAUCCAAAGGGCCGUUAGGCUUGAUCUAAGGAUGAACGUUCUUCAAGGGCCGUGGACUUGAUCUUGAAGGUGGAUUUGAGCGGAUCUUCAAAUGGGCUUUUGGGCUUGAUCUUUGAAGAAUAGUGACGAACGGAUCUCCAAGGGCUUUUGGGCUUGAUCUUGAAAGAACAGUGAUAAACGGAUCUUCAAGGGUUUUUGGGCUUGAUCUUGAAGAACGGUUGGAUGUGUGGAUUUGUCGACGUUGUUGAUCCAAGGGCCGUUGGGGCUUGAUCUUGGAUGAACGGAUGAUGAACGAUGGUGCUUUCUUCAAGGGCCGUCGGGGCUUGAUCUUGGAAGAACGAUGAACGAAGAACACUUUCUUCAAGGGCCGUCGGGGCUUGAUCUUGAAUUGGUGGAUGAUUGUUGAUCCAAGGGCCGUCGGGGCUUGAUCUUGGAAGAACGAUGAACGAAGAACGAAGAAGGCUUUCUUGAUUCUUCGGGAACUUGGAUGCUUGAGAGCUUCGGAGUUUCAGAGCUUCAGAGCUUCAAGGUGUAAUAUCAAUUGGUCCCCUUCAAUGAAUGAAAUGGGCUUGUAUUUAUAGAAUUUUCCAAGGUCUAAUUUCGAAUAUAAUAUUCCAGAUGAAAUAAGUCGUUUCUGCCAGGUGUUGACACGUGUCCUAUUUGAUGACUUUUCCAACUCAUUUCAAUUUUCGUUGAGUCACACGCUACGUGUAAAAUUUAUGUAAUACAUGAGCGUUGACACUUUGAUUUAUUGGUCAACAUUUAUUUACCGAAAUUUCGAUGUCUACAGAUGCAUUUGCAACUUUGUUGUCAAUUUGCAAAGAUAAAUUCAAAUCAUUUUGCAAAUCCAACGAUCCGAGCCUCUGCAAUUGAAAAAAAAAAUUGGGAUUUUUUUGGGUUUGAUUUGAAGAGAAAGUAAAUUAAAAGAAGAGGAAUAUGGGUUUUGAUUGGAGAGAAAGAAAAUGAAAAGAAGAGAAAGUUUAUGGGUUUGAUUAUUAGUGGGAGCAAAUCUGGUCUUGCGAAGAACAGAAUGCAAACCAAAGAAGAAAAGUAAAGGGACUGGGGAUAGAGAGUCAAAUAAAAAAAUUGUGCAUCAAUAAUAAUAAAAUAUUAAUAAAAUGAAUUAAAAAUGACAAAAAAUUAUUUUAACUCUAAAAUAAUUUAGUUUGUGAUAUAGUCUGACACUGCACUAAAUGUUUCAUUGUCCUUAUACUACUUAGUCUAUGCCAAGCCAAUCCAGUUUAGUCCCUGAAAUUAGUCCAGUCUGAGAUAGUCCGUUGUAACAAAUGCACUCUUAAGUUUCAAAAUCAUCACUGUCAUUUUUCAUGUUUUUAUCUAUAUAAAUUUCCAAGAGGAUCCUCGCCGGAUCCUCUUUGUAAGGAUCCUGAGGAUCCUCCAAUCACAUAUGUUCAUCGUACAUUGUACGGUCAGAAAUCAUUGUAAUGUUUUUUUAUUUAAAAUUGAAUAUAAAUAGUAUCUGACAAAAACUGGGCGCACAAUGUAUGAUGAACUGAUGUGAUUGGAGGAUUCUCGAGAUCCUCACAAAAAAGAUCCGGCGAGGAUCCUCUCUCCACCAUUUUAAUCCUUCUGUCUACUCUCAUUAACUUUUAUGUUGUUUGCUUACGUGGCAUGUGUGUGGAGACUCCUAAAUCUAAUGAUAUGAUGCCAAGUGAAAAUGUUAAAGAAAAAACCUAAUGUUUUAAAAUUAAGAAAACAAAAACUAAAAAAGAGUAAAGAUUAAUUUAAACUCGAGAAACAACGAAAGGAAGGAGUUGGAGCCACCGUCCACCCUCCCUCCCUCCCACUUCAAUACAACAAACACCACCCCUAGCCACCCAUCCACCCACCACCACCCUCGAGCACCCCACCCCCCCCCCCAAAAAAAUAUCGCAACCCCACGUCUUACACGGAAGAAAUUCAACCAAAAAAGGAUUAAAAAUAUUCAGAUUCCAAAAGCAAAUAAAAAGUUCAAAAUCAAUUGGGUAGAGAUAGUCAAAAGAUAAAAAAUGAAUUCUAGGGGAACCCAAUUGUGGAGCCAAAAAUAAUACAGAAAAAUUAUUGAAUUGACAUGUGGAGUUUUGCCCACGAGCGACGAGAAUGCACAAGACCCACAUUCAUUCUGUGCGUGGUUUAAUUCUUACGAAGACCUGAGUUGCCAACUACGACUUCUCCAAGCUUUCAUGCCCAUGCCAAGGAGAUAAUCAAAGGUAUUAAAGAUCGGAUUGAUAGUCAAAUCCUAUAUUUAAAGCUUUCCUUAUUAAAGACCAACUCAAUGAGAGAUUUUUCAGUGUGACCGGUAUACGGGGUGGUACAUCAUGUGUCACUAAACAAAUGGUGGGAUAUGUGUGCUAAAAAGUUAAUAACUUAAAAAAUAAAAUUUCCCACCAUUCCUAUUAAAACACGUGGUGUACCAUUUGUGUUCCCGUCACAAUUAAAAAUUUCUCCAACUCAAUAAUGAAUCACCAUCAAAUCCAAUCAAGGAUUCCACGAGAUAAUUUCAAGAUAUUAUUAAUUAAAUAAUAUCUUCAGGAUUAUUUCUCAAGUGGCCGGAUAUCUUCUACUACAUCCAACAGAUGACACACCUUCAUCAACUGGACGUCGAAAAAUGGCAUGACAAUCCUUACGCAUGUGGCCGGCUAUCUCCUUAUAAAUGGAAGCAUUUUUGCUUACCUCACUAAACUUUGGUGUAUGUUCACCAUACCAAUCAUCUGACACAUGUCCUUUCACUUAACCUUGGUUUUUUUUUUUUUCAAAAUUGAAAUAAUAACAUUUAUUGUGAAAGUUAACUAGAGUUAGGUGAAAGGAUACAUGGCAAAUGAUUAGGUGUAUGGUGAGCAUACACCAUAGUUGUGGUGGUGAGCAAAAAUGCACCCCUUAUAAAUACCUCAUUCUCCACCAAAUUUUGGUAAGCUUUUGCUACGCAAUUAAACCCUAAAACUCUCUCUCUUUUCAGAAAACCUGACUUAGGCAUUGAAGAUCCAUUCGCCAAACUCCCCUCACUCCAUUACAUGGACGCGUGGCUUUGGUCUUUGAUCAAAUGUGUUUAAUUGUUUUGUAGGUAAAAUUCGUCAAGAAUGCAGAUAUCGGAUUUUGCUACAACAAAUUAGUAUUUUCAUUGCGAGCUUGAUUUAAUUCUCGUAGAAGGCUCUCACAAUUCCUUCGAAAUUUCUUACCCCUUGAUUUUCUCACAUGCUCCUAGUCUCUGAAUUUUUUGAUGAAAAAAAGUUCAUUCCCAAGAAAUUGUAGCAAAUUCAUAUCCCACUCAAAAAAAUAUUGGCUAUGGUCGGUUAAAGAAUCACAAUCCUCUUGGAUGCGUUCUCUGAUCAUCGGACGUUCAAAGAAAGAGUUAUAAUUGUUGGCAAGAGUUAGCUCCAUGCUCAAAGAUGUCUUCUUUUUUGUUCUUUUUUUCAAGAAGUAGAAAUUUGGUAAUUUGAAGGUUUGGAAGGCUGGAACUCUCAAAGAGGUUUCCUAUAACAUAGAAAAAAAAUUUAUAAAUGAGGAAUCAGAGGAGGAAUUUGGACCAUCUCACCUCGAGAUUUGUGUGUCUGGCAGCCAGAAUAGCUUGGUAACAGAAAAAGUAGCUCAUCGUUUCUCGUACAAACGCGAAGCAAUGUCUCCCAUCAUUGUUGUCACUACGACAUAAUUUUCGAGGUUGCGCAUUUGAAUCUAGAACGUCUCUACUACUUUGCAAUGAUAACGAGGCCAGAUUGCAAAAGAAUCUUAACCGGUAUGUAUUUUGAUAUAUUCCGUAAGACAUGGUCUUUGAAUAGCUAUCCAUCCUCAAGAGGAACACUUUUUCAGAUACAUAGUUAGGGGCAAUUAUGGGACAAGGAUUUUCUAGGGCCAGAGGAAGGUGGAUCGGAAUACAUAUACCUCAGAAGUCCGGUCAUGGACCCAACAUCUCCGAUUAGAUUAAGUUACUCAAAUAGACCACCAAUCCCACCACAUCCUGUUGGCGUGAGUCAACUAUUUAGUUUAGGAAUGUAAUCCUAUAAUUUAUUUCUUGUAUAAUUGGGAUUCUUAUUUCCUGUUAUGUGGGAUAUUGUACAACUAUAUAUUUACCUCCUAGAGAGAAGAAUAAACACACAAUUCAAACCCUAAACACUUUUAUCAUGGUAUCAAAGCAGGUUGUCCUUGUGUGAAGCCAAACGGCCACACGCGCUCCACAUCACCCAGUUGUUGUCCACAUGUAGGUUUGAAAAUCCGCCACACGUGCGGGGGCGUGUUGAGAGUUGUCCCACAUCGGUGAAGGACAAAGUUUGCUAUGUGCUUAUAUGGUCUUGGGCUACUCUUCAUAUUGCCAAUUGGUUUUAUGGUGAAACCCUAAUUUCAUCACAUCCUACUGUGCUCCAGAAAGGUAGGCUCUUCGCUCAGAUUGACCAUUCUUGUUCUACAAGAUACGGAAACAGGUUUCCUAUAUUCUUGGAGAUUCCUGCAACCUAGGGAUUGGCAUGCACUGCAAGUAAUCACACUUCUAAGAGGACAUAAUAUUUAAUCCUAUAAUCUUCUUAGAUUCUGCCAAUUUAAUAUGGAUUCUAUAUCCUAAUAGAUCCCUCUCCCGACUAAUAUAAAUACCCGCAUCUAGGUUUUUGUCUUUGGUAACACUUUCAUAUUGCACGCUUUAUUAUCUUGCUCACUACUUGAAUCUUAAUACUGCUUACUAACUUGACCGUCGGAGAAUCUUUAGUAGGUACCCUAUCGGUACUUUAGGUUAAUCGUAGUUGUUUGUUCUUUUAUAGGUAGUCGGGUUUGCCACAGGUCCUCUCUCAGCUGCGGUGCUUAAAUUUAGUUCCAACAUGUCAUAUACAUUUACAACAAAAAUGAAAACGACGAUAGUUGUCAAACUGUGCCUUAACAAUUAACAUCCUUUCCACCACUGAUUCCUCUGGCAGCAACUUCGUCUUAUAGAUACUCUCACACCAAAACAAGUCGGGCCUUAAUAUUAGGGUGUCUUACUUGAGUUCACAUCUAUAUAUACAUGUCAGGCUAUAGUCAUAUACUAAUAAAUCUCGUAACUUUUCACAAUUUAUUACAGUUCAUAACCCGGAAACCUAGAAUUUUCGGGCACAUGAAGAUCAAACCAGAGGCAAGCUGUUCCAGCAAGACCUUGAAAAAGAGAGUAGACAUAUUCAACCCCAUGAGUGCGUCCUGCAAUCGAAAACUCUCCAGCACUAUGAUACAAGAAGCUUGCAAAUGCCUUUGCUCUCUCUUCGUAUAUGCUCUCUCCAGUCAGACGAUACAGAGAAAGGAAGGCAUAAGCAUUCCCAGCCACACCGUCAGCAAGUCCUACCUUCUUCAGUAAACCGUUCUUCCAAACAACUUCUCCUGCUUCUAUUGCAGCGUCACGAAAUUCCCGAUCACCUGGAAACACCUGAAAAAGAAAGGACAGGAACCGCUGUUAACUCAUAUUCUUGCAGACAGACAGAAAAUACACACAUACAAGGACCAUCCUUUUGGUCUUGAAAAACUUUGAGGAUUUGGGAUAUAUAUGUGAGAAGGUCGAGCAUCACAAAUAACUCUGAAUGCAUCUUGCAAAAAAUUUAAAUAGGUAAUCGACAGACAUCAAUACUUUGAAUCUUGCUAAAGGAAAAUGCUACAACGAUUAUAUUUUCGGCCCACAUUACUAACAAGGUGGUCUAAAUAGAAAACACGCAUUAUUUUCAUAAACCAUUAAUUUCUCUCCAAAAUAACAGAAGUUUAGUUACCACAUCAACUUCAUUUGAUCACUGUUAUGGUAAAGGCUCAUGCACUAUUAGUACUAGCUCGUUUUGUUAUAAUUCGACAAACGUUGUACAUGAUAUUAGCAUCGAGGACUUACUCAAACAAAGUGAAUACUAGGUCUCACUAAACUAAACGAUCUUUGACUACCCACUGUGAGAAUUGCAUUAAGAAGAGUAAAUUUAUGAAAGAGCCGCCACACAAACCUGAGAUGCCUUGCACAAGGUUAUGGCCAUGCCAGCUGCACCAUGAGACCACUGCACAAACUUGUCUCUAGGGUUUCCUUCACUUGAGGGGUAGUUUCCACUAUGAGGAAACCUAUUAGCCAUCAUAUAUCUAAGAGUUGCCUUCACAUCUUCUGCAUCCUCAUUACAAAGUGGGAAGUGAAGCAGCACUUGCAAAAUUCCGGCCACGCCAUUGGCUGCCCCCAAGUACCUAGUCCCGUGCCAUCUGUACAUAAGUGGGCAGGACAGGUCAUGAGAUGCGCCCGCCCUACCACCAGCUAACACAGCAUCCACAACAGGCAUUAGAAGAUCACUUGGCAACUUGUCCUGUCCAAGAUACUUGUUUAUGAACAAAGCUGCCCAUAAAAUCCCAGCUCUCCCGUAGAGAAGAUCGUACGACAUUCCAAAACCACCUUCCUCUGGCCCAACAGACAAGGCCUUCUCUUGUGCCACCUGUACAAAGUCAACCAAAUAGGUAUUAGCGAGGGAAAACAAUGCAGAAGCUACAAAUAAGAGAUUUUUUCAUGUAACUAAUUCACCACGUCAUAUCUCAACUUUAUUUUUUUAUUUUUUUAUUUUUUUGUCUUGAAUAUGGGAGUUAUCCCAACAAAUUAGUAGCAGACUACUUUAUGGACACGUAAUCUCACUUUCUGUUAGGGGUGACCAUUUUAGUGGGUCAACCGACCAACCUAACCGAUAUGAUUUAGCAUACUUGGGUUGGGUUGGGAUCUAAGCUUUAAAAACUAUUUUUGAGUGAAAACCCGACCAACCUGCUUAAUAGGUAGGUCAUAAUGGGUUAGAAUAUUAUUAACCCGAUUGAAACCGUCUCAUUCAUAAAAUUCAAUUCUCGAUUUGAAUGAUGUACUGUCAUACGUGGUAAUUCUAUACCACCAACCCAAACUUUUAGGGAUGAUGGAUGGGAGUCCAACCCGAGCCGAACCAACCGAUGCCCACCCCCACUUUCUCAAAAGUAAAUUUCAUAUGUUUUUAGUAGAGCACGCAAAGAAAGUUAUAUAAAAACGAAAAUCUCACUAUAUCUUUUGUCAGGAAGUUUUCAAUUGAAUUUCUAAGUAAUGUUAUAUGGCGUCCAACCAACUGUUAAAACCGCAAAUAUGUUUCCACCUAUCUACCCAAGUCUAGGUCCACACCAGGAAAUUUCACAUUGACCGCAUGGGGUCAAAAGACUUCCGGUUUUGUGGACGCGUCCACAUAUAAUUUGAGAGUUUUGUUAUUGGUACUUUAAAUUUAUGGUUCAAAUUCAAUUUUGGAGAGAAUUGAACCUCAGACCUCUCAUUGACAAGUAAAGAGGAAUAUCACUACACCGUAGUGCAAAGAAUUUUUAAUGAAUACGCGUGAAUUCUAGAGUCCUCAUUUGAGGUUGUGAGGAUUCCUUAGUGCAAGCACUAGGUAAAUCCCUAAACUGUUAUUAAUUAGCUCUCCCUUGAAGGAUGCAUAUGACUAAUUCCAAAAAAAUACAAUGAUAAAUUACAAGAACACAACCUAAAAGAAAAACCAAAACUUUGAUUAGAUUUUCGAGGCAAUUACUCAACUAUUUCACAAAGUAGAUGCUCCAAAGUCCAAUUAAUUAAAGAAUUAAAACAAAGUAAGUUAGGGUGAUAAGGUUGUUUGGGAAGUUGAAUAGAAGAUUAGCACACAGUUGGGGUUCAUUUUCCGUACAACUAACACAUCGGACUUUUGAUGGGUUUGGCGAAAGAAUAUAUAUAUUUUUAAGAAAAGGGAAUCAAAUCAAUUACUCUCCUUCAGUCGAUCUGAUUACUUAUCUUUAGGUAUUUGAUUACUCAUCUUAAGGGAAAUCUUGCAGUUUUUUUAUUACUUGUGUAUAAGUAAGCGCAUGGAAAUGUUUAAGUAGUGAAAUGACUCAUGUACCCAUAUUUUAGUAUACACAUGACACUCAAGAAUCAAAAUGAUUCCAAACCUAUUCCUAGUAAGUAAACAUGCCCUUAAACAUGUAAAUAGACACUAUUUGGCAUUGGUAAUGAACUAAAAUUGCUAAUUAAACUAUUUCCCAUAUUUGAUAGGGCGGUGUUAUCCACACGCCCCUUUUUAUGUUUUACACAUCAUUUUCAAUUUCUGAUCAUUGAACCAAAUAAAUCGAAGAGAAUCAAAAUACAAAUAUUAACAGAAUGUGAAAAAUAAAAAGAGGUGUAUAAAUGACACCAUCCGUCUUGAGGUGAGGAGUGCUUAUUCCAGUUGUGAGAUAUUUAUCAAGUAAGUAUCCAAAAACCAAAUAUGAGAGAGCUUCACAAUACUAAAAAAGGGACAGAGUUGGGAAUAUGAGUUAGAUAUAAAUACCUCAAGAAACAGGUUAAAAUAGAGGCCACAUCUUUCAUGGUCCCCCAUCAAACUAGCCACCACAGCUCCUAGGGCGUAGACUCCUCCCCUACCACAUAAAAAAGUCACGUGCCUGCAUAAAAGCAACAUUGCCAAUCAAUCAAAGACACUGCUUACUUAAUCACAUUCGAUAGAAAUAUCACACUCGUUUUCUCCUUCUGCGAUCGAUGAAUCUCUUUGAUUUAUUCAAACCGCGCAUCCUUCUUAACAAUAAAAAGCGUUGUCGAUUUUAGCACAUAGGCAUAAAAUUUAAAACACACUAGAUGAAAUGAAAUUUAUAUUUAAAACGUAUCACUUAACAUACAUUGAAUAGUUGAGGAAACCCAACCCCCAACUCACAAACCCAACUCAUUCGCAUAUUAAUAGUACGGAGACCAUCAAUUUAUAUUAUAUUUUUUAAAUCACAUAACAUGAUUGAUGAUGAUUAAAUUAUUACUUAAAAAUAAUAUAAGUUAUCACAGUUUACCAUAAGAUUUUGUGUACUCUACGAGAGUAGGGUUACCUAUAUCAUGGCGUUAGGUCUAAUUAUACAUUUGACACAUGUAAGUUUGGACCUGGCUUCUUUGCCCACCCAAUUCUCGUACACUCUCAUUCCCUCCUAUUUGUGCGAUCACGGUUAAACCAAGUCAACAUUUUAUAUCACUAUUACUUUUUGUAUUAUUAUCUCUAUAAAAAAAAUAAUAUAAAAUGUUGAAGUGGUUUAACCGUGACAUCACAAAAUAGAAGGAAAUAGGAGUGUACAGGAAUGGGAGGGCAGAGAAGUCGGGUCCUAUAAGUUUCACUAUAUGUAAGAAGAGAAAUGCUAAGGAGGCUUUCACAAAAGUAGAUCUUUUUAUGAACUUUCUGUCACCAUAUGUUUUUCUAUUUUAUAAUGUUAACACAAGAAUUAUCAUUAAAUUAUGAGAAUACAGAAUGUCUAUAGAGAAUUCUAUUUUAAAAUAAUCUUUUUAACAUUUUUCAUCAGGUAAGAAUGUACUAUUAUACUCGAACUGCCGCGUGUUUGUUCCAUGAAGGUUUCUCACCUACUUUUUUUUGUUUUUCCUUUCAUAAAAGGUCACUUAUAAUCGUUUGUUAAAAAAAUAAAAAAUAAAUAAAUUUAUUACCUGCUGGACGCAGGUGCGACGGCCCCGCACUUGUCGACGAUAUCAGCGCAGAGCAGCAAGUCCUGCCGGUUGCCGGUGGCCUCAUACGACCUCAAGCACGUAAAAGCCGUACCAAGGAGACCCGUAUACACUGUCGGAUCGAAAACCAUACCCGUAGGCGUACCCGAACCACGUCCUCCUUCCCAUGUAUCCUGCACCACCUAUAUUCUCAAAACGAAAAAAAAAUUAAAGCCUUAAUCUUUUUAAUCUUUAAAAAGCUGGGAAAUUAUAAGUAAGAUUUUAGUUAAUUAAUUAAUGAUGGAGCUAAUUAAGCAAGAUUAGUUAAAAGUAAAUAAAUUGAAGAAGUGAGGUGAAUACGUACCUGAUCCUUGAGAGCCACCGCCGCUCUGAGAAAAGUCCCGCUCGGAAGUGACAAGUUCUUAGCCGCUGGAUCAACCAAAUCCAGCCGUUCCUUGUUGGCAUCUUCGUGGUCCUCCGGAGGCAACGCAAACUCCACUCCAAACGACAUGUCGUUGCUUUCUCUCUCUCGCUCUGCUCUCGAAUUUAGGUUGGGAGAAACGCGCGUACAACGGCUGAUAUGCAGAGGGGAGCGGGGAGAGGGAAAUGUGUUGAGGUGUGAUCGUAUGGAGUGGCGGUGCACUGCGGAGAUAUGCUUCCCCGCGUACCACGUAAGCUCAUUGCCUUUUAGGAUUAUAUAAAGAGGAUAAUAUUAUAGGGGUGUGCUAUCCACACACCCCAUUUUACUUCUCACACACCCCUUGAUAAUUUCUGUCCGUUGAUGUUCUUCAAUUCAUCCAAUCCGACGGCCGAAAAUUAAAAAGGUGUGUGAGAAGUAAAAUGAGGUGUGUGGAUAUCACAUCCCAUAUUAUAUUACCGUUGGAUGCAUGUGAUUCAUGCUCCUCUUGCAAUUUGAACGCACCAGCAAAUUGAAACCGCUGCAACACGUAAGUCUUAUUUUUAUUAGAGAAGUAAUACUGUGGGCGUAGAUUUUUGUUUUUUUAAUACAAUAAUAAAUCAGGGGUCGGUGGAUAUGGUUAGUUGUGGGGUCCAGAUUUCUAAAUAAUUUAAGGAGGUAGUUUCGCACGAUUUCCAUCUGAUGUGAAUUGACAAUUAGAGGGGAACAAAAGAUAAAUUAACGAAAAUGAUUUAAAAAUUUUAAAUUUUAAUAAUAAAAUUAAAGGUAAAAUGAAUAGUACUAAAAUUAAUUUUUUAGUAUAAAAAUGUGGUUUUUCGUUAAAGUAAACAGUAAUAAGAGUUUUUCGUUAAAAUUCAUACAAACAAAAGUGUAUGUGAACAUAACGAACGUUUUGGGGCCAUACCUCCCGAAUCAGGAUUCUCUCUCUUUCUCUUGUCAUCCCUUCUAUUCUCUUAUCUCACAGUUUUUUUAUUUUCUUAUUUUUUUUCUAUAAAAAAAUUAAUAUAAGAUAUUGAUGUGACUUAAUCGUGACCGUUCAAAUAAGAGAGAAUGGAAGGGGAGAGAAAAAAAAGAAAAAAAAAAGAGAAAAGAAUCUUAUUCCAUACCUCCAACCCCCAAAAAAUGGAAGAAAAAAAAAUUCAUUGUAGUGAGAAUAGACCUAAUAUUCGUGUUGUGUUUUUUGUGUUUGUGUCCAUACCAUAUUGUGACAUCCAAAACAUAAAAACGCAUUUUUCUUUUAAAUAUAUUUUCGCUUACCUAAAUUGAUCAAAUGGUAAAAUUGGAAAAUAUUGGAAUAGAGAAGGGGUUUUUCGUCCAAAAAAGUUCUAAUAAUAUAAGUAAAAUAGAAUCCAACGGUACAGAUUUACUCUUAUUUAUCUUACGGCUGUUAUUUAAAUAAAGUCUUUAAUGUUUUUUAACUAAUGUAGAAGUGUAAAAAAUAUAGAAAAUAUAUAUAAACGCUCGUAAUGACAAGCUUUACAACUUUCAUAAAGAGAUUCGCCACUAUAAUCAUAUAAAUCAUAGAUAAAAAUUUAACCGUUGAUUGUUGUUUACAUUUACACUUCAUUGUUCUCAUCAAAUUUUGUCUUUUCAAAUUUUCUUUUGAAAACAUGAUUUAUUAGAGGAUGCAGGAAGAUGAUUGGUUUGGAUCGUUGAUAUUAUAUUCAGAGUUUUACGGUUAGUGAAAAUAUUGCUUGAUGUUUAUAAAGUUUCUACAAACUAUAUGACAUCGACUCAUAUUUCAGUUAACCGUAAAUAUCGAAAUGUGAUAUCAAAUAUUUGAACCGUUCAUCUUCUUACAUCCGCCAGAUGAUCAUGUUUUCAAAAAUUAAAAUUAAAAAAAUGAAAUUCAGUAAGAAGAAUAAAGCGUAUAUGAAAAUCAACGGUUAAAUAUAAAUUUAAGGUUUUAUGGAUUAUAGUGUUGGAUUUCGAAGUUGAACUGUCACAGCCCGUUCCGGAUUUUUAUAUAUCGAGGAUGUGAAAUGACGAAAUUACCCUUGGCGGGUAUUAAGGUAUGUGUGUGUGUGACUUGUUGGACAUAUUACAUUCAUUCCUAAACUUUUGGAAAAAUAGUUUUAGUGGGAUUAAAAAUUGGGUUGUAAUUUAUGUGGUUAGGGAUUAAAGGAAUUGGAUUUUUUUAAAUUGUUUUGGUUGGACCACACGGGGCAUCUCCCUUUUUUUCCCCGGUGCUCUCUCUCUUCUCCGUUCAGUCUCUCUAUCCCCCUCGAAUUGUACGGACAAGGGUCAAUACCCUCGAACUUUCACGGAUCGACGCCAAAAAGGUAUGGUUCUUCAUCCUUUCAACCUCCUGAGUCGUUUGGUGCUACUUUUAGGACGUGAAACCUUCGAAAUCACGUGAAACCCGAACCCCCAUUUUAUGUCACUAUUUAUGCAAUCGUAAUAUGUCGAUUUUCAGGGAAUUCUAAGCUUAUAGUGAGCUUAGUGAGGUCCCAAGGAAGCUCGGAGUGCUUCGUUUGAAGGUUUUGGACGUCGGGAUCACUAGGUUCGAAUUUGGCCGGUUUUCUUGGAAUUUCUCUGGUGAGAUUUUGUAGUUUUUAGAGCCUUAAAGUAGUAUAACGUGAAACUACAUGCUUAGGGCUUCAUUUUGAUAUAAAAUACGAAGAAAAUGGUUGAGAAACGACGGAGAACAAGGAGAUUGAAAAAUCUCCAGUUUUCCGGCCACCGAAAAAAAACCAGUCCGGUGAGCCGAGGUAGAAGACGCGCGUGGGGGGCGCAUGGGUCCGUGCCCCUCCCGGCGCGUGCGGCCUCAGAAAAUUUUUCUAAAAAUUUCUCGACGUACAUGACGUCGAAUAGGUCGAUGUGGUAUAUUCAUAUACCCAAAUUGAGCACCGUAUGAAAAAUUAUUUCGAAUUGUCGGUUAUGUGCUUAAAUUAACGUUUUUAUAGUUGUUUCGCAUAUAGGUGACACCUAUCCUGAGGACGAGCGCAUCCAGGGACGUCACGGGGGUUACGACCCAUCGACUUACCAGUGAGUAGGCAGUUUUGUUUUUAGUAUAUACCUAUAUACUAUUGAUUUUCCCAGAAAUUGAAUUUAUAUGAAAGUAUGUUUUCAAAUGCCAUGCAUGCAUAUUAUGAAUUAUAUGAAUUGAUAUUGAUGCAUAUAUAUAUGUGAAUUGGUGAUGUGGACGCACAGGUGAGUAUCAGGUGAGUUUUAUGUUACUCAUGUGAAUCAUUGAUGAUGUGAAUUGUGUUGAGAGCUCAUAACUUGCACCCCUGGUGUUAGUGCUUAUAUUAUUCACCGCACCGCACGCUCACCUUGGAUCCAAGUAGGUGCAUGUCAUACAGACCAUGAAAGGGUUCCGACAUGCUAGUCGUAUAGAUCACUAGAGGUGGUUCCAACUAGUAGGUGACCUUAGAUUAUGCGCGCGGAUGAUUGAUGAGAAAAGCACUAUAGCGUAUCAUUACACCAUUCUUGUCGUACAGACUACUUCAAGUAGUUCCGAUUUAUGUGCAGAGUAGUGUCGUACAGGUCACCAUGGUGACUUCGGCUGGGUUGGAUAUUGAGCUAUGGAAUUAACCGUACCGGACCAACUGCAGGUCUCCGGUUGAUUCAUUAUGUCACCUGUUAUUUUGAUGCAUCCAUGUUUUGUUAUUGACAUUUAUGGCAUGGCAUAUUCCUGGAUUUGUGAUAGAUUGGUGAUUUGUGACGUAUGAGGUUUUAUAUACUAUUAUGUUAUUUUCUGGGAAAUUAUACAGGUUUUACAGUGAGGGGUUAGAAAUGUUUUAUAUGAAAUGUUUUGGAAAACUUUGGCUUUACUGACCCACUCAAUUUUGUUUUUGCGCCCCUCCAGGUUCUAGUUAGCAGUUGGUGGCUCACGAGGUUUUCUUCGGCGUUCUGACAGACUUCCUGCAUGUAGGACUCACCUGCGAGUGUUGUAAUUUAAUUAUAGUCCUACUUGACUGCACCUAGUUUUUAUGCUCUAAAAUUAUGUACUGCACACUUAAACUCACUCUAGCAUGCUAGUUGGAUAUUAUUGCUAGUAGUUGUUUUAAAUUCCUUCAUAUUUCUCAUAUCCUUUGCUUCCGCAUCGCACUUUUGGUUACGUCACACUCACGUGACGGCCAGCACGCCUUGAUUCUAGGAUUGAGGUGUGUUAGUUUGGUAUCAGAGCCUAGGUUGCAGUCCUGUAUAAAUUAUCAAUGCUCUAAUGAUCUUUUGAUGUUUUCUGUCAGAAUUAUGCCGCCUCAUAGGGAAUCACGCCAUGCUUCUGAGCCUAAUUUUCCUGACAUAACUCAAUUAGGGGAAGCGAUGGCCCAGGCCUUUCAGAAUGCAAUCCGCCAUCCUCCUCCUCCUCAGAGGACACCCUUGGAGACUAUGUAUAAUCUGAAAUUGGAUCGUUUCAUGGGUAAUUAAGGUCAUGAAGGGGCAGAAACGUGGCUAGACCAUAUUGAGAUGACUUUUCAGGUGAUGCAGAGUUAAGGGAAUUUUCCUACUAAUAGAUGGGUUGAGACCACUACUUGGUUUUUGGGACGAGAACCUGCAACUUGGUGGAGAAAUCAAACUCAGUUUAUGUCCCCUGAGAUGGCAGCUGAUUGGGAAAUAUUCAAGGAUAAUUUUAAGAAAAGAUUUGUCCCUCCAGAGUACAUUGAUCGCAAGAAGCAGGAGUUCACUAGGUUGAAGCAAAAGAAUAUGUCGGCGCAUGAGUACUAUAGGAAGUUUACAAACUUGUCUCGUUAUGAUCCUGAUACAGUUGGUAAUCAGGUAGAGAUGCUUCGCCGUUUUAAGCUGGGAACUAAGAGGAAAUGGCGGACUUUUGCUAGUGCGCUUCCUUGCAACGAUUAUCAUGAGUUUUUCGAGAUUCUGGUUCGGAUGGAGGAUUUCGACAACCUUCCUAGUGACAGUGAGGAUGAUGAGGACAAGAAUGAUAGUCAGAAGAAAGAUGAUAAGGGCAAGGGUGUCUCCACUCAGGGACCCCAUAAGAUGCAGAAUUUCAAGAAAAGUGAAGCGAGUUUGAGUUCUUCCAAUGGAGGAUUUAGUGUCACAGGCCCGAUGAGAGGUGGAAGAUUUGCUGGCCGACCCAGAUUUCAGAGACAAAGAGAUUUUAGUGGUGCUAGUGGUUCUGGUGCUCCGUUAUGCCGUUGUUGUAACUUUAGACAUCAUGGGGAGUGUAGGAGAAGUGGUAGUGGUGGUACUUGCUACACUUGUGGACAUAUGGGACAUAGGGUUGUUCAGUGUCCCCAGAGUCAACAGAAAUCUCAGCAGUCUGCUAUGCCACCUCCAGCGCCAAUUCAGCAGAACUUUGGAUCAGGCAGUUAUGAUCAGACGGGUCGUGGUGGUGCUUACCACUAUCAGGGUGAUGCUGCUCCCUACGCUUCUGGACAGUAUCAGUAUUCCCAAGAUCCUUAUUCUCAGACUGGGUAUUCCCAAGACCCUGGGGGUUAUCCUUCUUAUUCAUCCAUGCCUGCCAGUGGAUCUCAAUGGCAUCAGGGAGGUCAGCCCCGACAGGGAGAGGUUGCUGUUAGUGGUGUAGGAUCAUCUAGGCAGUUUAAUCAGUCAGGUCAGGGACUUGCUUCUCAGGGGCAAGGUAACCAAGGCAACAGAGGUCGUGGUGGACGACAGUAAGCUCAGGGACGUGUUAAUCACAUAUCACUGCAAGAUGCUCAGAACCAUCCAGAUUUGAUCAUGGGUACGUUAAAUAUUCUUGGUCAUUUUGCUAGAGUUUUGAUUGAUUGUGGUGCGACACAUUCUGUGAUUUCUCAUACGUUUGCUCAAAUGACUCAACCUCACCCUUCACCUCUAGGAUUUGAUUUAGAGUUUGCCAUGCCUAGAAGGGACAAAUGUUAUGUUGAUAGUGUUUAUCUUGGGUGUCCAGUGAUGGUAGAGGAUGUAGUUAUGCUAGCUGAUCUUAUCCCGUUAGAUAUUGUGGAUUUUGAUGUGAUUCUAGGGGCAGAUUGGUUGCAUUAUAAUCGUGCCCAUAUAGAUUGUUAUGGGAAAUCUGUUACCUUUUAUCGUCCUGGAUUACCAGAGGUUACUUUUGUGGGUGAAAGAAGCGGGGUGAGACAUGGAGUUAUUUCUGCCAUGAGAGCAAGGAAGUUAUUAUCGAAGGGUUGUCAAGGAUACUUAGCACAUGUGAUGUUAAAUGAUGUUGUCCCUAACAGUGUAAAGGAAGUUGGGGUAGUUAAGCACUAUCUUGAUGUAUUUCCAAAUAAUUUGUCGGGAUUGCCUCCAGACAGAGAUGUGGAAUUUUCUAUUGAUUUGCUUCUAGGUACAGAUCCUAUAUCUUUAACUCUAUACAUAAUGGCUCCAGCUGAACUGAGAGAGUUGAAAAUUCAGUUACAAGAAUUAAUUGAUAAAGGUUUCAUUCAACCUAGUACUUCACCUUGGGGAGCUCCGGUAUUAUUUGUGAGAAAGAAAGAUGGAACUCUGAGAUUAUGUAUUGAUUAUAGGCAAUUGAAUCGGGUAACGAUUAAAAACCGUUAUCCAUUGCCUCGCAUCGAUGAUUUGUUUGAUCAGCUGAAAGGUGCGUGUGUGUUCUCUAAGAUUGAUUUGAGAUCUUGUUAUCAGUUGAAGAUUAAAGACGAAGAUGUACCUAAGAUGGCGUUCAAGACCCGUUACAGACAUUAUGAAUUUCUGGUGAUGCCAUUUGGAUUGACUAAUGCACCUGCAGCUUUCAUGAGGUUAAUGAAUGAGGUAUUCCAGCAAUAUCUUGAUAAAUUUGUUAUUGUUUUUAUCGAUGAUAUUCUGGUAUACUCUAAGUCUAAAGUAGAUCAUAUUCGACAUCUUAACUUGGUAUUAAAGAAAUUGAGGGAGCAUCGGUUGUAUGCCAAGUUCAGUAAAUGUCAGUUUUGGUUGAAUGAAGUGGCAUUUUUGGGGCAUGUAGUAUCGGCACAAGGAAUUCAAGUAGAUCCUCAAAAGAUAGCAGCAGUGGAAAAUUGGGAACAACCACGAACCGUCACUGAGGUACGGAGUUUUCUUGGUCUGGCAGGUUAUUAUCGACGGUUUGUUCAAGAUUUUUCUAUGAUUGCUUUGCCAUUAACGAAGUUAACUAGAAAUGAUGUUAAGUUCGAGUGUGAUGAGAAUUGUGAGCAAAGUUUCCAGCAAUUGAAAUAUUGUCUCACUCAUGCUCCAGUAUUGGUACUUUCUGAUGAUAGCGGUAACUUUGAGAUUUACAGUGAUGCCUCUUUGAAUGGUUUGGGAUGUGUUUUGAUGCAGCAUAAUAGAGUAAUCGCCUAUGCUUCUCGACAGUUGAAGAUUCAUGAAAGGAAUUAUCCUACUCACGAUCUUGAAUUGGCAGCCAUUGUUUUUGCUUUGAAGAUUUAGAGGCAUUAUCUCUAUGGUGAGAAGUGUAAGAUCUUCACAGAUCAUAAGAGUCUUCAGUAUCUAUUUACUCAGCAUGAUCUUAAUCUUCGUCAGCGAAGGUGGAUGGAAUUGCUAAGUGAUUAUGACUGCACUAUUGAGUAUCAUUCGGGUCGUGCUAAUGUGGUAGCUGAUGCACUGAGUAGGAAACCUCAAGGUCGCCUCAAUGCUUUGUAUACUUGCCGUGUUCCUCUUCUUGCAGAACUGAGAGCUACUGGAGUAAAGUUGGAGUUAGAAGAUCGAAGAGAAGCUUUUCUUGCUAGUUUCCAAGUCAGGCCAGUUUUGGUUGAUCGUGUAUUUGAAGCUCAGAUGGUUGAUGAAGAAAUUCAAGAAAUGAUUCAAUUGAGAAAUGAAGGGAAAAAGAAAGACCUCAGGAUUCGAGAAUCAGAUGGCAUGCUUAUGCAGGAGAACAGAAUGUAUGUGUCGAAUAAUGAGGAAUUAAAGAAAGAAAUUUUGGACGAAGCACAUUGUUCAGCUUAUGCGAUGCACCCAGGAGGAACUAAGAUGUAUCAUACCAUUCGACCAUUUUAUUAUUGGCCGGGUAUGAAAAGGGAAAUUGCAAAAUAUGUAAGUAGGUGUAUUGUUUGUCAGCAAGUCAAAGCGGAAAGAAAGAAGCCUUUUGGGCGAAUGCAACCACUUCCUAUUCCUCAGUGGAAAUGGGAAAAUAUAACUAUGGAUUUCGUGUAUAAGCUCCCUCAUACACGAAAUGGAUUUGAUGGUGUUUGGGUGAUUUUAGAUCAGCUUACCAAGUUAGCACGCUUCAUUCCAGUGAGGGAAAAGUAUCCCCUAAAUAAAUUGGCUAAGUUGUUCAUCACGAAGAUUGUGAAGUAUCAUGGAGUUCUAGUGAAUAUUAUUUCUGAUCGAGAUCCAAGAUUUACUUCUAAGUUUUGGGUAGCUUUUCAGGAAGCUCUUGAUACGAAAUUGCUUUACAGCACUGCUUAUCAUCCUCAAACUGAUGGACAAUCAGAGAGGACUAUUCAGACGUUGGAGGAUGUGUUGAGAUCUUCAGUGUUACAGUUUGGUGACUCUUGGCAUGACCGCCUAGACUUGAUGGAAUUUCCCUAUAAUAAUAGUUUUCAUUCGAGCAUUGGUAUGUCACCAUUUGAGGCACUUUAUGGUAGAGCUUGUCGUACGCCGUUGUGUUGGUCAGAGGUUGGCGAAAGAGUGUUAGAAGGCCCAGAGAUUGUGGAUGAGACUACUCAAAAUAUUCAAGUGAUUAAGUCUAACCUGAAAGCGGCCCAGGAUCGACAAAAGAGUUUAGCAUAUAGUCAUGCUACUGAUCGAGUUUAAGAUGUGGGUAAUUUGGUAUUCUUGAAAUUGUCACCUUGGAGAGGUGUAGUGAGAUUUGGAAAGAAAGGCAAAUUAAGUCCUAGGUACAUAGGACCUUAUGAGAUCACUGAGAGGGUCGAUGAAGUUGCUUACAGGUUAGAGUUGCCUCCGGAGUUAUCUAAGGUACAUAAUGUGUUUCAUGUCUCGAUGCUUCGACAUUAUGUCUCAGAUCCUUCACAUGUGAUUCCUCCUCAACCUUUGGAGAUUAAUCCGAAUUUGACGUAUGAUGAGGAACCAGUGACUAUCGUGGAUUGGAAAGACAAGGUUCUAAGGAAUAAGACAGUGAGCUUGGUGAAAGUAUUGUGGAGGAACCAUUUAGUAGAAGAAGCUACUUGGGAGACAGAAGAUCAAAUGAGAGAGAUGUAUCCAAGGUUAUUUUAUGGGUAUUAAGCGGAUUGUUUGGUCGUAUGAAUUUCGGGGACGAAAUUCUAUAAGGAGGGGAGAUUGUCACAGCCCGUUCCGAAUUUUUAUAUAUCGAGGACGUGAAAUGACGGAAUUACCCUUGGCGGGUAUUAAGGUAUGUGUGUGUGUGACUUGUUGGACAUAUUACAUUCAUUCCUAAACUUUUGGAAAAAUAGUUUUAGUGGGAUUAAAAAUUGGGUUGUAAUUUAUGUGGUUAGGGAUUAAAGGAAUUAGAUUUUUUUAAAUUGUUUUGGUUGGACCACACGGGGCAUCUCCCCCUUUUUCCCCCGUGCUCUGUCUCUUCUCCGUUCAGUCUCUCUAUCCCUCUCGAAUUGUACGGACAAGGGUCAAUACCCUCGAACUUUCACGAAUCGACGCCAAAAUGGUAUGGUUCUUCACCUCCUGAGUUGUUUGGUGCUAGUUUUAGGACGUGAAACCUUCGAAAUCAUGUGAAACCCGAACCCCCAUUUUAUGUCACUAUUCAUGCAAUCGUAAUAUGUUGAUUUUCAGGGAAUUCUAAGCUUAUAGUGAGCUUAGUGAGGUCCCAAGGAAGCUCGGAGUGCUUCGUUUGAAGGUUUUGGACGUCGGGAUCACUGGGUUCGAAUUUGGCCGGUUUUCUUGAAAUUUCUCCGGUGAGAUUUCGUAGUUUUUAGAGCCUUAAAGUAGUAUAACGUGAAACUACAUGCUUAGGGCUUCAUUUUGAUAUAAAAUACGAAGAAAAUGGUUGAGAAACGAUGGAGAACAAGGAGAUUGAAAAAUCUCCAGUUUUCCGGCCACCGGAAAAACCAAUCCGGCAAGCCGAGGUAGGAGACGCGCGUGGGGUGCGCGUGGGUCCGUGCCCCUCCCGGCGCGUGGGGGCGCGUGCAGCCUCAGAAAAUUUUUCUAAAAAUUUCUCGACGUCCAUGACGUCAAGUAGGUCGAUGUGGUAUAUUCAUAUACCCAAAUUGAGCACCGUAUGAGAAGUUAUUUCGAAUUGUCGGUUAUGUGCUUAAAUUAACGUUUUUAUAGUUGUUUCGCAUAUAGGUGACACCUAUCCCGAGGACGAGCGCAUCCAAGGACGUCAUGGGGGUUACUACCCAUCGACUUACCAGUGAGUGGGCAGUUUUGUUUUCAGUAUAUACCUAUAUACUAUUGAUUUUCCCAGAAAUUGAAUUUAUAUGAAAGUAUGUUUUCAAAUGACAUGCAUGCAUAUUAUGAAUUAUAUGAAUUGAUAUUGAUGCAUAUAUAUAUAUAUAUAUAUAUAUAUAUAUAUGUGUGUGAAUUGGUGUUGUGGACGCACAUGUGAGUAUCAGGUGAGUUUUAUUCACCGCACCGCACGCUCACCUUGGAUCCAAGUAGGUGCAUGUCGUACAGACCAUGAGAGGGUUCCGACAUGCUAGUCGUACAGAUCACUAGAGGUGGUUCCGACUAAUAGGUGACCUUAGAUUAUGCGCGCAGGUGAUUGAUGAGAGAAGCACUAGAGCGUAUCAUUACACCAUUCUUGUCGUACAGACUACUUCAGGUAGUUCUGACUUAUGUGCAGAGUAGUGUCGUACAGGUCAUCGUGGUGACUCCGGCUGGGUUGGAUAUUGAGCUAUGGAAUUAACCAUACAGAACCAACUGCAGGGUCUCCGGUUGAUUCAUUAUGUCACCUGUUAUUUUGAUGCAUCCAUGUUUUGUUAUUGACAUUUAUGGCAUGGCAUAUUCCUGGAUUUGUGAUAGAUUGGUGAUUUGUGACGUAUGAGGUUUUAUAUACUAUUAUGUUAUUUUCUGGGAAAGUAUACAGGUUUUACAGUGAGGGGUUAGAAAUGUUUUAAAUGAAAUGUUUUGGAAAACUUUGGCUUUACUGACCCACUCAAUUUUGUUUUUGCGCUCCUCCAGGUUCUAGUUAGCAGUUGGUGGCUCACGAGGUUUUCUUCGGCGUUCUAACAGACUUCCUACCUGUAGGACUCACCUGCGGGUGUUGUAAUUUAAUUAUAGUCCUACCUGACUGCACCUAGUUUUUAUGCUCUAAAUUAUGUACUGCACACUUAAACUCACUCUAGCAUGCUAGUUGGAUAUUAUUGCUAGUAGUUGUUUUAAAUUCCUUCAUAUUUCUCAUAUCCUUUGCUUCCGCAUCGCACUUUUGGUUACGUCACACUCACGUGACGGCCAGCACGCCUUGAUUCUAGGAUCGGGGUGUGUCAUGAACCCUUCAUGAAAGUUGUAAAGCUUGUCACUAUAAGUGAAUAGUGAUUGUAUAUUUUUUUUUUACAUUUUUUACACUUCUACAAUAAUUAUUAUUAAUUUUCCCCUCAAAUAAAAAACAUUAUUUAUGAGGGUUUGAAGGGUUUUAAAAAUCUAAACGAUAAUGUAAGUGUAAUAAUUAUCUACUCAUAAAGGAAUAAUGAUGAAUCACAAGUGUUUAUAUAUUCUUUCACAUUUUUCAUACUUGUAUGUAUGUCUUCUUAGUUCUUGCAUAUAUAAAUAUUAUACUAGUUUAUUUUAAUUUUGGACAACAACAUGUUAAGUAAAUUUUAUCCUAGUAAUGAUAAUAAGGAACUCUCACAAUAAAAAUAAAUAAUGACUAAAACUUUUUUUUUUAAUUUAUAUAGAAUAAUAAUACAAAACUAUAUAUUUAAUAUAGAAUAUAUUGUAUAUAUUAAUAUGGCUAUUAUAUUUUAAAAUAAAUCUUUUAGUAAUUAAACUUUAAAAUUAUCAAAAUAUUUUUUUUCUUAAAAGGUCGAAACGGGUUACUCACGCGUUACCCGCGUGUAUAUCCGUUAUUAACGGAUCAUCCGAUAAUGACUCGAUUAGUUAUUGUGUUGACCCGAAACCCGUUAUUUUCGUAUUGUUUUCGUGUCGUGUCAAAAACUAUUGGGUCUAAGUGAGAACACAGACAGUACACUAUGUAUUUUGAUGUAAGUGAUAGGAAUUUUAUUUUUUAAGUUAUUAACUUUUUAACACACAUAUCACAUCAUUUGUAUAGUGACACAUGAUGUACCACCCCGUGUAUUGGUCACAUUGAAAAAUCUCUCCAAAAAAUGGUCGGUGAAUUUGUUUCAACUAUAUGACAUAGAGGGUCUGUCGUGCUAAACUAAGGCUAACAAAAGCAAGACGCAUCCUAAGAUUAAUAAGGGUGCAAAGAUAAUGGAAAUUAAUAAACACACACUCAUAUUUAAUUAUGCUCGAUAGUUUCGUUUAAUUUAUUGAAUUUGAUAGUUAAAAAUACAAAAGUAAUGUAUGACAAGCUAAAAAAAUAUCUAAAAAUCACAUUUCAAAAAUAAUUUGUGGAGAAUAUACGAGUCUCGUUCUCCUAGACUUAAGGGUCUAUAUGAAAAUUAUGGUCACUUACUAUUCAAUCUUAAUUCAACAAUGAAGGAUAAAGUACAAUAAAAAUGUUAAACGACCACAUACGGUUGGAUUAAGAUCGAACAAUAGGUAACCACAAUUUUCUUAGACCAUGAGGUUUAAGAAAACAGGCCCGGAGAAUAAAUUUGAUGCAACAUCCCUCCAUUUUCCGGCAGUUGCGAAUAUGUUAGACAACAAGACAUAAGGCCCGGAACCACGAGGAUUCAAAUCUAAUAUAUACUUUGCAGCCAGCUCCCCUAUUUCUACGUUUACGUGAACACUGCAAGCUACCACAAGAGAGCCCCGUAUUCUGGAGUCUGCUUCUAAUGGUAUCUCUUGGAUUGUGUUGCAAGCCUUCUCUAACUGACCUGCACAACACAAAAUGCCAACCAAGCAAGCAUAAUGCUCCGAUCUAGGAGCAACGCCGUAUCUACAGACCAUCGAGUCAAAGAACUUCAAGCUCUCAUUCACUUUCCCUGCAUGAGCACAAGCAGAUAACAAUCUAAGAUAUGUUAACCGUCUGGUUCUAAGCCACAGACCGCAAUCCGGUUGAAGAAACCAAGAGCUUUCGCAUAGAGACCAUUCUGUGCAAAAGCAGCAAUAAUGGUGUUCCAUGAACGAGCAACGAGGUCUGGAAGCUCAAUUUGUUUGAAAGCUCACUCGGUGAUGCGAAAUAUAUAAGCACACAAAUUAAACCCUCUUUUUGACAAUUGUAGUAAAGAUGUAAGUAGGGUAUCGUUCUAAACCGGGGAUUAUGAGGGAUUGCUAAAUCACUUGAAAACUAAUUUAAAAACAUAAAAACAAAGUUAAAAAUGUAAACAAAAGAUUUUAAAACAAGAAAGUAAAAGGGGGAUUUGAGUUUGGUGAAGUUGAAAGUAAAAACGAAUAAACUAAAAACUUAAAUAGAUUUUAAACAAAUUUGGGUUGAAUGGAUAAUGGAAGGCUAGCUAAGGGGUUCUUCUCCACACAUGUCUUGCUUGCAUACAAAAUGAUUUCCAAUUGCAUUUCAAUAACUUAUUAAUUCUCAACGCCCCAAAUUAACCGUGAAUUGCACUAAUUAACCCUCAGUUUUUCCACAAGUUAUUGGGUUGGAUGAUUGCAUACGACAACCCAAAACAUUCCCUACAAGUUCCCUACAUGAAUUGCAUAAUAGAGAUACAAGCAAGAAUCAUUAAGUUCUAUGAAAAACAUAAGCAUUGAUGCUUCACUCGUUACUAUGAUUUGCAUGAAACUUAUGCCAAGGAUUUACUUAACACAAUCGUGACUAGCGACUUUUACUACUCAUGAAUAUAAGUUCAUAAUGAUUAGGUGAAAUUCCCUUAUACUCUAGCAUCAUAUUUAUGCAUGCAAACUAAGUAUGCAUCCCUAAUCAACAUACAUAAACAUGUUAUCAAUCAAAUAGAUAAGUAAAUCGAAUUCAUAACUUAUGAAACGCAAUUAAAAGUAAUCAAAUCAUAUUGCAAGCAUUAACAUGGUUUCGAAUCCCCCCUAGCCAAGGGGGGUUUAGUUCCUCAUUAUUACAAAACAAAGAUAAACAAAUUUAAACAUUGAAAAACAAAGGAAAGAAAGCACCUAAACGUUCCAACGAUCCAUGUUGGAUAGCAAGUGCGUCUAAGGACUUUUCUCCUUCUCUUUGCCGCAACAACAAGGUUGGAAUGAUGUUGAAGGGUUGGUUAUUUGGAGGAAUGGAUGGGAAGGGGUUUAGAUAUGUAGGAGAGGCAAGGAAAGGCUUGGAGAAUGGUUAAUUUCUGGAUGAUUUCAAUGAGGUUGCUGCCAUGGUAUUUAUAGGAAGAGGAUGGACAUGUUUAAUGCAAAAAUCUGGUGGAAUGAAGUAGGUAAGGCAUGGCAAGGUGGAGAAUUGUUGGUGAGGGUAGGUUUUGAGUCAUCCACUCACAUGUCAUGGUGAGUUAAGCAUUGCAUCAUCCACUCAAAUGUCAUGGUGAGUUAAGCAUUACAUCAUCACUGAAAAAAAAUCUGGUGGAAGUAAAACAAAGGGAAGGCCACGGCAUUGAUGAAUUUUAUGGGGUAUGCAUGGUUUUGAGUGAAGUUUUGGCCAAUCCUUCUAGAAAUUUAUCCCUUCUUGCAACUUGUAUUUGUUUCACCAGAUUUUUAGCAUGUUCCUAGCCUCUUUUGUCUUCAAAUUCGUCCAUCCAUCUUGCUCAUAUCAUAUGUAAUCCAUUACAAGCUCAAAACUGCUCCAAAAUGCACCAAAAUGCACUUUCUUGCUACCUUAGCCCUUUGGACCUACAAACACACGAAAAUGGCUUAAAGUACUAAAAUAACUAAGAACUAAUAACGUAAAUGCAAGAAAACUAGUUAACUAAGUCGCAUAAAUAUGCGUCUAUCAAAUUCCCCCACACUUAGCUAUUGCUAGUCCUCGAGCAAAAUAAAACAAAUAAAACAUAAGAACAAAACAAAACCUAAACCUUCCAACAAUUACCUUAGGGAUUUUCAAUGCAACAUGACAUGCAAAAGAUCAUCAUAACCACAGAUUUUUUUUUUUUCUACCCUUGAGCACAUACUUAAUCAAAGUCACCACAUACUAGUUCACAUAUAACCAAUUAAAACGAUGUUUUGAAUGUAGUAACAUGCCUUAGAGAAUUUGCUCAAUUCCUUACAAGAUACACUCUUAUUUUCACUCUGAUUUUCUGACUACUUACCCUACACUAGAUGUAUGUGAGAAGAUUGAUGUAAACAUGAAAACGAACACUCACAUAUGUUUAUAGCAAAGAAAGCAAUUUCUGGAGUUAUUAAGCAUGUAUAGAUAUGAUCUCAUGACUGGAAUGCUACUACUUAGAUGCGAGAACCAGGGACACCAUAUGCUCGUACCAAUCCCAAACUCCACAUAUUGAAACACAUAACACUCAAGAUUGAAGUUAAGGGUUGUAACGGGGUUAGGGGUGAUUGGCUAACAAUGAAAGGUAAGGAAACAAACGUUUUUAAAGCAUAAUAAGCAAAGUAAUGAAAUUGAUGCUUAGAAUUCCCUUUGAAUGCAGCAACUAACUUUAAACACAAUGGGGUUAUUCAUUCAACUUUUUAGGGCCGAUUUCAACUACAAACAACACUUGUGAGCCUUUCCUCACUUAUUUCAAACUCUUUUUCUUUUUUUUUUUUUUUUUUUUUUUCUUUUUCUUUUCUAACCCGUGCCUUAUUACUUUCUUUUGGCACACAAAACACAAAAAUCUCAUUCCCCCACACUUGUUUUCUGCAUAAGGACAAUCAAAAGGAAUUCAUUUUAAGUCAUGCUUCAUUAUGCUUUAAAAACAAGGGUAUGGAUAGUCCUAAUCUAGGCUAGGUAAGGGAAAUGUGGUUUAACAAAGAAAACAGGCUAAACAAGGCUCAACGGGGUUAAACUUAAACAAAUAUGCACGGGAUAAGCUUUUUGGCUCUAGUUCACUACACAACUUCAUCUUGAAUAUGUGUUAUGCAAAUCAAUGUCAUGCUUUGAAUGGAACGGGCAUAAGUUCUAGUAUUUGGAACUAAAUGAUGAAACGCCUUCUAAGUAGCAACCAAGCAAAGAAUGAUGAGAUCAUGCAACGACUUUAGAAAACAAAAAUGCACAGAUUAAUAACUCUCCAAAGAACGUAUUAGGCUCAAGUCUCUCAAGGUUGUAGUGUUAGUUUGAGUUCCUUCCUUCAAGCAUGUUACAAAAACUGAUUUUUUUCUUUGUGAUUACAUGUGAAUUCGUAAACUAUAACUAUAACCAAGCAUAAAUCAAGAGCAUAUCAAACUUCCAUCCAUGUUUAUAACUUUCUUUAACAGUCAUGCAAUUAAAAACCAAAUCCUCAUUAUUUGUGUUGGAAGGUACCCUAAGACACAAACAAACACACAAAAACAACUCUUUUUGGCUUUUUCAAAACAAUUUUUUUCAAAUUUUUUUGUCAAAUUUUCGGAUUUUUAUGUCAAAACAUACUAACAUGCUUAAAAACACACUAAAAACACUUAAAACAGCAAGAAACAACAUUGUAAGUGAUAGGUGAAUAAAAUCCCACGAAAAUCAUGCAACAGCAACUUGUUUACCCCCCCCACACUUAAAUCUAACAUUGUCCUCAAUGUUUCAAACAUAAACUCACACAAAAGCAAACAAACAAACAACGAGGAAACAUGAUAAACAUGGCAAAGUAAAAGCAACAGAGAGGAGGGUUAAAGAACGCAAACACCUGGUUUUGGAGUUGGAAAUUCCUAGGUCUUCUUUAUUUCCAUGGGUUGCCUCCAUCACUAAUGAGAACUCUAGGCAUGCCAAACCUAGCAAAGAUAUUAGUUUUCACAAAAUCUGCAACAACCUUUGAAUCGUUAGUCCGGGUGGCUUUGGCUUCCACCCAUUUGGAAACAUAAUCAACAGCUAGCAAGAUAUAAGUGAAACCAAAAGAUGGAGGGAAAGGACCCAUGAAAUCUAUACCCCAAUGUCAGAAAACACUAUAAUGCAAAUAAAAAUAAAAUAAAUAAAUAAUAAGAAACAAAAUAAAGCAAUUGGACUGAAAACUUCCCUAGUUUGCAGUAAAACCAAGCGAUGACCCCCCAAGCUAAAAUUCUGCAAUCAACUUCAAGGGUGGAAAUAACCAAAAGUUCCUGCAAAGAAAAGAAAUAAUUCAGUUUAGUAACACAAGAAAAUAUAAAAAAAAAUUGCAAACGAAAAAUUGAAAAUCACGAUAAAAGACAAUGAAUAGAACUAAUAAGUGAUCAUUGGUCGUGCUUGUUGACUUUCCACAGCUUUCCUCUUGAACAGGGUGACACUUAGCUUUUUACUUGCAAGUGAUGAUUUGAUGAUAUUGUACGGCGAAGCUUUGCUCUUUGGUGAUGUUGCAGUUCCUUAUUUGUUCUCCAAGCAGAUGUGGCAGCUUCUCUAGUUCUUCAGCUUGGACUCCUUCCGCUGGGAUGAUUGUGCAAGCUGCAUUCUUCUCUGCUUGUUUCUUCUGUACGUUGUCUCCACAUGCUGUUGGUAUCAUUUUCGCAUGCCUUAUCUGUUCUUCAGGUAGAUGUGGCAGCUUCUUUGGAAGUACAUCAGCAGUGGAAGACGAGUACUCGAGAGCAAUUUCUCCAUGUCCUGCAGGUUAGAACAAAGACAAGGAAAAGGACAUGGAGAAUGCAUGAUAUGAGAUACUCUUGCUUUCAACCUUUAUGAUAUGAAAUACUUUUGCUCUGGAUGGGUUGUUUGCAGGGGUAUCCCAGGGAAUGAGGAAUACAGUGUGACUCGAGAGGGUUCUUUGGGAAUGCAUUCUCGGAGAUGAAGAAGUGCUGAGAGGGUGUGCCUUUGCUGUGGAAGGCGAAGGUAAAUACUUAUAGGACUUUUCUUCACAACCGGAACUAUUCUCUCACUCAUUGUCGGCAGCCAGUUGAUGGAUGAAUAAUACAAAUUACGCGCUUUCUGACAAAGCUGCCCGUAAUUUCCGCAAAGCUGCCAGUUGCAUGUGACGAGUGACAACAUGUCUGGACAAAUUGAUCUUUUGAAAUCCGGGGUUCGGCUCGUGGUUUCUGAGUAAGCCCAGCCUUUAAGAAAUGAAACGCCUCUUUUGAGAAAAGAAUCCGACUUUUGAGAAAGGAGCCCCGACUCUUCGAUUUGCGAGAGGACGCUUCUUUGAGGAGCGCCUCUCCGAUUUCUUCUUUUUAUAGAGGCGUUAAUUUUGUUUCCACAACACACUUGAGCUCCCUCCUGAAAACACUCCCUUCUUGCACUUCCGAAAUCUUAAUAUGUCCGAUCUCUUCUUUCUCAACACCUUCAAAAAAUGUCUGGCCCUUCCGAUCGUCGUUUUGACUUGAACCGUGGUGAAGAGGCAGCCCCGCCUUCACCAGACAACAUAUGGCGCCCAUCCUUCAUAUCCCCUACCGGUCCCCUUACCGUGGGGGAUUCGGUGAUGAAAAAUGAAAUGACAGCUGCGGUGGUGGCCCGGAACCUUGUCACCCCUAGAGAUAACAGACUGCUCGCUAGACGGUCUGAUGAAUUGGCGGUUAAGGAGUCUCUGGCUCUUAGCGUGCAGUGUGCGGGUUCUGUGUCCAACAUGGCCCAACGCCUAUUUGCUCGAACCCGUCACGUCGAAUCGUUGGUGGCUGAAAUACAGAGUCUCAAAGAGGAGAUUAGAGGACUCAAGCAUGAAAAUAAACAAUUGCACAAGCUUGCACACAAUUAUGCCACAAACAUGAAGAGGAAAAUUGACCAGCUGCAGGAAAAUGAUGGUCAGAUUUUACUUGAUCACCGGAGGUUUGUGGGUUUGUUCCAACCGCAUCUGCCUUCGUCUUCUGGGGCGGCACCGCGUAGUGAAGCUCCAACUGAUCAACCUCCGAUACCUCCUCCUUCCGUGGCCCCGCCGACUGCUGAAGCUCCGCCGACUACUGAAGCACCACUUGACCAAUGAAUGCUAUUAGUUUACACAUCAUUGUAAAAUAUUUGUACUUUUAUGUUUUUUUUAUUUUUUUUUAUUUUUUUUUUUUUUAUUUUUAUUUUUUUUUUUUUUUAUUUUUUAUUUUUUUAUUUUUAUUUUUUUUUUUAUUUUUUUUUUAGGUGUGUUUUGUUUUUUUUUUUUUUUUUUUUAAAUCAAUGUAAAAUAUGUACAUCAAUGUAAAAAAAACUUUGUUUAAUUAUUAUUUUUUUUUUUUUUUUGUGUUUUUUUUUUUUUUUUUUUGUUUUAAAUGUAAAUUAAUGUAAAAAGACUUUGGUUAACCUUCCCCCACACUUAAACUAAAUAACACAAACUCACAUAAAUCAACCAAAUAACACAACUAACUAAACAAAACAAAAUGAAAGCAGUAAAGAUAAGGGUGUAAGAAUGCAAAUCUGAUUGGGUUAGCGAUUCCAAAGUCUCCCUUCGUUGAAUGCUUGGGUUGCCUCCCAAGAAGCGCUUGAUUUAACGUCUUUAGCGGGACGAAUCUUUCCUUUAAAUUCCCCUCGGCUCCAAAGCAUGGAAUUUAUCUUUUAAUGGGAGGUGAUACUUGAAAUGAUUCGGCAAUGGUUUAAAUUCAAGAGUGGGUGCCUGAAUCAUCAAAAUCAGAAACAUGUUAGUAUAAAUUAAAAUUAAAAUUGGAGAAGAUGGCUUACUUUCUUUUUCCGACACAAACUCAAUGACAAACACCACAUUUGUGAACAUUUCAGGGACUUUGAACUUGGCCAGGUUUACUAUGAUGGUUGUGGCUUGUCCCGUGUCAUCAAACUCAACUGCUUUGGGCUUGAUUGUCUCAUGCACAGCCUCUUGGAUGUAUUCUUGAUAUGCUUCAACCACUUCAUUUUCUUGAAUCUCUUUUCUUGGUGUGCAAGGUUCUUUGAACGUUUCAAUACCAUCAGGGACUUGUUUUGGUGCACCAAGAAUUGGGAUAUCACUUUGCACCUUUGGAAGAGCUUCCACAAUGUCUUUUUCACUCUCUUUGAUAUUUGGAAUAAAAAACCUACAAGGAAAAAGGACAUUUGGUGGAAUAAUGUUAGAAUGAAGUGGAUUUAGAACUUCCUCACCUGAGUUGGAUGACAUAGGGAUUUGAGGAGCUUGCAGCAAGAAUUCUUCUAAACUGCCCAGGUCGUCCUCCUCCUCUUCUGCUUGCAGCAGCAAUUCAUCCAUGUUCGGGCUGUGUUUGGAUAGUUCUGGGACAGCUUCAUCCUUCAUGUCACCUUCCAAAGUGAUAGCAUCGUGGAUUUCAAAAUCUUCCUUCGAAUUUUCAACAGUUGAGCUGGAGAGUUCACUUUGCUCUUGAAUUUGUACCAUGAAUUCCAUAAUCUCUCCCAUUUGACUCAUCAAUUUAUCCAACUUCUUGUCUUGAUUUUGUUGGUCCUGCGUCAAAGAGGUUAGUACUUGAAGAAUUUGAUCACUAUCCAUGGACAUACUUGAAUUUGAUUGGAAUUGUUGUGGGGUAUGCGGUGGUGGCUGCAUAGGCAUUAAAUAAAACUCCUCAGAUUGCUGCCAAUAUCCAUCUUGUUGAGCCUCCUUGGCUUGAUUUUGUGAGCCCUGCACCAAAGAAUUUAAUUCAUCAAAAAUUUGAUUGUAAUCUAUUGACGAAUUUGAGUUUGAUUGGGCAUAUUGCAUAGGUUUUGAAUAGAACUCCUCCUCUUGCUGCCAAUAUCCAUCUUGUUGGAAUUGUUGAGGUUCCCCCCACAUAUAAUUUGAAUGAUCUCUCCAAGCCGAAUUGUAAGCGUUGGAAAACAUGUUGUUGCUUGGUUGAUCAUAGCAUUGAUAACCCCAAGCAUCUUCGUUCACAGUGAAUUGAGGAUGUUGAUAUCCUUGCCCAUAGGGCACAUCAAAUGUAAGGACACUUGGCAUUGUGGUCCUUCCGGCAAUCUGUGACAAUUGAGAAGUAAGAUUCGCCAAUUGAGCUUGAAUGUUAGCAAAAUCCAUCUCUUACUUUCCUAGUAUCUGAAAUCAAACAAAGAAAAAUAACUCAAAUAUCAAAAGUAACACAAAACAAGGAAAACAAAACUAAGUCAGAAACUAAAACAAAAACAAACUAAACAAAAAGAAAAGAAACAAGGGAUUAGCAAAGUUGCUAAUCCCCGGCAACGGCGCCAAAAUUUGAUGCGAAAUAUAUAAGCACACAAAUUAAACCCUCUUUUUGACAAUUGUAGUAAAGAUGUAAGUAGGGUAUCAUUCUAAACCGGGGAUUAGGAGGGAUUGCUAAAUCACUUGAAAACUAAUUUAAAAACAUAAAAACAAAGUUAAAAAUGUAAACAAAAGAUUUUAAAACAAGAAAGUAAAAGGGGGAUUUGAGUUUGGUGAAGUUGAAAGUAAAAACGAAUAAACUAAAAACUUAAAUAGAUUUUAAACAAAUUUGGGUUGAAUGGAUAAUGGAAGGCUAGCUAAGGGGUUCUUCUCCACACAUGUCUUGCUUGCAUACAAAAUGAUUUCCAAUUGCAUUUCAAUAACUUAUUAAUUCUCAACGCCCCAAAUUAACCGUGAAUUGCACUAAUUAACCCUCAGUUUUUCCACAAGUUAUUGGGUUGGAUGAUUGCAUACGACAACCCAAAACAUUCCCUACAAGUUCCCUACAUGAAUUGCAUAAUAGAGAUACAAGCAAGAAUCAUUAAGUUCUAUGAAAAACAUAAGCAUUGAUGAGGCACUCGUUACUAUGAUUUGCAUGAAACUUAUGCCAAGGAUUUACUUAACACAAUCGUGACUAGCGACUUUUACUACUCAUGAAUAUAAGUUCAUAACGAUUAGGUGAAAUUCCCUUAUACUCUAGCAUCAUAUUUAUGCAUGCAAACUAAGUAUGCAUCCCUAAAUCAACAUACAUAAACAUGUUAUCAAUCAAAUAGAUAAGUAAAUCGAAUUCAUAACUUAUGAAACGCAAUUAAAAGUAAUCAAAUCAUAUUGCAAGCAUUAACAUGGUUUCGAAUCCCCCCUAGCCAAGGGGGGUUUAGUUCCUCAUUAUUACAAAACAAAGAUAAACAAAUUUAAACAUUGAAAAACAAAGGAAAGAAAGCACCUAAACGUUCCAACGAUCCAUGUUGGAUAGCAAGUGCGUCUAAGGACUUUUCUCCUUCUCUUUGCCGCAACAACAAGGUUGGAAUGAUGUUGAAGGGUUGGUUAUUUGGAGGAAUGGAUGGGAAGGGGUUUAGAUAUAUAGGAGAGGCAAGGAAAGGCUUGGAGAAUGGUUAAUUUCUGGAUGAUUUCAAUGAGGUUGCUGCCAUGGUAUUUAUAGGAAGAGGAUGGACAUGUUUAAUGCAAAAAUCUGGUGGAAUGAAGUAGGUAAGGCAUGGCAAGGUGGAGAAUUGUUGGUGAGGGUAGGUUUUGAGUCAUCCACUCACAUGUCAUGGUGAGUUAAGCAUUGCAUCAUCCACUCAAAUGUCAUGGUGAGUUAAGCAGAGUUAAGCAUUGCAUCAUCCACUCAAAUGUCAUGGUGAGUUAAGCAUUACAUCAUCACUAAAAAAAAAUCUGGUGGAAGUAAAACAAAGGGAAGGCCACGGCAUUGAUGAAUUUUAUGGGGUAUGCAUGGUUUUGAGUGAAGUUUUGGCCAAUCCUUCUAGAAAUUUAUCCCUUCUUGCAACUUGUAUUUGUUUCACCAGAUUUUUAGCAUGUUCCUAGCCUCUUUUGUCUUCAAAUUCGUCCAUCCAUCUUGCUCAUAUCAUAUGUAAUCCAUUACAAGCUCAAAACUGCUCCAAAAUGCACCAAAAUGCACUUUCUUGCUACCUUAGCCCUUUGGACCUACAAACACACGAAAAUGGCUUAAAGUACUAAAAUAACUAAGAACUAAUAACGUAAAUGCAAGAAAACUAGUUAACUAAGUCGCAUAAAUAUGCGUCUAUCACUCGGCAUCAAUGAUCGCACCACAUUUGCUGUACAUGGUAAUCAAAGCGUUAUAUAGGGAGAGGUUUGAUUCAAAUCCAUGUUUAAUAAUGAGCAGAAGAGUUUGUCUUCCAUUUUUAAGAGAUGCAAGACUAGAACAGGCAGUAAGAACGGAAACAAGGGUCCACUUAUCUGGAUGUAGACCAAUCUCAAGCUUUUGUGAGUGUAACUGGAGUGCUUCCUCUCCACCGCCAUUUUGUGCAUAGCCUGUAGAUGAAAAGGCAUGUCAGGGGACAAGUGAUUAGGACAAUGCUUUAGAAAUCGACACAAACACAACAAACUAGUUAAGCUUUCGAUAAACAUUGAAGGUGAAAAGGAAAGCCUGCUAAAUUAGGACAAUGGUUUAGAAACUCGAAGAACAUUUCCUGAGCAGUGAGCACAUCAGACAUGGAAGAUGUUGACCUAAUUGAAGUACUAUGAGAAGUGCAAACAAAUCAAUGUCAUAUUAGGUAAGGAUUGGAGCUGUAACGUUGUCACUUACAUCACGAGUGCAAGUAGAAUACCCUAGUAAGAAAUUUCAAGGUUCCUCCAGAUUGAAGAGUGAAUUGCACUUGGCAUACCUGUUAUCCUUGCAUUCCAAGAGACAUGAUCCUUGCACUGAAUUUGAUCAAAUAAAGGUCUGGCAUCUUCCAUGUUUCCCUCCUUAAGAAUAGACCGUGAGCAUAGCUGUCAUUGCGACUGCAUUUUUCUCAGGCAUCUGCCCGUACAAUUCCCUUGCUUCAUCAAACUUGCCGUUCUCCACAUACCCACUAAUCAGCACUGUCCAAGAAACGGCACUCUUGCGAGGCAUGCGAGAAAUUUUUCAUUGUGACCGGAAAACGGAUAAUACACCACGUGUUUUCAUAUAAGUGGUGGAAAAUUGUAUUUUUUAAAUUAUUAACUUUUUAAUACACAUAUUUCACCAUUUGUAUGGUGACACGUGAUGUACAACCCCGUGUUCCGGUCACAUUAAAAAUUUUCUCGAGGCAUGCAAUCAAACAGGAGAAUUUUUUAGUUGUGACGGGAACACGGAUGGUACACCACGUGUUUUUAUAUAAGUGGUGAGAAAUUUUAUUUUUUAAGUUAUUAACUUUUUAACACACAUAUUCCACCAUUUAUAUAGCAACACGCAAUGUAUCAUCCUUUGUGACGGUCACACUAAAAAAUAAGGAAAACUAAUGAAAAGGGCUUGAAAACUUUGAGUUUUAACGAUAAAGACAAAAUAAAAGGUAAAGUGAAUAGUACCAAGAUUGACUUUUUAGUGUAAAAAUGUGGUUUUUCGUUAAAGUGAACAGUACCGCGGGCUUUUCGUUAAAACUCCCUAUAAGAAAUAACAUUGCCCCUCGGCAUGUCUUCAAAUAUCCUACUAGCUUCCUCCAGCCGAUCAUAUUUAACCCCAAAAUCAUAGCAUUCCAAGAAGCAAUAUUUCUUUCCAACAUCUGUUGGAAGUACUUGAAGGCCUCGUCGACCAGCUCAUUGCUCUACAAUUUUCUCAUAGGGAUAUGUAUGAUCAAGUAAGGACUCAAUAAGAACCCAUGAAGGACAAACCGAAAGCUUUCAUGUAAUGUUUUAAAUCCUUAUCUUUUCAUAUUGGUAAUAGACAAGUUAACGAGACAUUCAAUAUAAUAUCAUUUGGUAAAUGCUUUUCACAUAUGACAUAUUACUGAUAUAUAAAACGCAAUAUGAAGUAAAUGGGAAACUUAACUUUUGGCGGAAAGUGUUAGAAUCUAAAGGUGUUCGCCUAAAGUAGGUUUAAGACAGAGUAUGAAACAGAUAGGGUAAGGAUUAAAGAUUAGGAAAUACCAAAGAGUGAACAUUUUCGCUAUCUUGGAUAUAUAUUGCAAAAGAAUAGAAAAUUGGAUGAAAAUCUCAACCACAAAAUACAAGCUAGAUGGAUGAAGUGGAAGAGUGCAUUGGAUAUGCUGUGCGGCCGUCGUAUAACGUUAAAAUUUAAGAGAAAAUUUUAUAAGAUGUCAAUAAGGCCAAUAAUGCUUUAUGACAUAAAAUGUUGGCCGAUCAAGCAUCAAUACAUGCAAACAUUGAGUAGUAGAGGUGAAAAUGAUGCAUUGGAUGAGGGGCACACGAGAAAAUACAAGAUUAAAAACGAGAAUAUCCAAGAUAUCCAAGAUAAAGUACGAGGCUACAAUUGAAAAUAAGAUGAGAGAAAAUCGAUUAUUAUCGUUUAGACAUGUAAAACGAAGACCUACAGAAACUCUGGUUAGAAAUUGCAAUUAUGAGACAGGUCAAAGGAAAAGAGUAGAAAAACAAAUAGGAAGAUUUGGACAGAGACUUUAAGAACAGACAUAGAAUAAUUAGAGUUAAUGAAAAACUAGCACAAAACUGAACGCAAUGGCAUUCUAAAUUCAUUCCCACUUAGAGCAUCUCCAAUGGAGUUCCUAUAUAGAGACAAUCAUCGUAUAAAAUGAGUAUAAAACACAUAUAGGGACAAAAUGAAUUUCUAAUGGGUCGGAAAGUGAGUCCUUAAAGUAUAGGGACAACCACCGUAUAAAAUAAGUAUAAAACAAAUACAAGGAUAAAAUGAAUUUUCAAUGGGUCGGAAAGUCAGUCCCUAAAGUAUAGAGACUCACCAGAUACUUAGUGCAUGAACCCACAUAUAGAGAUUGUGUAAGUAUUGAUAUGGUGGACCCCUUAGACAAUUAAAGUGGUAAAGCUGUCCCACCAAAUUAAAUGCAGUUGUGCAUAGGGGUGGAAAAAAAUACAGAAAAUCUCAAACCAUACCAAAAUCGAACCGAAAAUCCCAAAAUUUUUUUAUACCAAAACCAAACUGAUCCCGAAUUGUUCAGUAUGGGAUCAGUCUCACACUUUAAAAUAUUUCGGUGUUAUAAUCCCAAACCGAACUUUAAAGUUUAAACCCUAUAUAUAUAUAUAUAUAUACACACGUUGGAAUAUGUAUAUGGCCUAUUAUAUUAUUAAAUAACUCAAAGCACAUGGGUGCUAUAUUGCUAUCUACAUAAUUCAACAUUCACUCUCUUUCUCUCUCUCUCUCUUUGUCACAGCCCGUCCCGAAAUAUUUAUUUUCGACGACGUGAGAUUACUUAUUUACCCUUGGACGUUUUGUGUGGUUAUGUGGAUGAAGUUUUAUUUGGACCAAUUCAAAGCUUUUCCUAAGUUUUUGGAACACUUAGGACUUAAAGAGUUUGUUUUGUGUAUUGGAAGACCAAGUAGGACCAACACACGCACACACUCAACCUUUCCCUCGUGCACUCUCUCCUCUCCCUUUCGAUUUUUCUGCAACGUCCGUACAAAUGUACAAAAAAAUCUUGAACCCUCUCAUUCAGACGCGGAUCGAUGUCAAGAAGGUAAGAUUUGAACUCCUUGCAAGCUUCUGAGUUCGUAAAUGCUAUUUUUAGAACUUGAAAGCUGCAAAAACCCCAAGAACUCUAACCUCAGAUUUCAUGCACUGUUCAUGCACUAAUUAAUGUGAGAUUUUUAGGAGUUUUUAAGGACAUAAGGAGCUUUGGAUCAUCCUCACGAAGCUCAGAGAAGAAAAACCAAAUCAUUUGGAUGUCGGGAAAUCAAGUUCGACGAGUUUUAAGUUUCGUCGGAUUAUCGAGCUUUCUCCAGCAAGUUUUCAUGGAUUUCAAGCCUUGAAAUUGGUAAGGAUGUGUUCUUCUAAUUAUAAGCUUUAAAUUGAGACCAAUUUCAUGAGUUUUGAUUAAGAAAUGGCUGAGAUAUAAGGAUUUUAAGAUUUUCCAGUUUCCGACGACGGCUACGGUUGUCGGAGUUCGAAGGUAGAAGAUGACGGAAUAUUCCGUCAACUGUGAUGGAAUAUUCCUAACGGUAACUAACGGCAUUGGUUGAUUUUAACGGAAUAUUCUUAACGGCCAUUAGGCCUCAAUUAAGGUUUGGCCACGCGUAGGGCCGUGCCUCCGCCGGCGUGUGGAGGCGCGUGGGUGGUCGAAAUUUUUUUCUAAAAAUAUGAGGAUGUUCGUGAGGUUGUGUAGAUCACAUUGGUAUAUUCAAAUAUCCUAUUUGAGCAUUGUAUGAGAAGUUAUUAGCUAGUAUUGGUUAUGUGCUUUAAAUUAACGUUUCUAUAGUCGUUUCGCAUAUAGGGGAGACUUAUCCCGAGGACGAGCACAGUCAAGGGCGACUCGGGGGCUACAACCCUUCGACAUACCAGUGGGUGGGCUUUUGGUUUUAAGUAAAUAUGUAUAUGCUUGGUAUUUUUUCCCAGAAAAUGCAAUUAAAUGAGUUAUGACUUAAAUUGCCAUGCCAAAUAUUUUACAUUUAGAAUAUGCAUAUGAUGUUUGCUUAUAUAUAUAAUUGUGGUGCUGAGGACGCUCAAGUAAGUCUCAGGUGAGUUUAUGAAUUGUGAAUGUGAAUAACAAUUGUGAUUAAUUGAGUAACAUUGAGCUCAUAAACCUUCACCCCGGUGUUAGUGAUUUAGCGAGAGAUAGGGCAUAGGCAUGUUUAUAAUGUCACAUCCCGCACCAUAUGCUCACUUUGGAUCCAAUUUAGGUGCACAGUCUUGUCGUGCAGACCAUUAUAGGUCGUUCCGACUCGUAGAUGACUAGCGAUUUAUCGCACAGUUAUAAUGAGAAUGUAGUAAUGAGCAUAAUUAUAUUACACCCAGUCUUGUCGUACAGACCAUUACUGUGGUUCCGACUUAUGUGCAGUGUAGUGCCGUAUGGGUCACUUGUAAUGACUCCAGCUAGGUUAACUAAUGAGCUAUGAAUUCAUCCAUACAGACUUCUGCAGGGGAUCCGGCCAAUAUGUUAUUUUCAAUCAAUUUAUUUUCACCUGAGUUAUUUAUUCUGUUUUAUAUUUUGGCAUGGCAUAUUUAUGUUUAUGAUUAUGUGAAGCAUAAAUUGAUAUAUAUAUAUAUGUAUGUAUGUAUAGUUAUAUUCCAAUUCUUGGGAAAAUUAUACAUGUUUUACUACGAGAGGUUAGAGCAUUUAAUAAAUGAAAUGGUUUUGAAAAUCUUUAUUUUUGCCCACUCACACUUUCUAUUUUGCGCCCCUCCAGGUUUUAGGUAAGCUUAUCCGUUGGUGGCUUGCGAGGAUUGAACGAAGGUUCUGACAAAAUAUCACAAUGUAAGACAUCUUUGGGUGUCGUUUAAGUAGUACUUGUUUUCUGGACUGAACUUAGGCUACUUAUGCUCUGAUUGUGAAUUCACUCGUAUUCUAGCACUCCUCUUAGCUAGUACUCUUAUGAAUUGGUUUUUAUUUAUUCGUAUUCUCUAUUAUCAUUUGUUGAUGCACAAAACCAGGAGGUCUUGGAACAACGUAAAUCCGACCAUGAAUCUGCAAGAAAGUAAAGAACACAAGAUGUAUCGUGGUUCACCCCAAUGUUUGGGCUACGUCCACACUGAUGUUCAUUACAUUUCUCUGUAUGAAUGUAUGGAUUACAAGUUUAUCUGGGAGCUUUGUGGCUUGUAUGUUUUAGGGGUAUCCCCUGAUCUGAGAUCUGAGUCCCUUUUGUAAGGGGAGAGGAAUCCUCUUUUAUAGAAUAAGGGGCUCCUCCUUUUACAUAAUAAUGGGCUAGGUAAUGAGGCCCAAAUGUUGAGGCUCAAUGUGUCAAAGUCUGAGGCCCAAUAUAUGUGGUACCAACAGUAGUCCCCCAAGUCUUCAAUCAAGAGAGUCUUUUGGCUGGAAACUUAAAAUUCAAUCCAUGUGUGGGCCGAAGUAACUAGAUGUCGUCUAGAACUGAAUACUCGAUAUGAGGCGGUGCUUAAUGUGAAAUGAUGCUCAACUAGAAGUAGCACAUGUUGCGAGGCUGCUCGGCUUGUGGCUUAUGUUGCCAUGGUUGGCUCGGCUUGUGGCGUUGAAGGUGAGGGAGUCCCUUUUAUAGAAUAAAGGCUCGCUCCUCAAUAAAUAAAUGAUGGGCUAGAUUUGAUGCUCGCGGCGAGGCGGUUGUUCAGCAGGCGGCGAUGCUCUCUAAUGAUGGUGAGGGAGUCCCUUUUAUAAAAUAAGGGUUCGCUCCUCAAUACAUCAAUGAUGGGCUAAAGUUGAUGCUCGCGGCGAGGUUGUUGCUCAUCUGGCGACGAUAUUCUCUAAUGGAGGUGAGAGAGUCCCUUUUAUAGAAUAAGGGUUGGCUCCUCAAUACAUAAAUAAUGGGUGCUCUCUAAUGAAAGUAAGGGAGUCCCUUUUAUAGAAUAAGGGUUGGCUCCUCAAUACAUAAUUAAUGGGUACUCUCUAAUGAAAGUGAGAGAGUCUUUUUUAUAGAAUAAGGGCUCGCUCCUCAAUACAUAUAUGAUGGGCUAAGUCCCCCAAGUAUUUUUCAUGAGGCCCAGUUGCGGAAGCCCAAUAUAUGGUACAUAGUGUAGUCCCCCAAGUCUUCAAUCAAUAGAGGUUGUUGGCUGGAGACUUCAAAUUCAAUCCAUGUAUGGGCCGAAGUGGCGGUUGUUCGGAGGCGGUCUUUGUAUACCAUGCACUGAAGCUUUGUAAGUGUAGCUUUGAAAGUGAAGCUUUGAAGCUGGAGCUUUUGUAAAUGCAGCUUUGAAGUCGGAGCUUCGUAAAUGAAGUUUUCGAAGCUAGAGCUCUGUAAAUGAAGCUGAUUGACAUGAGUGAUGCUCAUGAAUGUUGACAUGAGUGAUGCUCAUGAAUGUUGACAUGAAUGAUGUUCAUGAAUGUUUAUGUAUGAUUGACAUGAGUGAUGCUCAUGAAUGUUCCUAUAUGAUUGACAUGAGUGAUGCUCAUGUAUAAUUUUGGAGUACUUGACGUACUUUUAAUCACCUGGUUGGUGAUAAUAGCAGCAGGUUGCUGAAUAAUUUUGGAGUACUGGGCGUACUUUUGAUCACCUGGUUAGUGAUAAUAGCGGCAGGGUGCCGAAUAAAUUUGGAGUACUGGACGUAUUCUUGAUCACCUAGUUGGUGAUAAUUUUGGAGUACUGGGCGUACUUUUGAUCACCUGGUUGGUGAUAAUAGCGGCAGGGUGCCGAAUAAUUUUGGAGUACUGGACGUACUUUUGAUUACCUGGUUGGUGAUAAUAGCGGCAAGGUGCCGAAUAAAUUUGGAGUACUGGACGUACUCUUGAUUAUCUGGUUAGUGAUAAUAACGGCAGGGUGCCGAAUAAAUUUGAAGUACUGGACAUACUCUUUUGGGCAUAUGGGCCUUGGCCCUGCACAUAACAUUCCAACCCAUUAUUUUGGGCUUACCGUUUUUCUUUUUUUUAUUACCCUCUGAUGGGGUUAUACAGAUGUCUCCGAAAGAUAAGAAAAACAAAUCACAUCAUUAAAAUAAAUCCAACCCUCUGCUCAAUGGGUCACGCCCAUAAUUCCCUUUUCUGCAUGUCAUCACCAUCGCAUUUAUGUCUAUUUCUUUUUAUCUUUUUUUGCUUUAUGCUUUGCUUUUGCUUUUGUUUCUGUUUCUUCUUUUCUCUUUUCUGUUCUGCUUUGCUUUUGCUUUUGUUUCUGUUUAUUCUUUUCUGUUUUCUUUUUUUCUUUUUCUUUUUUUUUUAAAUAUUCUCUCAACAACAUCAUAGUACAACCCACGUUUAGCACAUCCUCCUUUUUCUUUUUCUAACAUCAUGAUUGAAGGAUCGAUUUCUAACAUCAUGAUUGUGUUCAACUUCGCUGGUUGUCUGGUUCGAAGGAUCGCUUUUUGUAAGCUUCCCAAUUGUUGAAUGAGACUCCGAUCAGAUCACUGGUGAGUGCUUAACGGAAAGAGUUGAGCAAUUGCCAGGAGAUUGAUGGAAGAACCCAUCUGAGGUCAGUUGUGUUAAUCUCCGUUGGCUGGCUGGUUUGAAGGAUCGCUUUCUGCCGCCUGUCUUUCCUUUUCAGCUUUUGCUACAUCUUGAAUGCUACCAUUCUCCGCUGAGCAAAUACCUCCAAGCUCUCACAUCUUCAGAAUCCGCAGUGCAUGAGUUUUGAAACAGGAAACAUCAAACCAGUAUACCGGCAGCAGAUUUUGUGGAAUCACCAUCGACACGAAUCAUGGAGCUUCCAUCAGAGUAGAACUGAUGAACAACAUCAGGUUGCUUUUGAAGAAUCUGAUAGUACUGGGUCACAAAGUAAGAACCUACCUGAACAGCACGAACAACUCCCGGAUUAGAACUUACCAUUGCCUCAUCUCUCAGCAGAAAAGCAUGCAGCGACGGAGAAAGACUUUUUCUUGUACUUUGCAAAACCCUAAAUCGCAGUCGUCUCCGUCAACACUCUGAUCGAACGUAUAUCCACACACAGAGAAAAGCAACUACAAAUCCGAAACCCUAAACCCAAAGGUUUUAGGGCACCUCGGGAUUCAUCGCCGUCUUCUCUUGCCGAGGACCGGAAGUAAACGAAAGCUCAAAAAUGGCUUUGUAUCUCCCAAAGGGCUCUGCUUCUGCUGCUUACUUCCGGCUUUUAUAGCCACCAGCAUAAAGUAAGGGAAUGAGCUCCGGGAGAUGAGCAUCGUCCCGUCCAGGUCGACGACGAUUGACUCGUUAGACGUCGUUUCGCCCACAUUGCAGGCCGCGAUCAACGAGGAGAUCCGCCGUUGCUUCUACGACGACAUGGUCUAUCUCUCCCUCUCUUACUAGAAAGCAACACAUUUGUUCCGUUUGGUUAAUUUUUAGAGUGAAGAGUGGCGUUUAGUCGCAAGUGAAGAAGGAUGAGGUGACGUGGAGUUGGUUGCCAGAGAUGGCACCAACAUCACUGCUAAAAUUCAAAGUCUGCAAGGGAAGGAUGAGUUGCGAGAGAGUGGCCGAGGAAAAGGAGACGAAGGAGAGGUGGCGGUCGCGAUUGCUAGCAUCCACCAGGUGGUUGUUGUCGGAGUCAGCGUGAGAAGUAAACAAAUGGGAGCUCUUUUCGGAUUUUCUAGAGAGAGAGAGUGGCUGAUGAGAGAGAGAGAGAGAGAAAUCUGCAAAGGUUUUUCUUGAACAGCCCAAGGAUGGGGGUUCUGGGUUAUUCGGUUGUGCAGAUUCACGAUGGUGAGAUGAAAAAUUAAGAGAGAAUCGACAUAGCUUUUCGUGUCGAUUCCCACAGACGGCGCCAAAUAUUGAUGCACAAAACCGGGAAGUCUUGGAACAACGUAAAUCCGACCAUGAAUCUACAAGAAAGUAAAGAACACAAGAUGUAUCGUGGUUCACCCCAAUGUUUAGGCUACGUCCACACUGAUGUUCAUUGUAUUUCUCUGUAUGAAUGUAUGGAUUACAAGUGUGAGGGGGAGUCCCCCAGAGAAAGAGAAAGUUUCUCUGUGAGCUUUGUGGCUUGUAUGUUUUUGGGGUAUCCCCUGAUCUGAGAUCUGAGUCCCUUUUGUGAGGGGGGAGGAGUCCCCUUUUAUAGAAUAACGGGCUCCUCAUUUUACAUAAUAAUGGGCUGGGUAAUGGGGCCAAUGUGUCAAAUUAUGAGGCCCAAUAUAUGUGGUACCAACAUCAUUAUUGCUUUCGCAUUGUGCACAUGGUUACGUCACCCUUACGUGUCGGCCAUCAUGCCCUGAUUCGGGUCGGGGUGUGUCACUCUCUCUCUCGAAUUAUCUCUAUCUGCAACCCACAAAGGCAGAAGCCACCUUCCUUCAACUAAAUCCAAACCAUAGCCGACACAUCCCUACUCACUCUCUCUCAUUUCUCAUCUUUGUCCCUUCACUCAGUCUCAGGUCACUCAUGGAAUUCGAAGCUCAGCAUCCACCACCCUCAAUGUCUCACUUCAACAAACUCUCUCCACUCCGGCCACCACCACACCUCACGGCUUCAUCCAGACUUUCGAUUCUCUAUGUGGGUUUCGAAUAAGGUUAGGGUUUCGAAUUGGGGGCUAGGGUCUCGAAUUGGGGCUCGGCUUUCGAAUAAGGUUAGGGUUUCAAAUUGGGGGCUCGAAUUGUGAUGAACAUAUUUUAGUGGAUGUUUUUGCAAAGAAAAUUUAUGUGAAAUUAUGUGGUUUAUGGCUUAAUUUCAUUUACUUGGAUGUUUGGAUGGUCUAUAUUUUUAUUCUCAAAGAAGUUAGCAUCUUGGUUGGCUACAAUGUUUUAUGAUGAUUUGUUGUGCGAUUGUUGCAAGUUUCAUGCUUUAGUUUCUUUUGAGAUGAUUGAAUUAUGCAGAUGCAAUUAGUUUCUGCAGAUUGAAUUGGAUUGGGAAUUUGGGUGUCUUAAGUUCUGCAGAUGCAUAUCAUAUACAAUUGUAGCAGUCUGCCAACAAUUUUGUGUGAAUUUAUUCGAGAUUCCUGAUUUGUCCCGAAAUCUCGAAAUUAUUUUGGGAUUCCCGAAAAUUUGGUUUGGAAUUGGUCUUGAAAUUGGGAUUCCCAAAAACUUCGGUUUGGGAAUCGGGACAAGAAUUUCGGUUUGGUAUCCAAUACCGAACCAAACCUAGCUAUGCAGCAUGAACUCCAUAAGGAUUUUUGCAUGAAGAAUGGGAAAUUUUGGACCUGGGGAAUUCCCUAAGAAUAUCAUUUUUAGUCAAAUACUUAUAUAGGUUAAAGUAUAUAAUUUAUGGUUUAGAAAAUAUUUUAAAUGUCUAGAGUAGAAGAUUAAAUUACUAUUAAUCGAAGCUGAAACAUAAAAUUUUAUUUACUUAAAUCAAAUUAUUUAAACCAAGUAUUAAGUUAAUGUUUUGUUCAUUAGGUAUACAAUUAAUGUACUUUUAAUUAAUAGUAAGAUAUGUCGUCUUUCCAUGUCAACCAAUUAUUCCUUAUAUUUUCACCAUUACACUAUAUGAACUCUAGUUGUUUUUUUUAUUUUUUAUUACAUGCCCAACUACGUAUCUAAUCAAUUUGCAAGGCAUAAUAUGAAGCAAUUCUAAUUACGUUUUUGUGAAGAAAAAAAUUUGGUAUCAGAAUUUGAAUUUUAUUUUACUAAAAUGUUCAUAAAAAUAUUUUAUGUGAAUGUAAUGUUAAAUUAAUUCCAAAAAGUUUAACAUGAACAAAAAAUAUGCACCUAAUCAAAUUAUUACAUAAAAUUAUAAAAACCUCAAAUUUAGGAAUUCUACUAUAAAGACUCUUACAUUGAAGGCAAUAUUCCAUUAAGAACAUAAAAAUUUCAUUCAAGUUCUUAAAUAAGUACUCAAAAGUGGUGGUGGAAGUCCUUAUUCAAGGACUCCCAUUGGAGAUGCUCUUAGUGAUUCAAGACCGCUUCUUACUCCAUCGACAUGCGCAGGAAACUGUUCCGGGGACUGAUGUUACGGAGUUUGUCAAGCUUCCACCUUCGUUUGAAAACGGUAGAGAGAUGGGCUUCCAAAAGGUCCACUUUUGUUCGAAACUUGGAAACUACAGCUAAAACUGAAGGCACCGCCGCUCGAACUGUUUUCUAUAUUAUGGGGUCACACAAUUGAUCAACUUUCUAGUAAGAAUCAAGGCGCACACAUCCGUUUCAUUCAAAUAUUGCGAUGAUCCGGACAGUGCCGAGAUCGGAACAUUCAUUCAUCGUCAAUCAUCCAACGCAAAUACCAUAAAAAGCAACAUGGAGAAACAACAAACUAAACUAGAUUAGACGAAAUAUUGUUCAAUAGUGAGGCUGCAGACAACCAAAUGAACAAAAAAACGCAAAUUAAACACAUCUAGGUCCUUCAUAUUCUACGAAACAAACCAACCAAAAGCAGCAGCCGCAGAUCUUAAAAGGAGUUUUGCCUAUAACCAUAAUAUCUGACCACAUCUUGUCCCCAACCCUAACCUCCUAUAUCAUCCUAUCACAAAAAAACACCACCUUCUGUCCGCAAAAGCAUUAUACAUAUCAGUCUUCAAUCCCGUCUGCAGCCACCCCACAAUUAACCCCGCUCCAUUGCAAGGCAGGCGGGUUGCUUAGGCACGCUCAC